UUUUUUUUUGUUGUUGAGGGAAGUGCGAAUCGAUUUGGUACUGUGCAGGGUAAUCUUGUUCUCCCGAUUUUUUUACAUUUUUCUUGUAGUUUUUUCAAUGGCAUCUAUAGCAAUAUAGUAAAAGGAGACAUGACUCUCUUGUGUCUUGUAUGAAUUGUUUUUUUACACGUUAAGUUUGUUCUGCCGAACAAGGAAUCCACACAUUGUUAUCCCAAAAUUUUCAAGCUCGAGUAUCUUUUGUCUCACCUGCUUUGAAACUCCCACUUCUUCAACCCGCGCCGCGCCUUGUUAUCCGGAAAUAUGGACACGCGCGAGAACUCCCUCCUCAUUCGAAAUCGCUCUCGCAGGCCAGACACACGAAAUCCCCCUUCUACCCCUCAGCCGGAAAUGAAGCUCCACGUUGCGGUGUCAAAACCGGUGGGGGUACGCUGGUAACUUACCCUACAUUUUGGACAAGCGCGUCCCUAAGCUUGGCUCCCCCCUCCCCCUUCGCCCCCCCAUUCGUACACCGAGGCCGCUAAAACCUGUGAAACCCCACGCUCCUCCGUCUGCCUCCCGACAGCUGCCCAGCCGGAGACUCUUCCCUGACUAUGUCAUCCACCGCAACAGCUCACCGUCCCUCAUCCACCGCACCGGAUGAGGAUCCGUUGUCAAUCUCGUCGUCCCGCCGGAUCAGCCGCCCCGUCCUCCACCUCCAAGGAGCUACCCCGAUGUUCGCCUCGUCUAUCACACCACCUCAAUCCCCACAGCGCCGUCUUGACCUGCCCCACCGGAACCACAACACCCUCACCAAUUCCUCCGAUGAAGCUGAGGCUAACUCGGCGCCUGAUACGUCUCCAACGUAUCUAUAAUUUUUGAUUGUUCCAUGCUAUUAUAUAAACUGUUUUGGAUGUUUAUGUGCUUUAUUUUACACAUUUAUAUCAUUUUCGGGACUAACCUACUAACCGGAGGCCCAGCCCAUAUUGCUGCUUUUUACCUAUUUCAGUAUUUCGAAGAAAAGGAAUAUCAAACGGAGUCCAAACAGAAUGAAACCUUCGGUGGCGUGAUUUUUGGAACGAACGUGAUCCAGAUGACUUGGAGUGCAAGUCAAGAAGCAGCCGAGGCGGCCACAAGAUAGGAGGGCGCCCCCCCCCUUGUAGGGCGCGCCCCCUGUCUCGUGGGCCCCUCGGGCGGCCACCGACGUACUUCUUCGUCCUAUAUAAGCCUACGUACCCCGAAAAUAUCCAUGGAGCAACCGAAACACAAUUUCCACCACCGUAACCUUCUGUAUCCGCGAGAUCCCAUCUUGGAGCCUUCAUUGGCGUUCUGCCGGAGGGGGAAUCGACCACGGAGGGCUUCUACAUCAACACCAUAGCCCUUCCGAUGAGUUGUGAGUAGUUUACCAUAGACCUACGGGUCCAUAGUUAUUAGCUAGAUGGCUUGUUCUCUCUUUUUGGAUCUUAAUACAAUGUUCUCCCCCUCUCUUGUGGAGAUCUAUUCGAUGUAAUCUCUUUUUGCGGUGUGUUUGUCGAGAUCCGAUGAAUUGUGGGUUUAUGAUCAAGUUUAUCUAUGAAUAAUAUUUGAAUCUUCUCUGAAUUCUUUUAUGUAUGAUUGAGUUAUCUUUGCAAGUCUCUUCGAAUUAUCAGUUUGGUUUGGCCUACUAGAUUGAUCUUUCUUGCCAUGGGAGAAGUGCUUAGCUUUGGGUUCAAUCUUGCGGUGUCCUUACCCAGUGACAGAAAGUGUUGGGGAUGUAACUAUUCAUGUAAGCCCCCCGGGAGGGGCCGGGUUACACAAAUAAGACUCACCAGAAGGAAGCCCAAGACCAAGCAUGAAGAUGGCGGUUCAGUACAGGGUCUGAGGCCCACGGGCGAGUUGAGGCCCGUCGUAGUAAACCGUCAUAAUGGCAUGACUUGUAUCAUAAGGUAGAUUUAACUAGUCACUGAGCCGGACACUGUUUAUGAGCCGGCCGGGACUCUGUAAGCCGCAGGGCGUCAACCCGUGUAUAUAAGGGGACGACCCGCCGGCGGCUUAGGCCAAGAAAUAACUGAUCGAGAGUCGGGCAUAGCGUAUCUCGCUCCCUGGUCAUCAAAACAUCAAUACCAACCCAACUAGACAUAGGCUUCCCUUCACCGUAAGGGGCCAAACUAGUAUAAACCUCUCGUGUCCUUUGUCCCGAUUAACCCCUUCAAGCUUCCUAGUUGCGAUGGCUCCACAACUAAGUCCUUUCACGAGGACAUCCGACGUGACAAUUCCACGACAGAAAGGGUUGCAAGGCACGUAUUGUAUUGUUGCCAUCGAGGAUAAAAAGAUGGGGUUUAUAUCAUAUUGCAUGAGUUUAUCCCUCUACAUCAUGUCAUCUUGCUUAAGGCGUUACUCUAUUCUUAUGAACUUAAUACUCUAGAUGCAGGCAGGAGUCGAUCGAUGUGUGGAGUAAUAGUAGUAGAUGCAGGCAGGAGUCGGUCUACUUGUUGCGGACGUGAUGCCUAUAUACAUGAUCAUGCCUAGAUAAUCUCAUAAUUAUUCGCUUUUCUAUCAAUUGCUCGACAGUAAUUUGUUCACCCAUCGUAAUACUUAUGCUAUCUCGAGAGAAGCCUCUAGUGAAACCUAUGGCCCCCGGGUCUAUCUCUUAUCAUAUUUGCUUCCAAUCUACUUUUAUUCACAUUUUUACUUUUUGCAUCUAUAUUAUAAAAUACCAAAAAUAUAUUUAUCUUAUCAUACUAUCUCUAUCAGAUCUCACAUUCGCAAGUGGUCGUGAAGGGAUUGACAACCCCUUUACUGUGUUGGUUGCGAGUUCUUGGUUUGUUUGUGUAGGUGCGUGGGACUUUUGAGGAGCCUCCUACUGGAUUGAUACCUUGGUUCUCAAAAACUGAGGGAAAUACUUAUGCUACUAUUGUUGCAUCACCCUUUCCUCUUCAAGGUAAACCAACGCAAGCUCAAGACGUAGCAAGAAGGAUUUCUGGCGCCGUUCCCGGGAGGUCUUCGCUCAAGUCAAGACAUACCAAGUACUCAUUUACAUUAUUUGUCAUUUGCCUCUCGUUUUCCUCUCCCCCACUUCACCCUUGCCGUUUUAUUCGCCCUCUCUUUCCCAAUCUCCUCCUCUCUUUUCGCUUGCCUUUUCUGUUUACUUGUGUGUUGGAUUUCUUGUUGCCAUGGCGCAAGACAAUACCAAAUUGUGUGAUUUCUUGAAUACCAAUAAUAAUGUUUUCCUUAGUACUCCGAUUGCUCUUCUUAAAGAUGUUGAGUCUUGUGAAAUCAAUGUUGCUUUGCUGAAUCUUGUUAUGAAAGAUCAAUUCGCUGGCCUUCCUAGUGAAGAUGUCGUUUCUCAUCUAAACAACUUUGUUGAUUUGUGUGAUAUGCAAAAGAAGAAAGAUACCGAUAAUAAUAUUGUCAAAUUGAAGUUAUUUCCGUUUUCACUUAGAGAUCGUGCUAAAUUUUGGUUUUCGUCUUUGCCUAAAAAUAGUAUUGAUUCUUGGAACAAGUGCAAGGAUGCUUUUAUCUCUAAGUAUUUUCCUCCCGCUAAGAUUAUCACUCUUAGGAACGAUAUUAUGAAUUUUAAACAACUUGAUCAUGAGCAUGUUGCACAAUCUUGGGAAAGAAUGAAAUUGAUGAUUCGCAAUUGCCCUACUCAUGGUUUGAAUUUAUUGAUGAUCAUACAAAAAUUUUAUGCCAGUUUGAACUUUGCUUCUAGAAAUCUUUUAGAUUCGGCUGCGGGAGGCACGUUUAUGGAAAUCACGUUAGGAGAUGCUACAAAACUUCUUGAUAAUAUUAUGGCUAAUUAUUCUCAAUGGCACACCGAAAGAUCUUCUAGUAAAAAAGUGCAUGCUAUAGAAGAAAUCAAUGUUUUGAGUGGAAAGCUGGAUGAACUUAUCAAGUUGUUUGCUACUAAAAAUACUCCUAUUGAUCCCAAUGAUAUGCCUUUGUCUACUUUGAUUGAGAAUAAUAAUGAAUCUAUGGAUGUGAAUUUUGUUGGUAGGAAUAGUUUUGGAAACAAUGCUUAUAGAGGAAACUUUAAUGCUAGACCGUUCCCUAGUAAUUCCUCUAAUAAUUAUGGAAAUUCCUACAAUAAUUCUUAUGGUAAUUUUAAUAAGAUGCCCUCUGAUUUUGAGAAUAGUGUGAAAGAAUUUAUGAUUUCUCAAAAGAAUUUUAAUGCCUUGCUUGAAGAAAAAUUGCUCAAAGUUGAUGAUUUGGUUAGGAACGUUGAUAGACUUUCGCUUGAUGUUGAUUCUCUUAAACUUAGAUCUUCUCCUACUAAGCAUGAUAUCAAUGAGUCUCUCAAAGUAAUGAGAAUUUCCAUUGACGAGUGCAAGGAAAGAACCGCUAGAUUGCGUGCUAAGAAAGAUAGCUUUAUAGAAGCGUGUUCUUCUAGUUUGCAUGAAAAUAAUGAUGAGGAUCUUAAAGUUAUUGAUGCAUCUCUUAUUAGAUCUAUGUUUUGCAAUAUGAAUCUUGAUGAUUAUGCGACUGAUGAUGAGUCAACUUUACCUAGAAGGCGUCCCAAAAAUUUGGAGUUUUUAGAUCUUGAUGCUAAAUUUGGUAAAAGUGGGAUUGGAGAGGUCAUGACUUUAAAUAGUAUUGAACCCACUAUCUCGGAUUUCAAGGAAUUUGAUUAUGAUAAUUGUUCUUUAAAAGGUUUUAUUUCCUUGUUGCAAUCCGUUGUUAAUUAUCCUCAUGCUUAUACUCAAAAUAAAGCUUUUACCAAACAUAUCGUUGAUGCCUUGUUACAAUCUUAUGAUGAAAAACUUAAUUUGGAAGUUUCUAUACCUAGAAAACUUAAUGAUGAGUGGGAAACUACUAUAAAGAUUAAAAUUAAAGAUCAUGAGUGUUUUGCUUUGUGUGAUUUGGGUGCUAGUGUUACCACGAUUCCAAAAAAUUUAUGUGAUAUUCUAGGUUUCCAUGAUCUUGAUGAUUGCUCUUUAAAUUUGCACCUUGCGGAUUCCACCAUUAAAAAGCCAAUGGGAAGGAUCAAUGAUGUUAUCAUUGUUGCAAAUAAAAAUUUGGUGCCCGUAGAUUUUAUCGUUCUUGAUAUAGAUUGCAAUCUUUCUUGCCCUAUUAUUCUUGGUAGACCUUUCCUUAGAACGAUUGGCACGAUUAUUGAUAUGAAGGAAGGGAAUAUUAGAUUCCAAUUUCCAUUAAAGAAAGGUGUCGGUGUCAAAACCGGCGGAUCUCGGGUAGGGGGUCCCGAACUGUGCGUGUAGGCGGAUGGUAACAGGAGACAAGGGACACGAUGUUUUUACCCAGGUUCGGGCCCUCUCGAUGGAGGUAAAACCCUACUCCUGCUCGAUUAAUAUUGAUGAUAUGGGUAGUACAAGAGUGGAUCUACCACGAGAUCAGAGAGGCUAAACCCUAUAAGCUAGCCUAUGGUAUGAUUGUUGUUCGUCCUACGAACUAAAACUCUCCGGUUUAUAUAGACACCGGAGAGGGCUAGGGUUACACAGAGUCGGUUACAAUGGGAGGAGAUCUUCAUAUCAUAUCGCCAAGCUUGCCUUCCAUGCCAAGGAAAGUCCCAUCCGGACACGGGACGGAGUCUUCAAUCUUGUAUCUUCAUAGUCCGGGAGUCUGGACAAAGGUCAUAGUCCGGCCAUCCGGACACCCCUAAUCCAGGACUCCCUCAGUAGCCCCUGAACCAGGCUUCAAUGACGACGAGUCCGGCGCGCAAGUUGUCUUCGGCAUUGCAAGGAGGGUUCUUCCUCCAAAUACUUCAUAGAUGAUAUUGAACACAAGGGUAGUGUCCGGCUCUGAAAGAUAAGUUCCACAUGCCACCGUAGAGAGAAUAAUAUCUAUACAAAUCUAAUCUGCUGACGUAUUCCGUAGCGUGACGUCACGGCCAGGACUUUAUUCGAAUCGUUUUACUGUUCCACCUCAGCGCGUUUAGCGAGGCGGUUUCUUUGGCACGUCUUGUCAAAGCAGAGAUCGUGUUCCCUUAUUCCGGGAUUCUCAUCAAUACGGGCGUGGUAACCCAACCGUGCCUUUGGUAUGACUAAUUGAAAGCGAGUCUCAAACGGUUACGGGGAGGGCUCUUGGUAUUCAACUCCUUUAUAAAGGGACCAAGGCUCGGCUCCCUUCUUUUCAAUCCAAUCGAAUCCGCCCCUUGCUUCGAGUUCCAACACCCAAAGCUCUAGUUUUAGGCGCUUCGGACCUUCGACGAUGUCCGGGUCCAACCUUGAAGGCCGGUGGAUGCCUUCCUCUGUUACGGAAGAAGAUGUGCGAAAGCUGAGAGAUGCCAGGUAUCUCACGGGCGAAAUCUCGCAUAGGCUGCCUGCUCAAGGGCUGGCCAUUCCCACUCCCCAUCCCGGUGAGAGCGUGGUGUUCGCAUCUCACUUCCUUCGGGGGCUAGCCUUCCCGGUUGAUCCCUUCGUGUGGGGGCUUAUGUUUUCUUACGGGCUGGAGUUCCACGACUUAGCUCCGGAGUCUAUCCUCCAAAUCUCAUCAUUCAUUGUCGUGUGUGAGGCCUUCCUCCAUAUCACUCCUCACUUCGGAUUGUGGCUAAAAACCUUCAAGGUGGAACCGAAGAUGACCGAGGGGCAGCACGCUAAGUGCGGAGGAGCUAUAAUAAGCAAGAUGGCCGACGCUCCAUGGCCCGAAGGCUCUUUUCAAGAGGAGUUCGACUUAUGGCAACGGGACUGGUUUUACAUCACAGCCCCCAGGGGCACCACAUGGGUGGCGCCACCUACUUUUCGCUCGGGUCCCCCACCACGGCUAGCGUCAUGGGUUAAUGAAGGACUUAUCUGGGGGCCACCCAAAGACGUGCCCUUGUUGCAGGACCGCAUUCGAGAUCUUCUAGAAAGAGAUAUCAAUUUGACCGUAGUGGCGGAAGUCAUGUUGAUUCGCCGCACACUGCCCUGCAAACGUCGACCUCUCCGCCUGUGGGAAUUUAAUCCGGAGGGACCGCGAGUCCUCCAACAUUUCAUGGGUGCGACACCCGUGGAGAUGUACAAAUUGUUCUUCGGAUCACAAGCAAGGUGACCGUAUUUGUCCGAGGACGCAGGUCUGAGCUGCAAUCGCCCGGAUGCUAAGGUAAGUAGCCUCGUAUUUGGACACACCAUCCGUAUUUUCAUCACAAAAUUACCCUUAACAGAGUUGUCCUUUGAACAGGAGUGGAUAGUGAAGGCAAAGCUUAUCAGGUGUCCAGCCCCCCUGCCCGAGACCGCGCCGAAUCCCAUGCUAACCAGGAUGUUGGAGGUCAUGCUUUUGGCGGAAGGCGAAGGGGGGAACCCAGGGGCUACCGCCUCCACGAAGGAGGCUGUUAGGAAGGGAAGAAUCAAAAAUUCCCCCAACCAGGGAAAGAAAAGGACUGCCUCUGAAGACCCGGAGGUGAUGGCCUCAAAACGGGGGAAGAAAUGUUUGCCAGAGGGUUCGGCACCAGAGAACGCCCCGGCCAAAUCGCCCCCUAAGGGGGACCUGCUCUCCCCCGAGACGUAAGUGAAAGGAGGGGUUCCAUAAUGAAUGACACUCCUGUUUUAAUGCUGAGGAAGAUAACCGAAACAUUACCUUGCAGUUCGGAUCUCAACCCUUCUCAGCAGAGCUCAUCUUCAGGGGAUCUUCGUCCGGAGAUGAUAGAGAGCGAAACGCCUCCUCUUGUUGCACCGUCUCACAAGGCAGGCGACCCUGAGGUGUCGUCUUGGAGGGUCUUCGCAAGUCCGGACCCUGGAAAAGGUCGUCAGGCUAGUCCGGCACCCUCUGGUGCACAGUCGGAGGGGCUGGAGGAUCUGCUUGAGAGGGCGUCCAUCUCAGAAGAACACCGUAUGUUAAUGAAUACGGUGAUUGGAAGGAUUUCAUCCGUGGAAAGCGGAUUGUACGAGGCUGCCAGGAGUUUACUAACAGGCUUUGAGGUACGCAAAAAAGUUGUACCUUUUGGUAGAGCCGCAUAUUAAAUGCGCCCUGUAUAAAUAGUAGCCCCUGAGACUCUGUGUCGUCAAGGGUGACGGCGCACAGAGGAUCAUAACCCUAGGUAUAAUAUGUCGCCUUUUCCAUGAAGGUGGCGAGGCGUUCGGUGGCUAGCCGGACUGAUGAAUCUGCCGAGCUAAAGCGGCAACUUAACGUAGCAGAUGCUGACAUCGCGCUUGUAAAUAAGCGGCUAGACGAGGCACAAGGUAUGUUCCAAAGACACCUGGUAAUAGGAGCUUGAUGCUCGGGCCUUAUAUAUAUGUGCCUAAUGUAGAUGGUGCUGCUGCAGUGGAGAACCUUCGGGUGGAACUUGCCCAAGCCAAGGAGCAAGCAAGGAGAAGUGAUGCGGCUGUCGUUAAAGCGGCUGAAGAGCUAAAAGCCGAACAGGCUACUCACUGCCAGAGCAAAAAGGUGAUAGCCAAAAUGACCAUAAAGUUGAAGGAUGCUACCGACCGCUGUAAAUUUCUUGAACAAGAAGAUAUGACGGCUCAGAAGGAUCUUGAAAAGAUCACUGCCGAAGCCAAGGAUACUCGCUUUGCAAUGAGAGCUAUGAAGGAGGAGCUGCGUCAGGCCAGAGAUAUCACGUCUGGAAAGCCCUAUAUGCUGUGGAUGAAGUUCGGAGACCCCAAGUAUGCUCCGUUAGACCGGCAGUGGAGUGCGGAAAACACUUAUCUGGAUUUGGCAGCUAGUGCGGCGGACGCGACCGAACACUUCCAUGGCUGAGGUGACCAUGGAUUGGAAGAGCUUUUUUGGUUGCAGUUCCACAAUUCAGAACACCCACUUUCGGUAUCCGACCGUUUGGCCGCCUGGGCGGAGCUGAACAAGUUAUCCGGACUCGCCAUGAGGUAUGUUGCGAGUCGUCUGUGGCCGGUGAAGCCGGAGCCGAAGAGUUAUUUUGGCUUGGUGCAGCAGUUCCUUGGUUCGGUGCCGCAUGCUGAUGCAAUGAAGAGGUCGGCGUGCAGAGAGGGCACACAGAUGGCUCUUGCCCAUGUCAAAACAUACUGGGCGGAUAUGAAGGCCAGUGUUGUUGCAUCCCGUGAUUCGGACGAAAGCCGAGUACCUGCCAAGCACUACUUUGAGGAAGUUCUGCAUGGCGCUCGUUUAAUAGAGUCGCGGUGCUCGAAGGAUGUUGUGUUCGAAUAGCGUGUGCUAUUUGUAAAACGAAUAUUUUGAUGGAAUAUAAAAGCUUUUUUAUACUUGUGCUUGCAAGAAUUAUGAUGCCUCCUAUGCGGCCGUUUAAUGUAUAUAUUUGUAUAUAACCUAAAAGAUGGCAGUCGUUGGCUUCAGCCCCCACGCAUAGAAUGCGGGGGUGUUCACAAAAAGGCACCUUUUCAUAAUUAAUCCAACGUCUUGGUCCUAUAAAGGAGGUGGUGGCGCGGCGAACUAGGCAACCGGACUAUAAUGCUUUAUCACUUUCACUUAGCCAUAGGAGUUUGACAGUGGGGCUACUGAAUAGCCCCUAGGGGCACCGCGCUCACCCGGAUUCGGGGCGCGAGUGUGCCUGACCGGGAAGCGGCCCUUCGUUAAUGCGGAGGAAUCCUAAAGAUUCUGAAAGUCAUCGAGUGGUUGACCAGUCUCUCGCUAUAUCAUGACAGUCAGUUUUCGGCUUUCUCUACUGAGGUGCUCGCCUGGCCGAACCGGGGCACAAUCGCAGUAGUUCUCCUGGUGCCGUAUUAGCCGAUAUAACGGAAUGUAAGGCAGCAAAACACAGGAGCCGGACAAACCCAACAUUUGACCAAAGACAUGAUUUGGAGCUGAUGCAUAUAGGGCCAAACUCGCGACGUCGAACACUCCCUAAGGUAUUCGGUCUUUAUGAGGACGGGCCGAAAUAGAGCCCUUGGUAAAAAAAGCCCCUGGUGUCCAAGUACGAGCAAAAAUUUUGGCGUGGCCAUAUGUCAAGACGCCAGCCUCCUCCUCGGUUAUAGCGAAAACCGGGGGAUGUUGUCAACAAGAGACAGUAAAAAAGGUUUACACAGGGUCUUAAUCUGAAAAGAAUCCUUGAAACGGGUCCCUGCUGCACGUCUGCGCCUGUGUCUCCGUUGUGCCAUAUCCUGGACGGGCGUAGCACGAUGUUCGUCUGUGAAAGAGAGGAACUUAGUAAAAAAUAAGCAUGCGAGAAAUCUAUAUUUAAAAUAAACAAAAUAUAGUUGGAGCAAGAAUUGAGCCGUAUUGUCUCCAUGCGUGAACACACGGAGCCCCUUGUACGGGGUUAUGCGGCUAUUAAGCAUAUGUACAUUUACGCCGGACUCGUCGAGCCAUGUCCGGGAUAGUAGGGCUAGAUUAGUGGGCGGCUGUCUAGGCGGCCACACCUUUGCCCGUACUUUGGGGGUCAAUUUAUAUUCCCCUGUAAUGAAAUGAUGCCUGGUGGACCAGGCAUUUUAAGUGUAAGGGAUGCAUAAUGCGGUAUUGCGUUAAAGCGGGCGAAGGCUUCUCGUCCCAGUAGCGCUUGAUAGCGGCUUACGAAUGGGGAGAUGUGGAAUGUUAGCUUUUCGCUUCGGAAGUUGUCGGGUGAGCCGAACGUGACUUCUAACGAAAGGGAACCCAUACUUUAGGUAUUUGGACCCGGCGUGACUCCUUGAAAGGAAGUGUUGCCAUGGCGGAUUAUAGCUGGGUUUACCCCUAGUUUGGGGAUUGUGUCCUGAUAUAGCAGGUUCAAGUCACUACCGCCGUCCAUAAGGACUUUUGUAAAUUGGAGUCCGUUAAUGAUCGGAUUCACGACCGGGGCAGUCCAGCCUGCGUUCCGGGCUCCUAUGGAGUAAUCCUGAUGAUCGAAGGUGAUUGGUUGUAGCAACCAGUGGUGGUGCUCUUCUGGGGCUGGCCGUACGGCGCGUGUCUUUGUAAGCGCCAUUCUGUUUUUCCCUUUUGUCAUCUGAAGUGAAUUUACUGUCUUGACUUAUUGUGGGAACUUCUUUUGUUCUCCGGUGUUCUGCUUGUGGGGUGCGUCGUCAUCCUCGCUUGGUGUGUCGAGCCCCUUGUGUUCGGCGUUGAGUUUGCCGGACUAUUUGAAGACUCAACAAUCUCUGUGGGUAUGGUUGGCAGGCCUCCCCGGAGUAUUGUGGAUUUGACAUAUUUUGUCCAAGAUUUUGUUGAGGUUGGAUAGCUCGUCCCUGUCAUCUUUGGGGGGCGGCUUUUUCUGAUUUUGCCGAGAGCUUUUGAAUUCGGCUUUUACUGCCGUGCUCAUCGGGCUAUUGUGCUUGAUCCGGCGCGGUUCUUUGUUACGGCGCGGUUUCCCGUUUCCAUCUCUAGGUUCGGAUGUAUUCGGGUCGCUGGUGCUGCUUCUUGCCAACCAGCUAUCCUCUCCUGCACAGAAGCGGGUCAUGAUGCUUGUUAAUGCGGCCAUUGUUCUUGGCUUUUCUUGGCUGAGGUGUCUGGCAAGCCAUUCGUCUCGGAUGCUAUGUUUGAAAGCUGCUAGGGCAUCGGCGUCCAAACAGUCGACUAUCUGAUUCUUUUUAGUGGGGAAUCUGUUCCAGAGUUUCCAAGCGGACACUCCGGGCUGCUGAGUUAUAUGACUCAGAUCAUCUGCAUCCGGAGGUCGGACAUAGGUCCCUUGAAAAUUUGCCCGAAAAGCGUCCUCGAGCGCUUCCCAACUUCCCAUGGUGUUUUCGGGAAGGCUUUUAAGCCAAUGCCGGGCUGGCCCUUUGAGCUUAAGUGGUAAGUAUUUUAUGGCAUGGAGGUCAUCUCCUCUAGCCAUGUGUAUGUGGAGGAUGUAAUCCUCGAUCCAGACUCCAGGAUCUGUUGUUCCGUCGUAUGCUUCUAUGUUUACGGGCUUGAAUCCCGCUGGAAAUUCAUGAUCCAGCACCUCAUCGAUAAAACAUAGGGUAUGUGCGGCGCCCCUGUAUUUAGGUGUGCCGCGAUGUUCGGAUAUUUUUUGCAUUGCAUUGCUCAUUGGAGCUUGCUUUCUUGGCCCAUAGAUGGAUCUGGUUGGGCCAGUUUUUUGAUGCAAAUUCUUGGACAGAUCGCGCUCCGUAUGGAGUGCGGCGCCUCCUGUUGCUUGAGAUCGAUCGUGGGGUCGUCUAUCCGACCUUGUGGCUUCCUUAUUUUUUGACUGUGGGGGCUUUAUGGCCUCUUCAUCAAAUUCCGGUAGUAGUUUCCGCUUCGGUUAGCACUUUGUGUGACGACUAUUGCCAUACUUGUGUGCGGUAUUGUGCACUUUGCCCCAUCUGAUUCUGAGUGCAUCUUCCUCUGUUUUGAGCCUCCGCUUCUGCUUUUUCAGGCUACGUGCGGUGGCGAUGAGUCUUUGGUGGAGGUUCUAAUGCUCCAGCAAUUUGUCCGGCGUGAGAUCGUUCGGACUAUUAUCUUUCCCGGGGAUGGGUUGUUCGGAUUGUCCGCCCUGAUUGGACGGUUGCUCGAUGGCAUGUUCGUCUUCCGUUGAUUCACCCUGCUCUAUGGCUGGGUCUUUGUCGAGGUCGGGCUUGGCCUUGCGCUUACGCCGCCGCUUUGAUUGCUUUUCGAGGGAGCGAUCCCUGGUUGCGCCCUUUUGAUCCUCGUUGUCAUUUCUGUUAGGUGUGUCCACCAUGUAUAUAUCGUGUGAUGAGGUGGCUUUACAGUGCCCUAUAGGUGCUGGUUCUUGUUUAUCUCCUCUAUCUGUGUCCAUACUGUCGAUGUCUUCACAGUCGAAGUCGAGCAUGUCGGUUAGAUCGUCGACAGUGGCUACCAAGUGGGUGGUGGGUGGGUUUCGAAUUUCUUCGUCGUCCGCAUCCCAGCCAUGCUGACCGUGGUCCGGCCAGGGCUCUCCUGACAAAGAGAGAGACUUUAGUGAAUUCAGGAUGUCACCAAAGGGCGAGCGCUGAAAGACGUCCGUGGCGGUGGACUCCAUGAUCGGAGCCCAAUCGGGUUCGAUCGGGAGGGGUGCGGAAGAUUUGGAGUCCGGAACGGAGUCCGGCACCUUGGAGUCACGGGCCUUGCAAAGGACUAGGCUGGUAUUCGGCUCUAUCGCCGUAGAGAUUGCGGCUCCUGGGGCGGCGUCCAACCGUCCGUCCCUAGUUAGCGCAGUCGGCUCCGGGCUAAUGGUCGGAGCGGACACCUGAGCGGCGCUCUGGGCGCUGUCCGGCGGCAGAGCUAGAUCAUGCCCAUCGAGACAGUGCGACACGCUCGGUCGCGGCUCGAAUCCGUUGAAGACCAAGUCCCCGUGGAUAUCGGCCGUGUAGUUUAAGAUUCCAAACCUGACCUGAUGGCCAGGGGCGUAGCUUUUGAUCUGCUCCAGAUGGCCAAGCGAGUUGGCCCAUAGUGCGAAGCCGCCGAAUACGAAGAUCUAUCCGAGGAGAAAAGUCUCACCCUGGACCGCGUCGUGAUUGAUGAUCGAAGAAGGCAUCGGGCCUAAAGGUGACGACACAGAGGAACUCUCAAUGAAAGCACCAAUGUUGGUGUCAAAACCGGCGGAUCUCGGGUAGGGGGUCCCGAACUGUGCAUCUAGGCGGAUGGUAAUAGGAGACAAGGGACAUGAUGUGUUUACCCAGGUUCGGGCCCUCUCGAUGGAGGUAAAACCCUACCCCUGCUCGAUUAAUAUUGAUGAUAUGGGUAGUACAAGAGUGGAUCUACCACGAGAUCAGAGAGGCUAAACCCUAGAAGCUAGCCUAUGGUAUGAUUGUUGUUCGUCCUAUGGACUAAAACUCUCCGGUUUAUAUAGACACCAGGGAGGGCUAGGGUUACACAGAGUCGGUUACAAUGGGAGGAGAUCUUCAUAUCGUAUCGCCAAGCUUGCCUUCCACACCAAGGAAAGUCCCAUCCGGACACGGGACGGAGUCUCCAAUCUUGUAUCUUCAUAGUCCGGGAGUCCGGCCAAAGGUCAUAGUCCGGCCAUCCGGACACCCCCUAAUCCAGGACUCCCUCAAAAGGCAAGGAGCACUUUCCAAGAAAUAAAGUCAAAUUACCUUAUGAAUCUAUCAUGCGAGCUAUUUAUGAAUCAAGUGCCAAAGAUGGCACUACUUAGAUCUAUCUUCGCUUUUAUGCCUAGGGCGUUAAACGAUAGCGCUAGUUGGGAGGCAACCCAAUUUUCUUUGUGUUUUUUGUUUUUGUUCCUGUUUAGUAAUAAAUUUUGCAUCUACUUCCUGCUUAGAUGUGUUUUUAUCUUUUAAUUAGUGUUUGUGCCAAGUAGAACCUAUAGGAUAAACUAUGAUGAUAGUUGAUUUGAUUCUUCUGAAAAACAGAAACUUUGUGCUCACGAUAAAAAAAUCAAUAAAUCACAGAAACGUGCUUUUCCAUUGAUUCUUUUUGCUUCUGAUCAAUAUUUUUUUCCAGUACUUCCUAUUUUGGUAGGAUUUUUAGAGUUCCAGAAGUUUGUGUUAGUUAUAGAUUGCUACAGACUGUUCUGUUUUUGACACAUUCUGUUUUUCGUGUAUUGUUUGCUUAUUUUGAUGUAUCUAUGGCUAGUAAAAUAGUUUAUAAACCAUAGAAAGUUGGAAUACAGUAGGUUUAACACCAAAAUAAAUAAAGAAUGAGUUCAUUACAGUACCUUCUAUGGUGGUUUUGUUUUCUUUCACUAACGGAGCUUAUAAGAUUUCAUGUUGAGUUUUGUGUUGUGAAGUUUUCAUGUUUUGGGUAAAGCUUUUAUGGACUAUGGAAUAAGGAGUGGCAAGAGCCUAAGCUUGGGGAUGCCCAAGGCACCCCAAGAUAUUCAAGUAUAGCCAAAAGCCUAAGCUUGGGGAUGCCUCGGGAAGGCAUCCCCUCUUCCGUCUUUGUUCAUUGGUAACUUUACUUGGAGCUAAUUUUUAUUUGCAACAUGAUAUGUGUUUUGCUUGGAGCGUCGUGUAUUAUAUUAGUAUUUUCUUUUUAGUUUACCACAAUCAUACUUGAUGUACACACCUUUUGGGAGAAGCCUACUUGAUUAGAAUUUGCUAAAAUACUCUAUGUGCUUCACUUAUAUCUUUUGAGCUUGAUAGUUUUUGCUCUAGUGCUUCACUUAUAUCUUUUAGAGCACGACGGUGGCUUGAUUUUAUAGAAAUUGCUAGUCUCUCAUGCUUCACUUAUAUUAUUUUGAGAGUCUUUUAGAACAGCAUGGUAUUUUCUUUGGUUACAAAUUUGGUCCAAGAAUGAUGAGCAUCCAAGUUGGGUAUAAUAAAAAUAUCAUAGAAAUUGAAUUGGAUGCUAUGAUCAAUUUGUUGCUUGAUAAUUGUUUUGAGAUAUAAAGGUUGUAAUGUUAGGGUCAUGCUAGUGGAUAAUGAUGAAAUUGAGAAAUACUUUUGUUGAAGUUGGCAAGUCCCGUAGCAUGCACGUAUGGUAAAAGUUGUGUGACAAAUUUGUUACAUGAGGUGCUCUUUUGAUUGUCUUCCUUAUGAGUGGUAGUCGGGGACGAGCGAUGGUCUUUUCCUACCAAUCUAUCCCUCUUGGGGCAUGUGUAGUAGUACUUUGCUUCAAGGGCUAAGUAGACUUUUGCAAUAAGUAUAUGAGUUCUUUAUGACUAAUGUGAGUCCAUGGAUAUACUCACACUCAUCCUUCCACUUUGCUAGCUUUUCUUACUACCGCGCAACUUUCGCCGGUAUUGAACCCAUUAUUUACCUUCCUCAAAACAGCCACCAUACCUACCUAUUAUGGCAUUUCCAUAGCCAUUCCGAGAUAUAUUGCCAUGCAACUUUCAACCGUUCCGUUUAUUAUGACACGUUUCAUCAUUGUCAUAUUGCUCUUGGCAUGAUCUUGUAGUUGACAUCGUAUUUGUGGCAAGGCCACCUUCAUAAUUUUCAUACAUGUCGCUCUUGAUUCAUUGCAUAUCCCGGUACACCGCCGGAGGCAUUCAUAUAGAGUCAUAUCUUGUUCUAGCUUUGAGUUGUAAUUCUUGAGUUGUAAAUCCAUAAAAGUGUGAUGAUCUUCAUUAUUAGAGCAUUGUCUCAGUGAGGAAAGGAUGAUGAAGACUAUGAUUCCCCCACAAGUCGGGAUGAGACUUCGGACUUUACAAAAAGAAAAAAGAGAAAGGCCAAAAAGAAAAAAAAAUAGGCCGAAGAAAGAAAAAAAGGAAAAAGAAAAAAGAAAAGGAAAGGAAAAAAAGAAAAAAUGAGAGAAAAAGAGAGAAGGGACAAUGCUACUAUCUCUUUUUCCACACUUGUGCUUCAAAGUAGCACCCUGAUCUUCAUGAUAGAGAGUCUCAUAUGUUGUCACUUUCAUGUACUAGUGGGAAUUUUUCAUUAUAGAACUUGGCUUGUAUAUUCCAAUGAUGGGCUUCCUCAAAAUGCCCUAGGUCUUCGUGAGCAAGCAAGUUGAAUGCACACCCACUUAGUUUGUUUUGUUGAGCUUUCAUAUAUUUAUAGCUCUAGUGCAUCCGUUGCAUGGCAAUCCCUACUCACUCACAUUGAUAUCUAUUGAUGGGCAUGUCCAUAGCCCGUUGAUACGCCUAGUUGAUGUGAGAUUAUCUUCUCCCUUUUUGUCCUUACAACCACCACCAUUUACCACCAUAGUGCUAUGUCCAUGGCUUGCGCUCGUGUAUUGCGUAAGAGUUGAAAAAGCUGAAGUGCAUUAAAAAGUAUGAAACAAUUGCUCGGCUCGUCAUCGGGGUUGUACAUGAUGGGAGUAUUUUGUGUAAUGAAAAUGAAGCAUGGCCUACCUAUAUGAUUUUGUAGGGAUAAGCUUUCUUUGGCUAUGUUAUUUUGAUAGGACAUGAUUAUUUGUUAGUAUGCUUUGAAGUAUUAUUAUUGUUAUGUUUUAUAAGCUUUUAUCUUGAAUCAUUUGGAUCUGAACAUUCAUGCCACAUUAAAUAAAAUUACAUUAAGAAUUAUGCUAGGUAGCAUUCCACAUCAAAAAUUCUCUUUUUAUCAUUUACCUACUCGAGGACGAGCAGGAAUUAAGCUCGGGGAUGCUUGAUACGUCUCCAACGUAUCUAUAAUUUUUGAUUGUUUCAUGCUAUUAUAUUACCCGUUUUGGAUGUUUAGGGGCUUUAUUUUACACAAUUAUAUCAUUUUUGGGACUAACCUACUAACCGAAGGCCCAGCCCGUGUUGCUGUUUUUUUGCCUAUUUCAGUAUUUCGAAGAAAAGGAAUAUCAAACAGAAUGAAACCUUUGGAGGCGUGAUUUUUGGAACGAACGUGAUCUAGAGGACUUGGAGUGCAAGUCAAGAAGCAGCCAAGGCGGCCACGAGAUAGGAGGCCCCCCUGUAGGGCGCGCCCCCUGUCUCGUGGGCCCCUCGGGCGGCCACCGACGUACUUCUUCCUCCUAUAUAAGCCUGCGUACCCUGAAAACAUCCAGGGAGCAACCAAAACACAAUUUCCACCAUCGUAACCUUCUGUAUCCGCGAGAUCCCAUCUUGGAGCCUUCGCCGGCCGCGUUCUGCUGGAGGGGGAAUCGACCAUGGAGGACUUCAACAUCAACACCAUAGCCCUUCCGAUGAGUUGUGAGUAGUUUACCAUAGACCUACGGGUCCAUAAUUAUUAGCUACAUGGCUUCUUCUUUCUUUUUGGAUCUCAAUAUAAUGUUCUACCCCUCUCUUGUGGAGAUCUAUUCAAUGUAAUCGCUUUUUGCGGUGUGUUUGUCGAGAUCCGAUGAAUUGUGGGUUUAUGAUCAAGUUUAUCUAUGAAUAAUAUUUGAAUCUUCUCUGAAUUCUUUUAUGUAUGAUUGAGUUAUCUCUGCAAGUCUCUUCGAAUUAUCAGUUUUGUUUGGCCUACUAGAUUGAUCUUUCAUGCCAUCGGAGAAGUGCUUAGCUUUGGGAUCAAUCUUGCGGUGUCCUUACCCAGUGACAGAAAGGGUUGCAAGGCACGUAUUGUAUUUUUGCCAUCGAGGAUAAAAGAUGGGGUUUAUAUCAUAUUGCAUGAGUUUAUCCCUCUACAUCAUGUCAUCUUGCGUAAGGCGUUACUCUGUUCUUAUGAACUUAAUACUCUAGAUGCAGGCAGGAGUCGGUCGAUGUGUGGAGUAAUAGUAGUAGAUGCAGGCAUGAGUCGAUCUACUUGUUGCGGACGUGAUGCCUAUAUACAUGGUCAUGCCUAGAUAAUAUCAUAAUCAUUCGCUUUUCUAUCAAUUGCUCGACAGUAAUUUGUUCACCCACCAUAAUACUUAUGCUCUCUCUCGAGAGAAGCCUCUAGUGAAACCUAUGGCCCCCGGGUCUAUCUCUUAUCAUAUUUGCUUCCAAUCUACUUUUAUUCGCAUCUUUACUUUUUUGCAUCUAUAUUAUAAAAUACCAAAUAUAUAUUUAUCUUAUCAUACUAUCUCUAUCAGAUCUCACUUUCGCAUGUGGCCGUGAAGGGAUUGACAACCCUUUUAUUGCGUUGGUUGCGAGUUCUUGGUUUGUUUGUGUAGGUGUGUGGGACUUUUGAGGAGCCUCCUACUGGAUUGAUACCUUGGUUCUCAAAAACUCAGGGAAAUACUUACGCUACUAUUGCUGCAUCACCCUUUCCUCUUCAAGGAAAACCAAUGCAACCUCAAGACGUAGCAGCGCCACCAAGGAGGUUCUGCACUCACCGCUGCAUUUUAUCUUUUAUUCGAUCUUACGAGGCUGCCGGUGCUCGAUACCGAGCAGACAUGGCGGGUCUCCAUCGACGGUGCCGUCGCCGGCCACAUCAUCCACGGCGUCUCUCCCCCAUGUCGUUGCUUCCUCGCGACGACUUCCACAAUGGCACUAGCUGCAGCUGCUCCGGCUCUCGCUCGUGCUGCGGCUCUGUUCUUGCUGUCGGUCGCGCUGCUGCACUGCUCCUGCUUUCGUUCGUGCUGCUGCUCUGCUCUUGCUCUCACUUGCGCUACUGCUGCUGCUGCUGCAUGACCUCCGGCAGCUACAGGAGUUGCUGCUUUAGUACUCGCUCACGGUGCUACUGCACGACUUGCUCUCUGCUAGUGCAUUCCCUACUCGAGCGUCUGCUGAUUUAGAUCACUGCUUCUCUGCUACUAGUGCUCGAACGCCCUAAACAUCUAUUGCAAUGCUCUGUUACUAGUUCAAUCAGUUUUGAUAGUAAAAUUCAGUUUCGAAUGUGAAGUUCAUUUUCUUCAGUUAAGUUUAGAGUGAACAGUACUUACAAAAUCUGUUACAGCGGCCGUGGCGCGGCUGAUGCGAUUUACAUCUAGCACUUUUUGGUGAUGUAUUUUACAUCAUCUAUUGCAGAUGAUAUUAGGGUCCCACUUCAGAUUAACGUUGCCUGUCUUGUCAUGCUUCAGCCUCGUCGCCGUACACCUUAGCGGAGCUUCUCCAACAACGGAACCGUCCAUCACAGCGGAGCAGGACCCUCGGCGCCAUUUCUAGAGGCCUCGGAUCUUCUUCCCCGCCUCCGACAGUCACACCAGCAUCAUCACCAUCCUCCACGUCCAACCCAAUGAUGCUGAGGUCCACAAGGCUAUGCCAAAGAGGUUGUACACUCGUCGCAUCACUUUGUUUCUCCAUUCCUCUAUUCUUCCAAUUCAUGUGAGCCAAACACCUAGGUUGACUGAAAUCCUAUGUUUCCAAAUGCUCUGUUUUGCACGUGCAUUCCUAUCCUAUUCAUGUGUUUUUCCUGUCCCUGCGUUUAUAGAAUCCUCCAAUUCUAAGGAGCCCUUACAGAUUUACUUCAUUUUCAGAUAGGCGUCAAAGAAAACUCUCUGUGUUAUGUCCUGCUCCUGCCGUGUCUUCAUCGACCCUACCUGAGGUGCACCAUCGACAGAAGCGUUCACUGCAGCAGAGAUCCCCCCUGCAGACUUUCUUUCGCCGCCUCAGAUCAUCUUCCCUGUUGCCGGCAGCCACGCCAACUACAUUACCAUCAUCGACUGAGCAGAUGAACCUGAGGACUACACAGUUCCGGAAGAGAGGUCGCAGUCUUUCGUGUUUGCUUACGUUAUACAUCAGUUAUUAUUACCUGCUACUUUAUCGUUCAAUCUUGAGUUUUGAAUUGCCCAUGGGUCUCAUACCGAGCGAGGAACGAAUAGUAUCUGUCUACUAUCUGGUUCAUCUGGGGUCUUCUAUGUGGUUCAUGUUGGGUGGGCAACAAACAAUAGAUGAUCCAUUGUUUAUCUUUUUAAACUGAAGCUAUAAUCUACCUGCUAUCAUUAGUUUUGGAUUCAUCCACUCGUUUGCUACCAUCAGUCUUGAUUUUUGCAUGCACCCCUUAGGCCUUACAAAAUCUAACUAUGUUUUUUAUUAUGCAUGUCAGAUAUUGUACACAAUCGUACUGAACAUGUAGAGAAAAAGAGAAGACCGUUGCAUGCGAAUAUAAUGUCAUGCAGACACCGCUCCAUGGUGGGCGAAGUGCCCCCCUCCUGCAUUUCCAGAUUGUAUUCUAGAGGAAGAUCACUGUUCAGAUGGAGAUUCAGAAGGAGCCGACCAUGCCUGUUUAUCACCUGAGGUGUUUGCUCUAACCUGGCAUGCUGAUGUUGGUCAUAUCAUGCAUAUGGCGCCUUGCAUUGCUUACAUUAUACAUCUUAUAUGUCAUCAGCUUAGUUUAGAUUUGCUUUGUGUGAAUGCCACCUGUUUGGUUUCCAUAUCAUACUCCCACCAUUCCUAAAUAUUCUUCUUUUUAUAGAUUUCAACAAGUGACUACAUACGGAACAAAAUGAGUGAAUCUACACUCUAAAAUAUGUCUAUAUACAUCCGUAUGUGGUAGUCCAUUUGAAAUCUCUAAAAAGACAAAUAUUUAGGAACGGAGGGAGUAUAUGGGAAUUAUGCAAUGGCAUUUUCUUUAGCCAGGCAUCAUAUACGUGAAUCAUGCAAUGCCAUCCUGUUUAGCCAGUCAUCGUAUAUGUGAAUUGUAUCGUGCCAUAUUUUUUUCCAUAAUGUAUUCCAUUUGUCAACAAUGUUUAUACAUUCAUCUACUCUUCCUGUGCAUCAGCCAUUUGAGUCGGUCAUGGGAAAAUCUGGAGUGAAAAGAAGGUCUUCUGAGCAAUCAGUGCUACCUGUCGAUGCAGAUUUCUUGCUGGUUACAGAUACCUCCUCAGAGGAGGAUUCGGAGAGAGAUGACCAGUCAUAUCCCCCCCCCCGCGAGGUGCAUGCUCUAACUUGGCUGGGUUAUAUUGCUCACAUCAUGCAUAUGGUGUCUUGCAUUGCCAUGCCAUCUGCUUAGAUUAGACAUGCUUUGUGUGAAUGCCUCCUAUUUGCUUUCUAUAUCAGAUAUGUGAAUUAUGCAAUGCCAUGUUUUUCAGUCAGUUAUCAUAUAUGUGAAUUAUGCACCGCCAUGGAGCCAGGCAUCAUAUAUGUGAAUUAUCUCAUGCCAUAUUUUUUUUCAUUACGUAUUCCAUUUGUUCGACAAUUUGUGUAUAUUGAACUACUCUUCAUGUGUAUCAGCCAUUUGAGCCGGUUAUGGAAAAAUCUAGAGUGAAAACAAUGUCUUCAGAGCAGGCAAUGGUACCUGUUGAAGCAUAUAUCUCGAUGGUACAGGGAGCUCCUCAGAGGAGGAUUCAGAGACAGAUGACCAGUCCAAUAUCCCACCUAAGGUGUAUGCUCUAAGUUGCAAUGUUUAUAUUUUUCAUAUGAUGCAUAUGGUGUCUUGCAUUGCUUAGUUUAGACAUCAUAUGCACAAUAUUGAAUUUUGUCUGCUUAGUUUAGAGAACAUGCAUGCGAGUGCCAGCUGCUUAGUAUAUGAAUCAAUUAUGUAAAUUAUCAUGCCAUCCUAUAUACGUAGACAACAUGUAUGUGAAUUAUUUCAUCCCAACCUAUUUUAGAAAGACAUCAUAUAGUUUUGUCAUGUCAUCCUGUUUAGGUACUCAUCGUAUGUUGAAUUAUGCCAUUAUAUCAUGUUAAGUUAUCCAUCAUAUAUCUGAAAUUGUGUCAUGCUAUCCUGUUUAGUUAGGCAUCAUGUAUGUGAAAUUAUGUCAUGCUGUCUUGUUUGGUUAGACAACAUAUAUGUGAAUUACCACAUCUGUCUAUCAUACAAUGUCUGUACGUUCAAUUUCUUUUCUUGUUUAUCAGCCAUUUGAAUUGGAGGGGGCGAUGGCAGUAUCUAAGGGAGCAAAAACCCGUUCUUCACAAAAGAUAGUGCUACCCGUCGAUGCAGAUAGAACCAUGGUUGUACUGGCCCACAAACUAGCCCCACCGCACAUAAUCGAGACUCUUCCAGAUUGCACACUUACACCGUUGGGCAGAGAACCAGCUACAACCCAUCUAACCUGUAGGACCUUGAAGUAUGUCUAGAGGGGGGUGAUUAGACUACUUGACCAAUUAAAAACUUAACCUUUUCCCAAUUUUAGAGUUUGGCAGAUUUUAGCAAUCUUUGGACAAGUCAAGCAAUCAUCACACAAAUCAAGCAAGCAUGCAAAGAGUAUAUAGGAAGUGGAAAUUAAAGCAAGCAACUUGCAAGAACGUAAAGGGAAGGGUUUGGAAUAUUCAAACGCAAUUGGAGACACGGAUGUUUUUGUCAUGGUUCCAAUAGGUGGUGCUAUCGUACAUCCACGUUGAUGGAGACUUCAACCCACGAAGGGUAAUGGUUGCGCGAGUCCACGGAGGGCUCCACCCACGAAGGGUCCACGAAGAAGCAACCUUGUCUAUCCCACCAUGGUCGUCGCCCACGAAGGACUUGCCUCACUAGAGGUAGAUCUUUAUGAAGUAGGCGAUCUCCUUGCCCUUACAAACUCCUUGGUUCAACUCCACAAUCUUGUCGGAGGCUCCCAAGUGACACCUAGCCAAUCUAGGAGACACCACUCUCCAAGAAGUAACAAAUGGUGCGUUGAUUUUGAACUCCUUGCUCUUGUGCUUCAAAUGAUAGUCUCCCCAACACUCAACUCUCUCUCAUAGGAUUUGGAUCUGGUGGAAAGAAGAUUUGAGUGGACAGCAACUUGGGAAGGCUAGAGAUCAAGAUUCAUAUGGUAGGAAUGGAAUAUCUUGGCCUCAACACAUGAGUAGGUGGUUCUCUCUCAGAAAUGGUAAGUUGGAAGUGUAGGUUUGUUCUGAUGGCUCUCUCCAUGAAUGAAGAGGAGGUGGAGGGGUAUAUAUAGCCUCCACACAAAAUCUAACCGUUACACACAAUUUACCAAUCUUGGUGGGACCGAAUCAACAAACUUGGUCAGACCGAUUUAUUAAACCUAGUGACCGUUAGGGUUUUCGGUGGGACCGACAUGCAACUCAGUAUGACCGAUAUGGUUAGGGUUAGGGCAUAACGUAAUCUCGGUGAGACCGAUUACACAAACUCGGUGAGACCGAUUUUGGUAAUUAGCUAACCAGAGAGUUGGUCAGGUAAACUCGGUGGGACCGAUUUGCUAUUUUCGGUGUUACCGAAAUGUUACAAAAGGGAAACAGAGAUUUUACAUUGCAAUCUUGGUGGGACCAAUCGCUCACUUCGGUUAGACCAAAACAUUACGAAGGGAAAUAGAGAGAUUACAAUCCCAUCUCGGUGAGACCGAGAUCCCUAUCGGUAAGACCGAUUUGCCUAGGGUUUGUGGCAAUGGCUAUGACAUAUGAACUCGGUGGCGCCGGAUAGAAAGAAUUGGUGUGACCAAUUUUGGCUUUAGGUUUAGGUCAUAUGAGGAUGUGAGAAAGUAAUUGAGGGUAUUUGGAGCAUAUCACUAAGAACUUGAAGCAAGAGGCUCAUUAAGGAACACCUCAUCCCUCCUUGAUACUAUUGGCUUUUCCUAUAGACUCAAUGUGAUCUUGGAUCACUAAAAUGUAAAAUGAAGAGUCUUGAGCUUUUGAGCUUGAGCCAAUCCUUUGUCCUUGAUAUUUUGAGGGAUCCACUUUCAUCAUCCAUGCCAUGCCAUUCAUUGAGCUUUCCUGAAAUAAUAGUCUUGGAAUAGCAUUAGCUCAAUGAGCUAUAUGUUGUUAUGAAUUACCAAAACCACCUAGGGACAGUUGCACUUGCAUAACCGCAACCCCAGCGGAUAGUAACCCACUUAUAGUUGACAAAGUACCAUGUCCACCACAGAGUACCCCCACACGAGCAGUUUGUAAAGCUACUGCAGUGCCCAAAGCACGAAGACCACCACAGUUAACCCAAACUCCAUGUUUAAAGCAGAAGAGCAACUGUUCUCAUGUCAGAUUCCGUAGCUAUGGUCCAUACUCCUUUGCUGUUGCAUCACCGUAUUUACUCAUACCAACUACUUUCGAAUUUGAAGGAUCCAAUUGAAACUCCAAUGGUGCAACAGGUAUGUUUUAAACCUAUUUCUUUAACUGGAUUGUUGUUCUAACUUCUUGCUCUAUGUUGAUUUCAGCUUAAGUUGUAUAAACAGUUAUGUUCUCAUGUGAUGCACAUUACAAGUGCUGCCAAUGUUGUGUAGUUUCUCACACUUAUAUUCUGUCUAUGCUGCUGUGUCUUAAAAAUAUAUGAGUUGAGCUGUGUCUCUAUCUUGAUUAGGGAACAUAAACUAGAAUGAUAUGGACAAUACAGUGACCAUAGUACAUAGAUAUAUGUUUGUUUCAUGCUAUUAUCCUGUCCACCUUACUACUGAACUGGUUUACCAAAAUGAGUUUCGUAUACUACAAGCUAAACCUGUGAUGUGUCUGCUUGUUUCUCUUGUAGUAUGCAAACAGAAUAUUGGAGAAGAGCACCCCACUAUGCAAUGGUAGAGAAAGUAAUGCAGAUAAGGUUCAAGAUAGUGAGACAACCCUGUUGGUCUCCAAGAAAGGUGAUAAAAACGAUCUUGUAGACAGUGAGAAAACCCCACAGUCCUGCGUUUAUGUAGUGUUCGCAUUACUGGCCAGUACCGUUGGCACAAGCUCUUCAAACUCGUUGCCUGAAUCACUUUGGCUUCUUCAGUCUCAGCUACAAGCUGAAAGGCAUUAGUCAGCUGUGCUGCGACAAGAAGCCGAAGGACUGAGGAAGUCCCUGCAGAAUUCAGAUGCGUACUUUCUUGUGCAACAGCAAGCGCUGGAGGAUUUAAGCGCCAAACAAGAGAAAGUUAAUAAGCUUGCUAAGCAUCUUGCUAGCAUUAUGGGCACCCGGGAUAUUGUUUCUUGAACUCUUCUGAAGUGGUUUCAGUUCUGGACUUGUUUUGCUCCGGUGUUUGUAUGCUGCUUUGUUCCCUAUAUUUGCACUGGUGGCGAACUUUGAUGCCCAGUGGAUGUAAUAUGUGUAAUAGUCGUGAUAGCCUAGCAUAAGUUGCUUGCUUAUUUAUUUCCUUGUUGUCUUGUAGUCAAUGCAGUUCUUUUUCCGCGGUUUGCUAGUGGCUGCAAUAAACUAUUUUUUAAAACUAGGCCACAAUAACCAUGGGCUUAUAUUUACUGUAGUGACAAUUGGCCUCCUACGGGCCGUAGAAAUAGUGGGCCUUCUACGGGCCGUAGAAACAGUAGGCCUUCUACGGGACAUAGAAAUAAUGGGCCUUCUACGGGCCGUAUCAUCAAUGGGCCUUAUACGGGCCGUAUGAUCGAUUGGCCAAACAUGGGCCAAUAACAGGACGCAUUAUGGCCGUAAACGGGCUAGAGUUGGAAUCAUCCGUUCAUGGGCUGACCUUAAUGGGCCAUCGUUAAUAGGCCGUAUUUGAUGACGUUAUGGAAAUGGCCCAACGUAUUAACGGACCACAAACGGGCCGACUGUAACCACGGGCUGAAUUUGGCCCACAAGCAGAAAAUGACAGUAACAGGUCGUAAGUAAACGAAUGCUGGAAAUGAGCCCAAGAUUAAAUGGGCUUUAAGAAGGCUGAAAGAUAACAUGGGCUGGAAACGGCCCAACGGAAUAACGGGUCGUUAAUGGGUAUAAAGUGAUACACUAUUCAUUACGGGCCAGUUUCACCACGGGCCAUUAAUGGGUGUAAAGUGAUACACUGUUUAUUACGGGCCAGUUUCACCACGAGCCGUUAAUAGGCCAAGAGUUACAUAGGGCCUCAUAUGGGCCGAAAGACGUCAUGGGCCAUACAUGGGCCAGAAGUGAAAACAGGCUGGAAUCAUAUUGGAUGGCCCAGAUGAUGCUACUAGGCCUAAUUCGGAUUGGUCGUAACGGGCCUUGGGUUAGCGGGCUGUAAAUGGGCUAUAUGCGAACAGGCCGUUAACAGGCUUUCCAUGGGCCGGCCCGCCAACUUUUAACCAAGUCAAAUGGGUCGGCCUUUUCACAGGAUUGGGCCUCUAAUGGGCCGUGCCACGUGUCGAUGUAUCAUAGGCAACUUCUGUCCAAUGAGUGGAUGACAUCUGUCCCAACUAUGAGCCGACACUUGUUUCCUCCAGCCAAUGAUGAUUUUACACAUGGAAAAUCCCCAUUGGUCGGGGCUGUUAACGGGUUAUCAGAUCCAAAACCCGACCUGAUAGCUUAACAGCGCUCCGUUACGAUGGAUGACACGUGUCGGUCAACCUUGACGAAAGCACGUCUGUGACGCGUGAUUUGUCGUCAUGGAAGUGGACACUUCCGUGAUGAUAAUUUUGGUAAUGUCAUGGAACACUUCUACGACAUCACAGGUAUGACUAUCUUGAUUCUGUCAUAAAAUCGUCAUGGAUGUACAUGAAUGACAAAAAACGCAACCUACUGUGACAAACACGUAUCAUCACGGAAGUGUAUUUUUUUUGUAGUGACAAGUUCACCAAAUGGUAGAAGCCAAACCAGUUAAAACAGCCGAAUCCGGACCAGUGAUAGACUUCAUCUCAGGGGUUGUGCACCGUUACGGCAUCCCUCACAGCAUCGUCACCGAUAAUGGCUCAAACUUCACAGUCGAUGAAGUGAAAACUUGGUGUGGAAACAUGGCCAUUAAGCUCGAUUAUGCCUCCGUCUACCAUCCCCAAACCAACGGUCAGGUCAAACGGGCAAAUGGUCUCAUUAUGAGCGGCAUCAAACCCAGACUAGUGCGGUCCUUGACAGAAUCGGACAUGCACUGGGUCGAGGAGCUCGACUCCGUACUCUGGGGGCCGUAGACCACCUGAAUCGUACCACCGGAUACACACCAUUUUUUAUGGUGUAUGGCGCAGAAGCAGUACUACCCUACGACAUAAUACACGACUCACCUCGCGUGCGCUUGUACGAAGAGAAGGAAGCCGAGUUAGAUCGACAAGACAACCUAGAUGCCCUGGAGGAGGAGCACGACGUCGCUAAAGCCCGUUCCGCAUUCUACCAGCAGCAGGCUCGACGAUAUCAAAGUAGAGAAGUGCGGGCCAAAACUUAUAAUAUUGGCGAACUCAUUCUACGCCUACCGGAGAAGAAGAAGGACAAUCUCAAACCUAAGUGGGAGGGCCCCUUCAUCAUCGAUAAAGUCCUCACCGAAGGAGCAUACCGCCUACAUAAUGCAUCCGAUAACACACUCGAGCCGAACCCAUGGAACGCGGCCAGACUNNNNNNNNNNNNNNNNNNNNNNNNNNNNNNNNNNNNNNNNNNNNNNNNNNNNNNNNNNNNNNNNNNNNNNNNNNNNNNNNNNNNNNNNNNNNNNNNNNNNNNNNNNNNNNNNNNNNNNNNNNNNNNNNNNNNNNNNNNNNNNNNNNNNNNNNNNNNNNNNNNNNNNNNNNNNNNNNNNNNNNNNNNNNNNNNNNNNNNNNNNNNNNNNNNNNNNNNNNNNNNNNNNNNNNNNNNNNNNNNNNNNNNNNNNNNNNNNNNNNNNNNNNNNNNNNNNNNNNNNNNNNNNNNNNNNNNNNNNNNNNNNNNNNNNNNNNNNNNNNNNNNNNNNNNNNNNNNNNCCGCUCAUUUAAUUAUGCUCCUCCCCCUCUCUUUUUCCUUUCUAACCCCUUUUUCCAUUCUUCACACAAAGUACUCAAUAUAGUACGAAUGCUCGGAUCACUCCGGCCGCACUAUGUGUGUAAACCAUACCUGGGGGAUUCCUAUACGGAAGCUAAAUAUAAAUUACUUUCAUGGCUUCUUGCCUAUCACAUAUGCGUUCUUUUUUCAUAUGUGCCUUUUCUUCACCAUUAUAUGCAUCGAUAUGACUUAAGAUGUGGCCAUGCUGGGUUGCCUGGCUCUUCUGUUUAUGCCCUACAUUCCCGUUAAUUCGGCUAGGGCAUAAGGGGAGCACCUCUGCGAUUGUUACUGCCGGUUCAGCCGGAUGUAUACCUCAGACUGGGUGAAGAUGAAAGCUAGCGUUCUUAAGGGAAUAUUCGGUCGGUGAACAAGAGAUGUUUCUUUCGUUUAUUACAAACAUGAAUCCCCAGAAGUUUUGUAUCUUGCAUUUCUGUUCGCAAUCCGGACAUGUACAUCGAUGCAUGCUUGCCCAGGGAAAGGAACCCCUAACGGAACUAUUGUCCCUGGAAGAUGUUUCUUACUACCCAUGUAAUAUAACAUAACUAGUUGGGUACUUGUCUGUUCAAGCACUUAUGACCCCGGCGCCUGGUUUCCACGCAUACCCCGGUUCUGCAUAACUGAGCGGGUAUUUGGAUACACCCCGGACUGUCGGAUCCGGGGGCUGAAGCAAAACGGUCCACCAUUACAAAUGAUCUUUAAUCCGGCUAGGGACUACAUAUGUCCAUUGAAUCACAUAGUCACUUGGACUUACUAUAUUCUUCCUCUAUACCUUCCAACAGGUUAUCUAGCUUGCAAUCCUGUUGGGAAUACUUUGCGGCUAACUCUACCUGGUCAUACACCAGACUCACGGGAAUUUCUUGCCCAUUUGGCCCCGCCGGUCUGACUUCGGCCAUAUGGUUCGGGUCAAGCUUGGUGUAGCGCGUCUUCACCAUGGCCCGGGCUUCCCUUGCACCUUGUCGGCAGGCUGACAUCUUCCACAAACGGAAGCGCCGCCGUGCUCCUUGUAGCAUAUCCACGAGCUCCCCCAUGCCUUUUGGCAGGGAAGUGGAUGGCCACAAGGCCUGGGAAAUACCCUGCAUCACCUGCCGAGCUCGCUUGUGCAGCUGUGAGAGGUCUUGCAGUAAAUCACCUACGAACGCGGGCACCUCCUCUUCAGGAUGGCCCAUCAACAUACCUACAGAUAUAAACUCUUUCAAUAUGCUUCCUCGCCGAGCUGUACUACAGUUCGUCUAGGCACUUACCAUAAAUGCCGCGACGAAGCCUUUUGUUCUCCUUCAUGGAGUCCACCAGCUGAGCGCGAACAUCUCCUAAUUCGACGCCCAGCCGGACAUUGGCAUCUUGAAGAUCGUUCUUCUCCCACCUAACUUGCGUAAGAACAUGCUCGCCAGCUUUUAGCUGCCUUUGGAGAUGUGACUCGCUAUCUUUUACGAUCUCCGGAUUCUCUCCGGGAUUGUCUGCAGAAAUUUCUGCUAGACUUAUCAAACAAGCCAAUCACUAACUGGUACAUUUCCAUAAAAUUUCGUUAUUAAAGACGAAAGUUACCAGGAGAGGCCUUUUGGGAUUCUUCCAGUUUGGAAACUGCGGCCCUCAACUGGUUUUGCACUCCUCCAGCUCUUGAGACAAUUGGGUAUUCUUCUCUACAAGGACAUAUGCAUAACAUGAUCCUUAAAUCAGUUGCUCCAACUAUUUCAAGUCUCAGGGGCUACUGCUAUGCAUGCUUAUCAAAUUUCCUUACCCGUAUAUCUUUUGCAUAUUGGUAUGUCGCUCGGGUGAGUCCGCCUUGAGCAGCCCGAAUAUAUGCGUCUCCCGAAUUAAAAGCAUUAAAUGCCUCUUUGGAAAACAUGUUAUUCCAAAGUAUGGUCCGUCGGCGCCAGUGAUUCAUGGCACUCUCCACUCCGGAAUUUGUGGCGGAGAGCAUAUCCGCAUCCUCUGUCGGAGGACAAUUCGGCAUCGGCCACGCAUUGGCCUCCUCUCUCGAAGACGGUUCGGGAAUCCGGCUGGUCGAGGCGUGAUCGGCAGGUCCCCCGGAUAUAGUCCGGUGGCUCCUCUUUCUGCCAGAAUAUGAAGGGCGCUGUUACAUUUCAAACACGAUAAAUCAUAGAGCAGGUUUUUACAAUACCUCUGUAACGGAGUUUCGGCCCUAAUCGCCUUCCUCUUGAGCCUCCCUGACCCGGAUGCCCUUUGCCGAUGAGCCCCCAGGGGCUCAGCGCCGCGUUCCGAUGGUUGUCUCUAUAAAAAUGCGAUAUUUUAUGCGUAAGGAAUGAUAUUAGAAAGGAGUCCUCUUCAGAGGAUGAGGUUUCGACUUUGCUUACACGCGAUGCAGGUAGUAGUCCAGGAUAAUCGGUGAUGAUAGCCACUAGGGCGCCAUUGCAGAUGACCUGAUAAAAUGUUCCGUUGACUAGCUCCAAAGUAAUAUCCGGGUCUUCCUCAAGUCCUGGAUCGCAGGCCCUUCCGGGGUCCUCUGGCUGGGGGGAGGGGCUGUCGAAUCCUUCCACGGCCCUCCUCAGUUCCUGCUCAGAAAUAUCGAGGUUAAUGAUUUUGAUGAAAGGUGCCGGAAUGAAUAGAGUUGGGGAAAGAGUGACGACUUACCCAGCUUGGGGGGUUGUACAUGGAAAAUCCAUCCUGCGGUUUGAUAUGAAGGAAUUCUUCUUCUUCUCCCUUAUACAAAUUGGACAAUAUUUUCGUCAGAGCAGUGGCGGAGUCCGAACCUUUACGACCACAGCGGGUGGCGUCAUCUUCCCCAUUGUAGUGCCACAUGGGCUUCCCCCGAUAUUGUAGUGGCUGCACUCCCCACAUUAUGCAUAUUGCCAUAACUUCGACUAUUGUCAGCCCUGAUUUGGCCAGUAUCUUUAUCCUACUCAUCAGGAAGUGUACUUCUCUAGAAUCCUCCUCUUGGGGGCCCUGAGGGUGCCAACUUCGACGUACCUUCGGCGGAGCAUUAUUGAACUCAGGGAGGCAUGUCCGGACUGGAUCCAGAAGGGGAAUGUCAUCAACAUAAAACCACUCCGAGGGCCAGUUUAUAGAUGCCUUCUUGGGAGUGCCGGAUAGGUAUCCGGUUUCGGCGACGCACCAUAUUUCGGCUCCGCCCACUUGACAUAUGGAUUCCCCCUGGUUGCAAUGGACAAGGCAAAACAACUUCUUCCAUAACCCGAAGUGAGCCUCACAGCCCAGGUAUAAUUCACAAAGGGCAACGUAUCCUGCAAUGUGCAGUACGGAGGCAGGAGUGAAGUCGUGCAACUGGAGGCCAUAGAACUCCAGGAGCCCACGAAGGAAUGGGUGGAUUGGAAACCUGACGCCUCUUAGCAGAUGCGGGAUGAAGCAUAUUCGCUCCCCCGGGGAUGGAUUAGGAGAUCCCUCCGCUUGCUCCCCGCCAUUAUAGGUGGCUACUCCAGCUCGGACAGGGACCAUGAAUGCCGGUGGAAGAAACCCUUGGGUCUGCAACUCUAUCAAACGACUUUGAGGAACUGAAUACUCUUCCCAGUCACCUGGCUUGGAGCGAAGAGAACGGGAAGAAGAACUACGGCGACUGGCCAUGUUGGAAUGGUUUUUUCCGGAGCGCUCUGUUGGAUGCUUGCUCAAGGGAAGAAGGUGAGGUUUGGAUCUGAGGAUCCCCGUCCCUUCAUAUAGAUGGUUUGCCUGCAGGGCCGGGGUGGCAAAUGCAAAAAUUCCUCGCCUCCUCGUAUUCGCUCGACACAUGGAGAUGGCCAUUAUUGAAGCACAGAAGCCGAGGAGGACAACAUUUAUGGGAAGUCGGAUACUGUUCAUCACAACAGGAACUUUGGAGUAUUCGGAGAUGGAACCCGCCUUACAAUGCCGAAGACAAACUACACGCCAGACUCAUCGUCAUUGAAGCCUGGUUCAGGGGCUACUGAGGGAGUCCUGGAUUAGGGGGUAUCCGGACAGCCGGACUAUAUACUUUGGCCGGACUGAUGGACCGUGAAGAUACAAGACUCAAGACUUCGUCCCGUGUCUGGAUGGGACUCUCCUUUGCGUGGAAGACAAGCUUGGUGAUCCGAAUAUUAGAUUUCCUUCUUUGUAACUGACUCUAUGUAAACCCUAUCCCUCUCUGGUGUCUAUAUAAACCGGAGGGUUUGGUCCGUAUAGGGACGAUCACAACAAUCAUAAUCAUCAUAGGCUAGCUUCUAGGGUUCAGACUCUAUGAUCUCGUGGUAGAUCAACUCUUGUAAUACUCAUAUCAUCAAGAUCAAUCAAUCAGGAAGUAGGGUUUUACCUCCAUCGAGAGGGCCCGAACCUGGAUAAAACAUUGUGUCCCUUGCCUCCUGUUACCAUUAGCCUUGGACGCACAGAUCGGGCCCCCUACCCGAGAUCCGCCGGUUUUGACACCGACAGCUACUAUAAACACUAGUAAGGUACACAUCAAUAACCUGUAUAUCAAAUAUACCCUUGUUCACUUUGCCAUCCUUCUUAUCUACCAAAUAUUCAGGGCAUUUCCGCUUUCGGUGACCAUUUCCUUUGCAGUAGAAGCACUCACUUUCAGGCUUUGGUCUAGCUUUGGGCUUCUUCGCGAGAGUGACAACUUUCUUUCCAUUCUACUUGAAGUUCCCUUUCUCUUCCCUUGCCCUUUUUCUUGAAACAAGUGAUCUUGUCUAAUCAUCAACACUUGAUGCUUUAUCUUGAUUUCUACCUUCAUUGAUUUCAGCAUCAUGAAGAGCUCGGGAAUCGUUUUCGUCAUCCCUUGCAUACUAUAGUUCAUCACAAAGUUCUAGUAACUUAGUGAUGGCGACUAGAGAACCCUGUCCAUCACUAUUUUAUCUGGAAGAUUAACUCCCACUUGAUUCAAGUGAUUGUAGUACUCAGAACAUCUAAGCACUUGUUCACUAGUUGAGCAAUCCUCCUCCAUCUUUUAGGUGAAGUAUUUGUCAGAGGUCUCAUACCUCUUGACACAGGCAUGAGUCUGAAAUAUCAAUUUCAUCUCAUGGAACAUCUCAUAUGUUCCGUGACGUUUCAAAAAACGUUUUUGUAGUCCCGGUUCUAAGCCAUAAAGCAUGGUGCACAAAACUAUCAAGUAUUCAUCAUAUUGAGCUAGCCAAACGUUCAUAACGUCUGCAUCUGCUCCUGCAAUAGGUCUGUCACCUAACAGUGCAUCAAAGACAUAAUUCUUCUGUGCAGCAAUGAGGAUAAACCUUAGAUCACGGACCAAUUCUGCAUCAUUGCUACUAACAUCUUUUAACUUAGUUUUCUCUAGGAACACAUAUAAAAACAUAGGGAAGCAACAACGCGAGCUAUUGAUCUACAACAUGAUUUUCAUAAUACUACCAGGACUAAGUUCAUGAUAAAUUUAAGUUCAAUUAAUCAUAUUACUUAAGAACUCCCACUUAGAUAGACAUCCCUCUAAUCCUCUAAGUGAUCACGUGAUCCAAAUCAACUAAACCAUGUCCGAUCAUCACGUGAGAUGGAGUAGUUUCAAUGGUGAACAUCAAUAUGUUGAUCAUAUCUACUAUAUGAUUCACGCUCGACCUUUCGGUCUCAGUGUUUCGAGGCCAUAUCUGUAUAUGCUAGGCUCAUCAAGUUUAACCUGAGUAUUCCGUGUGUGCAACUGUUUUGCACCCAUUGUAUUUGAACAUAGAGCCUAUCACACCCAAUCAUCACGUGGUGUCUCAGCACGAAGAACUUUCGCAAUGGUGCAUACUCAGGGAUAACACUUCUUGAUAAUUAAUGAGAGAUCAUCUUAAAAUGCUACCAUCAAUCAAAGCAAGAUAAGAUGCAUAAAGGAUAAACAUCACAUGCAAUCAAUAUAAGUGAUAUGAUAUGGCCAUCAUCAUCUUGUGCUUGUGAUCUCUAUCUCCGAAGCACCGUCGUGAUCAACAUCAUCACCGGCGCGACACCUUGAUCUCCAUCGUAGCAUCAUUGUCAUUUCGCCAUCUAUUGCUUCUACGACUAUCGCUACCGCUUAGUGAUAAAGUAAAGCAAUUAUAGGGCGCUUGCAUUUCAUACAAUAAAGCGACAACCAUAUAGCUCCUGCCAGUUGCCGAUAACUCGGUUACAAAACAUGAUCAUCUCAUACAAUAAAAUAUAGCAUCACGUCUUGACCAUAUCACAUCACAACAUGCCCUGCAAAAACAAGUUAGACGUCCUCUACUUUGUUGUUGCAAAUUUUACGUGGCUGCUAUGGGCUGAGCAAGAACCGUUCUUACCUACGCAUCAAAACCAUAAUGAUAGUUCAUCAAGUUAGUGUUGUUUUAACAUUCUCAAGGACCGGGCGUAGCCACACUCAGUUCAACUAAAGUUGGAGAAACUGACACCCGCCAACCACCUGUGUGCAAAGCACGUCGGUAGAACCAGUCUCACGUAAGCAUACGCGUAAUGUCGGUCCGGGCCGCUUCAUCCAACAAUACCGCUGAACCAAAGUAUGACAUGCUGGUAAGCAGUAUGACUUGUAUCGCCCACAACUCACUUGUGUUCUACUCGUGCAUAUAACAUCUACGCAUAAAAUCUGGCUCUGAUACCACUGUUGGGGAACGUAGUAAUUUCAAAAAAAAAUCCUACGCACACGCAAGAUCAUGGUGAUGCAUAGCAACGAGAGGGAGAGUGUAUCUUCAUACCCUUAAAUAUUGCUAAGCGAAAGCGUUUAUCAACGCGGUUGAUGUAGUCGUACGUCUUCACGAUCCGACCGAUCCAAGUACCAAACGCACGGUACCUCCGAGUUCUGCACAUGUUCAGCUCAAUGACGUCCUUGCCUUCUCGAUCCAGCAAGACGAGUGAAGUAGUAGAUGAGUUCCGGCAGCACGACGGCGUGGUGACCGUGUUGGUGAAGAACAAUCUCCACAGGGCUUCGCCUAAGCACUAUGGAAACUAUGACGGAGGAUAAGCUUUCAGGACCCCGACUCAAUGCCACACCGAUCUAGCAUGUAACACCUCAUAUCACUUUGCGGCCUCACGCAUGGUAUUCCCAUGGGUGUCGCCUUACCAGGCCCGGGACCGUUUGCGCCUUUUGGCACACGUAUAUGAUAGUGUCGCUAGCAUCCAUAUGACAAGGAGCCCGGGCUGACAUGGCUAGUCGUGAACCCAAAGUGGCACUAACUUACAGGGACAGGCAUACAUGACCCAGCAACGAACGUGUCGGUCAUCAGCGAGUUAAUCCGGGCUGUAGCAACUGGGAUAGCAGGACUCUGGUAAACCGGGCUGUAGCAGGCUAACAGGACUCCGGUAGACACCACGUGACAUUUCCCCGAAGGGACAGACAUAGGAAUGAAUAAGGACACAUGCCGGCCAGCCUAAGUGUUCCAGAGCAGUAGCAAGCUACCAAGGCUCAGUGGAAGCACUAGGAGACAUUUCCUGGUAAGAGAGGCUACCAAGGAUAAACAACUAGAUAGUCAGAUCCCACACAUACCAAGCAUUUCAAUAAGAUACACACAAUAUGCUCGAUAUGUGCAAAUACAAGAUGGCAUCACAACAUGACUCUACAACUCAAGUAUUUUAUUGAAUAGGCUCCGAGGAGCGAGAUAUUACAAACAUGGGUCUCAUGACCCAACAUUCAGAGCAUACAAGUCAAAGCACAUGUGGAAGCUUAACAUGUCUGAGUACAGACAUCUACAAAUGAAAAAGGCUGAGAAGCCUGACUAACUACUAGAUCCUGCCGAGGGCUAAAGAUCGUAGCUGAGGUAACAAGCUAAACGUCGAAGUUCACGCGGAACUACUAAUGAGACUGAAGUCUCUCUGCAAAAACAUAAAAUAGGCAAACGUGAGUACAAAUGUACCCAGCAAGACUUACAUCAGAACUAACUACAUAUGCAUCAUUAUCAACAAAGGGGAUGGUGUGGUUUAACUGCAGCAAGCCAGCUUUGACUCGGUGGCUAUCCUGAACUACGACUGCAAGUAACUCUUUUGAGGUGGCGCACACGAGUCCACAUAUUCACCAUAUCAAUACACCACUAUGGAUCCGCUCUCGUCUCCCUACGAGAACGCCAUCCAUAGCACUCAUGCUUAUCUUGUGCAUUUUAGGGUAUCCACUUCAAGUUAUCUAUGAACUGCACAGGCAACCCAGAAGUCCUUUACCGCGGACACGGCUAUUCGAAUAGAUCAUAUUAACCCUGCAGGGGUGUACUUCUUCACACACGCUCUCGCCACUUACCGCCAUGUACACGUCAUGUAUCUCGACAACCUUCAAGCGGAAGCCUGGCGAGGGUGUCGGCCACAACCUGACUAACCACACAAGUCUCUCGUCCAGGUUUAUCGCCUAUUCGGGUUCCAUCCGCAAGGAGAUUCGGCCGGGGUGUCGCUCACGGCCCCAAACGAUGUGUGCAGGGUUCCCAAGCCCACCAUCCGGGUGCCACUUGGAACACCGGGCCACUAUGCCUAGUCUGUCCCAAGCCCACCUAUACCUGGUGCCACUUGGUAGACUACUAACACUACCUACAAACACCAGAAACUAGUUGGUACGGUCUGGACUUCGGGCUCGUAGCCUCGGGCCUUAGUGUUAUUGUUUGAUUGGCCACGGGGUGCGGUCUGGACUUCGGGCUGGUACGCCGUUUUGUCGUGGCCACGGGGUGGCCGGUCAACCGCAUCAUGCGCCGGUAGCGUGGGCUUUAAAGCAUCUUCCUCUAGUUGAGGUAGCAGCCUGCGCUUUGGGUAGCUUUUGCUAGGGCGCUCGAGUCCGUAUUCCUCAGCAGCCAAGGCCUCGGUCCAUCUGUCGGUUAGCAGAUCUUGAUCAGCUUGAAGUUGUUGCUGCUUUUUCUUGAGGCUUUUUGCAGUGGCUAUAAGCUGGCGUUUGCAGUGCUCCUGCUCGACGGGAUCCUCAGGCACUGUUGGGGAUAUAACUACUAAGGAUAAACCGCCCAGGAGGGGCCGGUUCACCCUCAACUACAUUGAAGCCCAUAAAGACCCAGAAGAUGGCGCUUUACGGAUGAAGCUUAGAGGGCCAGAGCCCAAAGAUAGAUUAGGGCCCAUAAGUUGUAAACCGCCAUGAUCGUGUAACUUGUGUUGUAAGAUAGGAAAGGGGGAGACCGAGCCGGACACUUGUAUGAGCCGGCCUCGGGACUCUGUAGACCGGCCGGGCGUCAACCUAUGUAUAUAAAGGGACGACCCGGCGGCGGUUCAAGGACAAGAAAACAACAACUCGAGACCCAGGCAAAGCGUAUUUGCUCCCUCGUCAUCGAAAUCCAAUCAAUUCCAUCACAACUAGACGUAGGCUUUUACCUUCAUCGAAGGGGCCGAACUAGUAUAAAACUCUUGUGUCCCUUGUCCGGUUUAACCCCUUCAAGCUAACCCGUCGCAAUGGCUCCAUGACUAAGUCCUUUCAUGAGGACAUCUGACGUGUUAAUUCCACGACAGUUGGCACCCACCGUGGGGCUAUCGCACGAUGGUUUCGAGUUCUUGAAGGGCAGCUUUGAAGGACUCAAAGGGUACGCGGUUGGCUGGAUGACCAAGAGUCGUCGCAGCAAGCUCUACAUCGACGACGAAGGAUGGGGCCCUGAGGCCGGCUCAAUCGAGUAUGGGUACCGGGUCCCCUUUGGCGGAAUUAUGUCUUCAUCGGCAAGAUCGGUGAACCGGGCCCUGAGCCGAACAUCUGCACCGACCUCGUCGAGACGGCUAAGCGUGCGAGUCCUGCCUGGAUUAAGCCCGCCAUGAAGCAUGCAUUCGUAGGAUGUGUCCAUGGGAUCGGAUCUGAACCAGUGUCUGAAGGCGAGACGGCCGUUUAUUCCGACGGCGAGUCAUCCACCGGUGAAACUAAGUCCCUGUAUCAAGUUCAUGAUGGUGUGUUUGAAGGAUAUUCCGAUGACAACAGUAUUUCGGACCCCUUUGAACCGCCGAGUCGGGUUGCUGUUUUCAUGGCCGGAACACAGCCCACCUUGUAGUCUUCAUCUACAGCGGCAAUGAAUUCCGGGUCAGCAGCCGCGGCAGGAGGCCCGGCGCACAGACCGACUCAAGUUCUCUCCAGUUUGAUGGAUGCCUGGGCGACCUUGUUAACCACGGCAGUUACCCCAGAGACGCAGGACCAACAUAAUGCAGAGGUUACCAAGCUGAAGGACCAGAUAACACAGGCUAAGGAGGACCUAGCAGAUGAGGACGCUAGGUUGGCUGAAGAACGGGCCGCGUUGGAUGCCCAGUCACAGCAGAUACAUGCACAGAAUUACCAGCUCAUGUUGGAUCAGAACGCAUCGAACGACAUAAUGCAAAGGAAGUACCGAUCGCGUAUGCAGCCGGUCUUUGAAGGACUGAAUCUCUUUAAUACGCCUGGGGCUGGGCCGAGUAACCCGGCAGCUGCAAACCGGACCGACGCGCCUAGGGCGGCGCCGGAUCAACCACGGAUGACGGAUCCACCUCAUCAAACGAAUAACCUUCCGCAAUACGUGUCAACACCAUCGGGUCACUUUUCUAACCCUUUGGAUAACAUGAUUGCUGCAGCAUCUCGCCUGGCAGCUAUUCCAAUGGAGAGUGAUUCAUUGGCGGCGGUGGAGACGCGACAGGCCAGGGAUCUUCUUCAAACCGCUGUUGUGCAGCAGCAGGCUUAUUCUUAUAGCCGAGACAAAAUUCAUUCAACCCCCCGUCCGAGCAAAAGCUAUAGCAGGCAUAUGGAUGAGCCGGAGGUGUUUAGCAGUGCGCGACACUGUAAUGCCCCUCAAGGACCCAAUCCAGCGCACGGUGAGGCAAAUGCUCAGGACGUGGUGGAUAAUGGCAGAGCACGAAGGGAGGCCGCUUUAGCAGCACAGUAUGCGGGUCGUUAUCAACCCGCCCCGGUUCAGCCAGCGGCGUUAGUAGACCGAGGCACCGGGCUUGCCUUCAGUUCUUGGGGAGUGUCGUGUCUCAUUAUGGCUCUCUAUAAUGUGCGACUGCCUAAGGAUUUCAAGGGUCCACGUAAGGUGCCUAAUUACACCGCUGAUCAGCCACCUGAGGCAUGGGUGGAAAGUUAUGAGAUGGCUGUGGAUGAAGCGGCCUGUGCAAAGUACUUCACGAUGAUGUUGGAAGGGACAGCCCGUAUUUGGUUGAAAAACCUACGAGCCAACUCUGUCGAGUCAUGGGACCAGUUGAAGGCCCAGUUUAUAGCCAAUUUCAAAGAUACGUGCAAACAGCCUAUGUCAAUUGUGGAUCUGGAUGCCUGUGUUCAAGGGGAGAACGAGUCAACAACUCAUUGGGUGCGCCGGGUUUCAGGAGUUUUGCAUUCGUCAGACCGGAUUAAUGCUGGCCAAGCAAUCAUAACGCUGCAGCGUAAUUUCCGGUUUAAUUCACUAAAGAUGAAGUUGGGACGGCUCAAGCGCCACUGCAAUGACAUGGGAACACUUAUGGCAGCCUUGGUUAAAGAUGCCGAUUCUAAUAAUACCAAGGAUCCCGAUUCUGAUGAGGAGAAACCGGAGAAGGGAAAGAAGAACGGCGGUGCAAAGGGACAGCAUCACAACCAAGGGAGUCAUGGGAAUAAUGGUAAGCGCAAAGCAGAUAAUUCAGAUCUUGUGGCUAACACCAAUAUGCAGCGUCGUAAAGGUAAACCGCCCCAGCAAGGUGGAGGGAUGAAUCUGGAGCGUCUGUUAAACCAGCCCUUCCCAAAGCAUGGGACCAAGGAGGCCCCUGCCACACAUCUUUGGAAAGAUUGUUAUAUUAUGAAGGAGUUCAAGAACUCUGAUCUCUUCCGGUAUGAUCAGGGUCCAUCGGGCGGUUCAGGUCCAGGUUUUCAUGGUGGCGGCAGUUCAAACUCUAGAUUUCAGAAUAAUCCGGGCAACCAGAACAACCAAGGUGGUAAUAACCAACAGAAUAAUCAAGGGAAUCAGCAGCAGUCAGGUUAUCAAAGUCACCCAAAACGGUUGAAUGGUGGGCAGUAUCAUGUGUUCACUACUAGUCUGUGCAAGCACGAUCAGAAGCUUCACAAGAGGGCAGUUAAUGCUGUUGAACCAGCAGUGCCACGUUAUUUGCAGUGGUCCGAGCAGCCCAUUGUGUGGAGCAGAGAGGAUCAUCUGCCCCGGGUUGACUAUCCAGGUCAUCUAGCUUUAGUGGUGGCACCUCAGGUGGGAGGUUAUAAGUUUACCAAAGUGCUGAUGGAUGGAGGGAGCAGUAUCAACAUCCUGUACUAUGAGACCUUCCGUCGCAUGGGGUUGACAGACAAGAGUCUUAAACCGUCAAACACUAUUUUUCAUGGUGUAGUACCAGGUAAAUCGGCAUAUCCUGUUGGCAAGAUCGCUUUGGAGGUUGUGUUUGGAGAUGAGCAUGAUUCCAGGUCUGAAACAUUGACCUUUGAAGUGGUGAAAAUCCGGAGCCCAUAUCAUGCACUGUUUGGACGGCCGGCUUAUGCAAAAUUCAUGGCGAGGCCCUGCUAUAUAUAUUUAUAGCUCAAAAUGCCGGGUCAUAAGGGGACUAUCACAGUACACGGAAGUCGAAAGAUCGCUCUGGAUUGUGAGGAAGGUGAUGCGGCCUAUGCUGAGUCGGUUUGUGCUAUAGAGGAGCUGAAGUUCUAUAAAGACAAUGUUGAUCCAGCAGACAUGGCCCCUCUAAAGAAGCCCACCACUCAGCAUGACCCUACCCUGAAGUUCAAACCGGCGGAUGAGACUAAACUUGUUGAUUUUGUUCCUGGCGAUUCAUCCAAACAGUUUAGCAUCAGCACCAAUCUGGAUCCGAAAUAGGAAAGCGCGCUCAUCGAGUUCAUCCGUGAGAACCAGGACAUUUUUGCAUGGAAGCCUUCUGACAUGCCAGGUGUACCGAGGGAGCUCGCUGAGCACACUCUCAAUAUUGAUCCCAAGUUUAAACCGGUCAAGCAGUUUCUUCGCCGCUUUAACGAGGAAAGACGCAAGGCCAUUGGUGAGGAGGUAGCCCGGCUGUUGGCUGUCGGGUUUAUCGUCGAAGUAUUUCACCGUGAGUGGUUGGCUAAUCCGGUGCUCGUUCUUAAGAAAAACGGCACUUGGCGCAUGUGUGUGGACUACACAGAUUUGAACAAGGCUUCUCCGGCGGAUCCUUUUGCUCUCCCGCGUAUUGAUCAGAUCAUUGAUGCGACGGCGGGUUGUGAGCGUGUGGGUUUCUUGGAUGCUUAUUCAGGUUAUCAUCAGAUCAAAAUGGCAGUUAAGGACCAGGAGAAAAUAGCCUUCAUUACUCCUUUUGGAGCCUUCUGCUAUGUUUCUAUGCCCUUCGGGCUCAAGAGUGCCCAGGCAACUUAUCAGCGUUGUGUGCAAAAUUGUCUUCACACUCAGAUUGGGCACAAUGUUCAUGCCUAUGUGGAUGACAUUGUAGUAAAGUCCAGGAAAAAGGAGACAUUGGUAGAUGAUCUCAAAGAGACCUUUGACAAUCUUUGGGUUUAUAAGAUGAUGCUUAAUCCGGACAAGUGUGUUUUCGGUGUUCCGGCUGGCAAGCUCUUGGGCUUUCUGGUGUCCAACAGAGGCAUUGAGGCUAAUCCGGAAAAGAUUAAAGCGAUUACGUCCUUGGCUAAACCGAAGUGCAUCAAUGAUGUUCAGCGUCUGGCGGGUCGAAUUGCAGCCCUUAGCCGGUUUAUUAGCCGUUUGGGAGAAAAGGCAAUUCCUUUGUAUCAGAUGUUGAAGAAGAUAGACGAUUUUGUCUGGAGUGACGCAGCUAAUGCGGCGUUUGAGGACUUGAAGCGACAGCUGGCUGAACCGCCGGUCCUUGCUGCUCCAGUUGAUAAGGAGCCCUUGUUAUUGUACGUGGCUGCUAAUGCCCGUGCGGUCAAUGUGGCAAUUGUGGUUGAGCGCAAGGAGGCUAGAAAGGAAUAUCCGGUUCAACGGACGGUUUACUAUAUCAGCGAAGUAUUAAUCGAGUCAAAACAGCAAUAUCCGCAUUGGCAGAAGCUGGUAUACGGGGUUUUCGUGGCAAGUCGAAAGCUCAAGCAAUAUUUUCUCGGCCAUCCCAUCACAGUGGUUAGUUCUGCUCCUUUGGGCGAUAUAAUUCAGAACAGGGAAGCAGCUGGCCGGGUUGCAAAGUGGGCAAUUGAGCUUGGUCCACAUGGGUUGAAGUAUAUGCCUCGAACGGCCAUCAAAUCUCAGGCUCUUGUUGACUUCAUCAAUGAUUGGACCGAGUUACAGGCACCAGAGGACAAACCGGAUAAUACAUACUGGACUAUUCACUUUGAUGGAUCCAGGCAAUUGGAAGGCUCGGGGGCUGGAGUUGUCCUUACUUCCCCUCGAGGUGAUAAAAUUUGUUAUGUUCUCCGCUUAAUGUUUCCUUGUACUAACAAUGCAGCUGAGUACGAGGCCUUACUCCACGGUCUCCGUGUGGCCAAGGAAAUGAAUUUAAGCCGGGUUCGCUGUUUUGGAGAUUCUGAUCUGGUGGCUCAGCAAGUUUCUGGUACUUGGGAUUCUAAAGAUCACCUCAUGGCGGCUUACCAACGAGAAGUGGAUAUUGUGGCUGGUCACUUUAAAGGUUAUCAGGUUGAGCACAUUGACAGGCACAAAAAUGAAGCAGCAGAUGCUUUAAGCCGGCUGGGAUCUCAGCGUAAACUGGUACCGCCCAAUACCUUUUUAGAUAUCUUGCAUAACCCGUCUGUUAAGUUGCCUAUAGAAGAGGAUUUAGCUGUUCCUGAUCCGGAGGCUCAAUUGGUAGCCGCUUUACAUAUCAUUCUGGAUUGGACGAUUCCAUAUUUGGCAGAUAUGAACCGGGGCGAGCUACCAGAUGAUGAGGUUUUAGCCAGGCAGAUAAUCUGGCGAUCCAAGUCCAUGGUUAUUCACAAUGGCAAGUUACACCGUUGCAGUGUUUCAGGCGUAUUCCGGCGUUGUGUUUCUCCUAAAGAAGGACAAGAGAUUCUACGUGAAAUCCAUGAAGGGGAUUGUGGUCACCAUGCCAGAUCAAAAUCCCUGGUGCCCAAAGCUUUUCUUCAUGGGUUUUAUUGGUUAACAUCUCGUGCUGAUGCGGAGGAUCUGGUAAAGCGGUGUGACGCUUGUCAGAAGUUUUCACGCCGAGCUCAUGUGUCGGCUCAAGAACUACGGAUGAUUCCCACCACUUGGCCGUUUGCUACUUGGGGGCUUGAUAUGGUGGGACCUUUUAAGCGCUCCAAGGAUAAGAAAACCCACCUGUUGGUGGCGGUUGACAAGUUCACUAAAUGGGUUGAAGCGGAGCCCGUAAGCAAGUGUGACGCUGCUACGGCGGUUCAAUUUCUCAAAAAGAUAAUCUUCCGCUUUGGCUUUCCACACAGCAUCAUCACAGAUAAUGGCACGAACCUUUCUAAUGGUGAGAUGGAGGAAUUUUGUCAACAAGAACACAUCAGGCUUGAUGUAGCGUCCGUGGCUCACCCCCAGUCUAAUUGUCAAGCGGAGCGAGCUAAUCAAGAAAUAUUUAAGGGCAUCAAGCCACGGCUUAUGGUUUCUUUGAAGAGGACGCCGGGUUGUUGGGUGGAAGAGUUACCAUCUGUAUUAUGGAGUAUAAACACCACCCCAAACCGUUCUACGGGUUAUACACCUUUCUUCAUGGUUUACGGGGCAAAGAACGUCCUCCCGAGUGAUAUUCGUCAUGACUCACCCCGGGUUGCCAAUUAUGUUGAAGCGGACAAUGAGCAAGCACGCCAAGAGGCGCUGGACCUGUUAGAUGAGAAGCGGGACAUGGCUUUGUCUCGUUCGGCGGUUUAUCAGCAAGACAUGCGGCGCUAUCACAACCACCAUGUUAAAACAAGAACCUUUCAAGAAGGCAACUUAGUGCUCCGUCUCAUCCAGGAUCAGACCGAUAUGCACAAAUUAUCCCCACCUUGGGAAGGACCCUUUGUGGUCAGCAACAAUCUGCACAAUGGAUCAUACUACCUCAUUAAUGUUCGAGAAGACUCACGCAGUUCUGAGGAGGAGAUCCGGCGGCCGUGGAACAUAGCUCUCCUUCGACCUUACUACACUUGAGCUAUAGGCUCCUUUUAUGUACAUAUUUGAACAAUGUAUAUAUUAUGAUCAAUAUAAUAAACCGGCAUCCUUGCUAUAAGAAGGGUCUCUGCCGUUUUCUUCAAAAAUCUCUUUGUUUACAUGGGGGCUUCAGCUGACAAAGCGGAGUACUGCCUAUUAAACCGGCUAUCAUGCCACAAUACAGCUUGGGAGCUUCACACCCAAGGGGCCAAAGAGAGUCUGGAUGCUACGCACAGCUCAAACAUAGGCACCCAUUGAGCACAGCUCACAAAGUUACUUGGGGGCUCUUUGUGCACUGCAACAAAGAGUUUGAAAGGACCCUUGUAAUAUGCUAUCAAGCACGGCUUGGAAGCCUGGUGUGUUCACCUAAAACCCCGGGUUAACCUGCCUUCAUCAAGUAAGCCACUCCUACCAGGUAAUCCUGGCAUGACCCGCCAAAUGUUUGAUAAGUCAAUCUUUUACAGACCCUGAACUUGUCAAAGUUAAAACAACGAUUGGUUAGUUGGACGUACAUCUUAAAAGUCUUUGCAGAAUGGUUUAACUCAGCAGCCUGGCAGCACAUGAAAAGCCUCGAAUUUGGGCCUGGCAGCCCUUGAAAAGCCUCGACUACACGGUUUUUGUUUGCUUUUUGCCAAGUUUUUUGCCUUUUGAUAAGAUUAUAUUAACCCGGUGUUUGUUAAUCCGACUUGGCUUUCAACUACAAGUUGUCAGACCAUAUUCAUAUUAACCCGGUGUUUGUUAACCCGGCUUGGCUUUCAACUACAAGUUGUCAGACCAUAUUCAUAUUAACCCGGUGUUUGUUAACCAGGCUUGGCUUUCAACUAUAAGUUGUCAGACCAUAUUUCUUAUCAAACCGGUGUUUCAUAACCCGAACUGGCUUUGAUUACAUAUUACCAGCAUGAUCAUAUGGUGUUUAUCACAACCCGGUAUGGUUUAAACGUAUACACCAGCAUUGCAUGGUGGGAGUUAUCAAUACUUUAGAUUUGGGUUUUUCACCCUUACUACAAAUAUAAGUUGGUAAACUAACUAAGUGAUUUAAUAUCACAGGUAUGAUUUAUUUCAUAUUUUGAUUCAGCUUUGGUAAUUAACUAGGCUUUGUAUUGGGCAUUGUGUCCCGUCCGACACUAAACCGCCCAGACAAUUCUUUUUAUGCAUACAUAAGGAUUGCAUGAAAUUAUCAAAGUAUAUAAUCAAGCAUAGCAAGUAUCAUGGCGGAUCAAACACAGUCAUGUAUCAGUGCUGCAGAUAAAAGUAUUUUAACCUAGCCUAUUACAAGGCGCUUUGAGGCCCCAAAAAAAUGAUUGUCCUUACACAGAACAAAGUCUGUGAAAAUAACCCGAUUGCCGGAUUAAGACUCAUUGCCAGGACGACGUGAAGUUGAUGGAUCUUCAGGCGCCGGUUCAACCUCCUCCUCCCCACCCAGUGGCUGGAAGUCAAUGGUGGUCCAGUCAAUCCGGGUUAGCGCUUUAAAGACGGCCUCUUCAUGUAUGAGAUUCGACGGUUCAACGUCAGGGGCGUAAGUGUGCUUACGAAUGGGCGGAAUAAGAUUCUGCACUUCUGUCACAGCAGUGUCAACUCGAUGGUUGUUGGCAUCAUAGAACGACCGAUGAGACAUCAAGUUCACCUCUUCCGCCAAUUGACUUGCUACUGGACGCAGCUCCUUGGCUAGGGCUUUGAGGGCUUCAUUAUCAAAUGCUGAACCGUCUUCCUAUUCAUCCGGAUAGCCCUUGGCAAUAUCAACUGGAUCCAAGUCAGCUAUCCAUGAUUUGGCAUGAGUCACUGCUAACAACGCACCAGCCCUGGCAGCAGACCGCUUCAACUCCUCUAUCUGAGCCGGAGUCAUUGAUAGCUUGGCCAAAGUAUCCUUGAUCAAAGUUGGUGCCGGUUUGUUGUACAAAGCCGCACAGAUGACUCGUUGUGUGAUACGUCUCCAACGUAUCUAUAAUUUUUGAUUGCUCCAUGCUACUUUAUCUACUGUUUUAGGCAAUAUUGGGCUUUAUUAUCCACUUUUAUAUUAUUUUUGGGACUAACCUAUUAACCGGAGGCCCAGCCCAGAUUUGCUGUUUUAUGCCUAUUUUAGUGUUUCGAGGAAAAGGAAUAUCAGACGGAGUCAAAACGGAACGAAAUCAACUGGAGAAGUUAUUUUUGGAAGGAAAGCAACCUGAUGGACUUGGAUUGCACUUUAGGGGAGCCCCAUGCUGCCCACGAGGGUGGGGGCGCCCCCCCCCCUAGGGCACGCCCCCUGCCUCGUGAGCACCCCGGAGGUCCACCGACGUACCCCCUGCACACCCAUAUAUACCUACAUACCCUAAAACUUCCAGAACAGAAGAAAGAUCGGGAGUUCCGCCGCCCCAAGCCUCUGUAGCCACCAAAAACCAAUCGGGGCCCUGUUCCGGCACCCUGCCUGAGGGGGAUCCCAUCACCGGUGGCCAUCUUCAUCAUCCGACGCUAUCCAUGACGAGGAGGGAGUAGUUCACCCUUGGGGCUGAGGGUAUGUACCAGUAGCUAUGUGUUUGAUCUCUCUCUCUCGUGUUCUCUCUUGUGUUCCCUCUAUGGCAUGAUCUUGAUGUAUCUCGAGCUUUUCUAUUGUAGUUGGAUCUUAUGAUGUUUCUCCCCCUCUACUCUCUUGUGAUGAAUUGCGUUUCCCCUUUGAAGUUAUCUUAUCGGAUUGAGUCUUUUAUGAGAACACUUGAUGUAUGUCUUGUCGUGCUUAUCUGUGGUGACAAUGGGACAUCGUGUGCCUCUUGAUGUAUGUUUUGGUGACCAACUUGCGGGUUCCGCCCAUGAACCUAUGCAUAGGGGUUGGCACACGUUCUUGACUAUCACUAGUGCAGAACCGGGCAAUAGCACCGGUUCGUAAGGACCUUUAGUGCCGGUUCCAUAAUCGGCACUAAAGUGUGGGCACUAAAGCCCCCCCCCCCCCCUUUAGUACCGGUUCAGCAUGAACCGGUGCUAAAGGGAAACCACGUGGCACGAGCCAGCUCCAGGGGCCUGGAGCCCUUUAGUACCGGUUGGUAAGACCAACCGGUACUAUAAGGUUUGGGUUUUUUUUAGUUUUAUGAUUUCUUUUUCAUUUAAUUUUGUGUUUCCAUUUUAAUUCUUUUUCGUUUGCUGGUAUUUUACGAUACUACACAUUGUACACGUUAUGCAUAUAUAUAUAUAUAUAUAUAAAUAGAAUUUCUAGUAGAACCAAUCAUGCAUAUAUAUAUCAUCAAUGUCUCACAAACCAUCAUAUUAAUUAAUUCACACAUACACACAUGUAUAGCUAUAUACAAUUUCUCCUACAUAUGCAUGUUACCUUCGGAGCCAGUGGCAUUAGCCUAAUUGGUGCCUUCGGAGCACGAUGACAAUUGGAUGUGGUUUUCAUGAGGGCGGUAGCGGGUAAUAGUAUUCUCCCUUCGGAUUUAUGACCUGGUCGAGCAAAAAUCCCGCUAUUUCCUCUUGAAGUGCUUCUACGCGCUCCGUUUCUAGGAGCUUCGCCCGCACCUCUCUGAACUGUUAAGAAGGAGAUCAAUAUGCAUGUGUAUUAGUUGUGUGACUAGAUAUCGAUAAUGGUGUAAAAAUUGUGAAUAGUGUUUUGACAAGCAUACCCAUUCCUGUCUUUGAGAUCUGCUCCUUUCGGACGCCAUCAUGCGAAUGUUCUCGCAAAUGCAGAAUGCACAUAGAUCAGUACCCUGCGCCUGCUUCAGGGACUUUACGAGAAUGGAAUUUGAUCAGAUAAUAAUUAAUCAAGCAUGAUAAUUAAAGAGAUGGCAGCUAGCUAGCUAGCUAGUACUACUUAAUUACUUACCUUGGGUCUUCCCCAUUGAAUCUUUUUUUUCCAUUCGCCUUCCGUGACGCUGAUGAACCUUGCCCAAGCCCUGCCCGCCGACAAAGAAAAUGAAUAAAGGGGUUAUUAAAUAGUUCAUAUCAUGAGAUGACGAACUAAAUAGGCCAAGAUAUAUAGUUAAUAAUGAUUGAAAUUACCUGUUGACUAUCCCAAACAAGAUGUUAUAGUCAGUUUUUUCUUUGAGUAGUGAGUCCAGUAUUUCAACUGUUCCGGCGUCAACUUCAAUGAUACACAAGACCCAGUGAAAUCUGCAUGCACACACAUUUGCAUGUAUUAAUUAAGCGGGCAUAUGUAAGCAAAAACAUGUAGCUAGCUAGUAGGCAAAAACAGAGAAUUUGUAGUACAAGACAGUGUGACUCACUGGAAGUUGUAAGGAAGUAGUAUAUCUUCAUUGUAUUUGAGGCGCUUCAAGAACUCUAGCAUGCUGUCCUCUACGGCCUUUUGAUGACGUGCAUCUAUUUUCCAUGUGUAUUCAUUAACGGUGUUUGGGUCAAUGAACCCAAUGCCAUAGCGUCCACCUUUUCUCAUUUCAUACAUCUUCAUCCUGCAUAUAAUACCACAGAAAAGAAUAUAGUGAGGAUAAUUACAGGUAAUGAUUGAUCAAAAGGAUCACUACAGCUAGCUUGAGACUUAAAUUACAGAAAGAAAUCACUUACAGACAAUAGCAACUGACGAUAGAUUUGUCGAGUGCGUCUUGAUUGUAUAAUUGAAACAGUUCAGAAUACUCAACGGACACAGCUUUCUCAUGGUAGUAAUGCUCCUCCUUGACAUUCACCAUGAGGGACAAUCGAUCGGAAAUCUUGGUAAUGUUCAUGUACCAUUGAUGCAAUUCAUACAUUCUCGUUGGGAGGUUCUUGACCUUGUCUGGCUCGACCAAAGGUUGGCCCCGGACAUAUUUCCGUUUUAUUGCAUCCUCUCUAAGCACAUGCAUGGGCUCGAUCUCGAGGAGUUGUCCAACAGUGAUUUUGAGAACUUCAGCCUGCAUUAUAUGCUCCUCCAUUAUUACCACAUUGCCCACCUCAGGAACGUAAACUGUUUGCCCACAAUAAUAUUGGGCGCGCGUACUCUCACGUGUUGUUGGCACAACAAGCGAGGGGAUCGAUUGCGCCGCCUGUUCUCCCAGCUGGGGAAUGGUUUUCCCGCAUUUUUUGACAGCUGCUUCUUGUUUGCUCGACCCCGAGCUCGCCUCCUUACGUAGACGUGCUCGAUUUAACUUCCUGAUGUGGCGCUCAUAGUCUAUGUCAACAGGCUUGGGAGCUGGUGGUUGAGCAAUACGAAUGAAGUGGUCAAUCGUUUCCUCUGGCACUUUCUCCCUUGGCGGCGGUGGCGGUUUCGGUGCAAAAUGGGCUUCCACCUCGGACUUCGAUAUGGCUGCGAUUUCCUCCUCGGACCUUUCAUAAGCCCUCUGCGGAAGAGGCGUGAGGCUUGGACCAUACUUAUAUCGCUUGCCUCCGCAUGUACUUCCUGUACUACCUCGACUCGUACCGCUACGCACCAUAGCUGCGGGGUGUCUCUUCUGUGAUUGCUGAGGCGGUGGAGACGGCUGACGGGGCUGAGUUGGACGAGGAGGAGUGGCCGCCUAAAGCUGUGCCGGACUUGGAGGAGGAGUGGCCUGAGGUUGUGCAGGACUUGGAGGAGGAGUGGACGUCUGACGUUGUGGCGGACUUGGAGGAGGAGGAGUGGCCUAACACUUUGCCGGACUAGGAGGAGGAGUGGCCUGACACUUUGCCGGACUUGGUGGACUUGCAGGAGCAGGAGACUGCUGACUCGGUGGCGGACUUCGACGAGGAGUCGGCUGACGCGGUGUCGGUGGCCUUCGAAAGAUGAUGCAAUCCUUUUUCCAUAGGAUGAUACGAUGUUUGGCGUCUCCGAGAAAGCGCUCGUCGUCACCUCCAGGAUAGUCAAGCUCUAGCUUCGAAUAUGGGUCCACCACCUCAUCAACCAAGACACGAGCAUAGCCCGCUGGAAUCGGGUUGCAAUGGAAGGUUGCCUCGGGGGGAUUUGUAAAAGCAACGGCGUCCGCCACCUUCAUGGAUAUGUUCUUCAUUUUGACGCGUAGCUCGCAGCUAGUGUUCUCCGUGAUGUCAUCCACAGGGUAUCUACCCAGCAUUCCGGCGUCCGGGGCGGAACCCACGCUGCUUCUCGACAUGGAUGGGGCGGUGCUAUCCAAUGCUGGAUCAUUCGCUAGCUGCUGCAGCUGCUGAGACCCCCUUUGCUGGGUAAGUGAGUCGAUCUGCUCCUGCUGCCGCUGGAAUUUGACUACCAAUUCUGCUUGACUUGCUUCUAGGCCUUGAAGGUGUUCAUAGUCCCGCUUCCUCUGCUCCUCCUCCAUCUUCCUCUUCUUCUCCUCCGCAAUCUUCUUUCUCGCACGGGUUCUAUAGUCGGUGUUCCAGUCUGAAAACCCCUCAUACCACGGAAUAGCGCCCUUGCCUCGUGUUCUUCCCAGGUGUUCAGGAUUUCCCAGGGCACGCGUAAGCUCGUCGUUCUCUCUGUUGGGCUGGAACACCCCCGAUCGUGCCUCUUCUAUUGCAACAAGUAUCGCAUCGUCGGCUCCCUUCAGACUUGCCCUCGUCGAAACAUUGCCUGUCUUCGGGUUCAACUCCCCCCCCAUGCGCAUAGAACCAAGUCCUGACCCUGGGGGCCAGCUCUUAGUAACCGGAGUGGCACCUGCAUCCUCCAUCUCUUUCUCAGACUUAUCCCACUUAGGCAUUGCCACCGCAUAGCCACCUGGCCCCAGCUUAUGGAACUUAUCCUUUUUUUCGGCAUUCUUCUUGUUUAUUCUCGACCGUUCCUUAGCUAAUUCCGAAUCGUUGAAUUCACGAAAUCGUCCCAAUGAGCAUGUUGGUUCUCUAGUGUUCCCUCUAAUACUGGAGUCUUCCUUCCUCCCUUGACGUACUUGUCCCAUUCACGAUUCUUGUGGUUCUUGAAUGCAACCGCCAUCUUCCUACGAGCAGCGUCCUUGACUUUCUGCACAUCUGCUUCUGUGAAAUGAUCUGGUAGGGUGAAAUGUUCCAUGAGAGUAUCCCAAAGAAGAUCUUUUUGAUUCUUGUCGACAAAAGUAACAUCUGGACGUGGAGCAGCAUCCUCUUUGCCUUUUUGUAUUUUGUCUUUUGCUGGCUCUCUCCAUUCUUGAAGGGAGAUCGGGAGUUGGUCCUUCACAAGAACUCCGCACUGACGAAUGAACUUGUCCGCAAUCUUCUUAGGCGCUAAUGGUUCGCCAUUAGGUCUGACUGCCUCGAUAUUGUACUUUAUGCCCUCCUUCAACUUUUUGUUCGGGCCUCGUUUCGUCCUUUUGCCUGAAGAUUUGCUUGAUCCGGAUGGCUGAAAGAACAAAGAUCGAUUCGUUAAUAUAUCUUCAAGUCAUUUAAAACAUGUGAUGAUCACCAGAUACCUGCUUAUAUAAAUAUAUAUAUACCUCGCCGGUCUUUGUUGUUUCAGGAUCAACAUGUUCUUCGUCAUCGUCAUAAUCGUAGUUCAUGACUUCAUCAAUUCGGUCGUCGCGAUCGAAUAUCAUAUCACCCUCUCCGGUGUUGUUUAGAAAUUCGGAGCCGUAUCAUAUCGAACAUGGUCUGUUCUCCCUCUCUGUCGGUAUUGUCUGCCAUAGCUUUUAUUUAACUAAUUCAAAAUAAAUAUAAAACAAUUUAGUAUUCAAAUUACAUCGUCUCGAAUAAUAGAUAUAAUCUCGAAUACUUUGUCUAGAAUAAUAGAUAUAAUCUCGAAUACAUCGUCUCGAAUAAUAUAUAAUAUUGAAUAGUACAUCACUGGCUACCUAUUAAAGAUCGAAUACUACAGAAGAAUCUAGGACACUCGUGGUUCCUGCGGCGCGGGCGGUGGACACCCAAAGAGAAGGAAUCCUCACAGGAUCAUAGCUGAAGUGAGAUCCCCGAAGAUACUGCCAGGUAUUGGAGAACCUGCCGCCCUCUAACGCAACCAUGUAGCGAUGGACGUGCUCGUCCUCCUCCCUGACACGGCGACGUACCACCUCCGGCGGGGCCGGGUCCCUCCGCACCGAAACUAGCCCACGCGAACGCCACCAAACGAGAUCAGGGUCGACGACGGGACCCGGGGCCGGGUUCCUCAUCAAGCGGCGCGCCCCUCCAGGCAGCACCUCCCAGUACCAGCCCGGCGGAGCCCAGUCCCGGACAUGGGUCGGCUGGACGUCGUCGCAGACGGGUCGACGGCGAGGAUGCGGGCCGGCCAUCGUCGAGAACAAAUACUAGCUAUAUGCCCGCAAAAAGUAAUAUUUUUUUAAUGAUUGGAUUUUGAUAACUAAAAUUUCUAACAUUUCUACUACUUCAAAAAUCUAUAUACUAUUUCAUACUAAUUAAGCAUCUAACACUAAAAACAGAAAACACAACUUCUAUACAUCCAUUAAAAAACUGGAAAACAACAUUAUAUAAAAAAUUUCCCUACUAAUUAAACACUAAUUAUAUCCAUCUAACAUGCAUUCAUACAUAUAUAAUAGUGAAAAAAAUAAUAAUCUAAACUAAUUAAACAUACAAAAUACGUAUAUACUAAUUAAACACUAAAUAAUCUAAACUAAUUAACCAUACAAAAUACAUAUGUACGUGUGUGUUUGUGUGUUCAUGCAUGCUUGUGUGUGUGUAUGGGCUCGGGGAGGGGCGGCGCCCAUGGUGGCCGCCGGGGGCGAGGGAGAGGGGUUAGAGGGGGAGAGCUCACAGCGGGCGACGGCGACGGCGAGCCGACGGCCGGGGCGGCAACGGCGGGGACGGCGCGACGGGGACAGGGACAGCGCGACGGGGACGGGCCCCGGGAGGCGACGGAGACGAGGGCGGCGACGGGGACGGGGGCGGCGAUGGGGACGGGGGCGGCGACGGAGACGAUCGAGGGCGGCGGCGACGGCGACGGAGACGGAAACAGAGGAACAAACAGAGAGGGAAACUGGAAUUUUCGUAGCUGNNNNNNNNNNNNNNNNNNNNNNNNNNNNNNNNNNNNNNNNNNNNNNNNNNNNNNNNNNNNNNNNNNNNNNNNNNNNNNNNNNNNNNNNNNNNNNNNNNNNNNNNNNNNNNNNNNNNNNNNNNNNNNNNNNNNNNNNNNNNNNNNNNNNNNNNNNNNNNNNNNNNNNNNNNNNNNNNNNNNNNNNNNNNNNNNNNNNNNNNNNNNNNNNNNNNNNNNNNNNNNNNNNNNNNNNNNNNNNNNNNNNNNNNNNNNNNNNNNNNNNNNNNNNNNNNNNNNNNNNNNNNNNNNNNNNNNNNNNNNNNNNNNNNNNNNNNNNNNNNNNNNNNNNNNNNNNNNNNNNNNNNNNNNNNNNNNNNNNNNNNNNNNNNNNNNNNNNNNNNNNNNNNNNNNNNNNNNNNNNNNNNNNNNNNNNNNNNNNNNNNNNNNNNNNNNNNNNNNNNNNNNNNNNNNNNNNNNNNNNNNNNNNNNNNAACCGGUACUAAAGGCGUACCGGUUUGUGCCACCACCCGGUACUAAAGGGGUCGCGCUGCCACCCCAAAGUUUAGUCCCACCUCGCCGGGCGAAGGGCAGCCGCACUGGUUUAUAAACCCAGCCACGGCUACCACUUUGAACUCCUCUAUAUAGCUAGCAGGCUUGUGGGCCUAAACUCUGCGUGCUGCCCUGUGAGUCUGCUGGGCCUUUAAGGCCUGUAAUUACACACCUGUGGCCUAUCAGGCCCACAGGGCAGCGCCCCAAUUUUUUUAUAGUUUUUUCUUUUCUGCUUUAUUUUCUUCUAUUUAUUUUUGCGUAGUUUUUUGUAUAGUUUUUUCUUUUUUGUUAUAUUUAUUUUCUUAUAUUUAUUUAUGAGUAGUUUCAAGUCCUGGAAACAGCCUCUUACAGAAAUGUAGGGAAAGGCUCCGUACUAUAGACCCAAAGUGGUCGGACCCUUCCCUAGACCGUGCGCAAGCGGGAGCUACAUGCACCAGGUUGCCCUUUUUUUUAGUUUUUCAUCUAGUUUGCCAAAAUUCAACAUUUUCAAAGUUCAUUUUGUAGUGAUUUUCAAUUUCACGGUCAUUUUGUAAACGAUUGAAAAAUAGCAAAUAUAUUUUUUUUCUUUUCUGCUUUAUUUUUUCUUCUAUUUAUUUCUGAGUAGUUUUUUCUUUUCUGCUAUAUUUAUUUUCUUCUAUUUAUUUUUGAGUAGUUUUUUUAUAUAGUUUUUUUCUUUUCAGCUAUAGUUUUUCUCUCUUUUUUGCUAUAUUUUCUGUUAGUGCCCGUAGUUUUCAAAUUUGAAUAGUUUAAAUUUUGAAUUAUUUGAAAUUAGUGUGAAUUUGUUUGCACAUAAAAUUUCUUCGCGUUUCAAAUGCCAAAACACAUAACUACCCUAACUAUUACAAAGAUUCCCCUCUCGGUGCGAAACACAGAAGAAAGUGAUGAUAGCUAGUGAAGCCGAUCACAUCCCAAAUCUUUGGGUGUGAAACUUUUUCUUCGCGUGUGUCCCUUUGCGCCGUAACCAUGGAAAAUCUUCAUCAUUUAACGGGAUGCUCGGGUCAAUAUUCACUGUGAAUGGAGCAAUUUCAUCAAACUUUUCAUAAUCUUCUGACUUGUCUGUCUUUUCAUCCACUCCCACGAUGUUUCUCUUCCCAGAAAGAAUUAUGUGCCGCUUUGGCUCAUCGUACGAUGCAUUCACUUCCUUAUCUUUUCUUUUUCUUGGCUUGGUAGACAUGUCCUUCACAUAGAAAACCUGUGCCACAUCAUUGGCUAGGACGAAUGGUUCGUCUGCAUACGCAAGAUUGUUGAGAUCCACUGUUGUCAUUCCGUACUGCGGGUCUUCCGUUACCCUGCCUCGUGUCAUAUUAACCCAUUUGCACCGAAACAAAGGGACCUUUAAACCACGUCGAUAGUCAAGUUCCCAUAUGUCCUGUAUAUAACCAUAAUAUGUUUCCUUUCCCCUCUUGGUUUCUGCAUCAAAGCGGACACCACUGUUUUGGUUGGUGCUCUUCUUAUAUUGGGCGAUCGUGUAAAAUGUAUUACCAUUUAUCUCGUACCCUUUGAAAGUCAUUAUAUUCGAAGAUGGUAACUGGGACAGCAAGUACAGGUCAUCUUCAAUAGAGGUGUCAUGCAUGGUACGUGUCUGCAACCAGCUGGCGAAACUCCUGGUUUGUUCACGUGUAAUCGAGUCAUCAGACCGCUCCGGGUGUUUGGAGCGUAGCAAAUUCUUUUGUUCAUCCAUAUACGGAGCCACCAAGGCGGAAUUCUGUAGAACUGUGUAGUGUGCUUCAGUGAGAGAAUGUCCGUCCAUACAUAUUAUUUGUUCCCCUCCUAGCGUGCCUUUUCCAUCUAGUCUGCCCUUAUGCCGCGAUUCAGGAACACCAAUCGGCUUAAGGUCAGGAAUAAAGUCAAUACAAAACUCAAUGACCUCCUCAUUUUGAUGGCCCUUGGAGAUGCUUCCUUCUGGCCUAGCACGGUUAUGAACAUAUUUCUUUAAGACUCCCAUGAACCUCUCAAAGGGGAACAUAUUGUGUAGAAAUACAGGACCCAAAACAUUAAUCUCUUCGCACAGGUGAACUAGGACGUGUGUCAUGAUGUUGAAGAAGGAUGGUGGGAACACCAACUCGAAACUGACAAGACAUUGCACCAAAUCAUUCUGUAACCUUGGUAUGAUUUCUGGAUCGAUUACCUUCUGAGAGAUUGCAUUGAGAAAUGCACAUAGCUUCACAAUGGCUAAUCGAACGUUUUCCGGUAGAAGCCCCCUCAAUGCAACCGGAAGCAGUGAGGCUUUAGGUUCUGGAACUUUUUCUCUGCCAUGUUUAUUAUUCCCUUUAUAUUCGACGAGAAGCCAGAUAGUACCUUAAUACUGAGCAGGCAUUCAAAGAAGAUUUCCUUCUCUUCUUUGGUAAGAGCGUAGCUUGCAUGACCCUGAUGUAUGCCGUCUUCUCCGUGCAUACGUUGCUGGUUCUCCCAUGCCUCAGGUGUAUCUUUUGUCUUCCCAUACACGCCCAAGAAGCCAAGCAGGGUCACGCAAAGAUUCUUCGUCACGUGCAUCACGUCGAUUGCGGAGCGGACCUCUAGGUCUUUCCAAUAUGGCAGGUCCCAAAAUAUAGAUUUCUUCUUCCACAUGGGUGCGCGUCCAUCAGCGUCCUUUGGAACAGGUUGUCCGCCAGGACCCUUUCCAAAUAUCACCUUCAAAUCAUUGACCAUAUCAUGUACAUCAGCACCAGUACGGUGGCGAGGCUUCGUCCGGUGAUCCGCCUCACCUUUGAAAUGCUUGCCUUUCUUUCUUACGGGAUUCCUGCUCGAAAGAAAUCGACGAUGUCCCAGGUACACAUUCUUCUUACAACUAUUCAAAUAUAUACUGUCGAUAUCAUCCAAAUAGUGCGUGCAUCCGUGGUAUCCCUUGUUUGUCUGUCCUGAAAGGUUACUGAGAGCAGGCCAAUCAUUGAUGGUCACGAACAGCAAUGCCUUUAGGUCAAAUUCUUCCUGUUUGUGCUCAUCCCAUGCACGUACACCUAUUCCAUUCCACAGUUGUAAGAGUUCUUCAACUAAUGGCCUUAGGUACACAUCAAUGUCGUUGCCGGGUUAUUUAGGGCCUUGGAUGAGCACUGGCAUCAUAAUGAACUUCCGCUUCAUGCACAACGAAGGAGGAAGGUUAUACAAACAUAGACUCACAGGCCAGGUGCUAUGGUUGCUGCUCUGGUCCCCAAAAGGAUUAAUGCCAUCUGCGCUUAGACCAAACCAUACGCUUCUUGCGUCAUCUGCAAACUCCUUCCCGUACUUUUUUUCGAUUUUUCUCCACUGCGAGCCGUCAGCGGGUACUCUCAACUUUCCAUCUUUCUUACGGUCUUCUCUGUGCCAUCGUAUCGCCUUGGCAUGCUCUUUGUUUUGGAACAAACGUUUCAACCGUGGUAUAUUAUAGGAGAAUACCACAUCACCUUGGCAGGAAUCUUCUUCCUGGGGCGCUCGCCCUCGACAUCACCAUGCUCAUCGCGGCUGAUCUUAUAGCGCAAUGCACCACAUACCGGGCAAGCGUUCAAAUCCUCGUACUCACUGCGGUAGAGGAUGCAAUCAUUAGGGCAUGCAUGUAUCUUCUGCACCUCUAACCCUAGAGGGCAGACAACCUUCUUUGAUUCGUACGUACUCUCGGGAAAUUCAUUGUCCUUUGGAAGCAUAUCCUUUAUCAUUACCAGCAACUUUCCAAAUCCCUUGUCAGAUACACCAUUCUCUGCCUUCCAUUGCAGCAAUUCCAGUGUGGUGCCUAGCUUUUUCUUGUCACCUACGCAAUUCGGGUACAACAAUUUUUUGUGAUCCUCUAACAUGCGCUGCAACUUCUUCUUCUCCAAAUCACUUGCACAGUUUCUCUUUGCAUCGGCAAUGGCCCGACCUAGAUCAUCAACGGGCUCAUCUGAUGCCUCUUCUUCAGCUUCUUCCCGCAUUGCCGGCUCAGCUUCUUCCCGCAUUACCGGCUCAGCUUCUUCCCCCAUUGUUGUAUCAUCGUAUUCAGGGAACCCAUGGCCAGGAUAGUUGUCGUCGUCCUCUUCUUCUUCAUUGUCUUCCAUCAUAACCCCUCUUUCUCCGUGCUUGGUCCAAACAUUAUAGUGGGGCAUGAAACCGAACUCAAAUAGGUGGACGUGAAUGGUUCUUGACGUAGAGUAAUUGCGACCAUUCUUACAGCUAGCACAUGGACAAGGCAUAAAACCAUCCGCCCGCUUGUUUGCCUCAGCCGCAAGCAGAAAAGUAUGCACGCCCUCAACGAACUGGGGAGAGCAUCGGUCAUCGUACAUCCAUUGCCGGCUCAUCUUCAUUACACAACAUCGAAUAGACCAAAUUAAUACAAGUUCAUACAUAAAGUUCAUACAACACUUAAAUGCAACAAACAAAUAACUCUCUAGCUAAAGCAUUUAAAUGCAACAACAAAUGCGAUCAAGAUCGCAACUAAGGUAACAAUUGAUCCAACAGCAUAAUGAUACCAAGCCUCACUAUCGAUGGCAUAUUUUCUAAUCUUUCUAAUCUUCAAGCGCAUUUUCUCCUUCUUGAUCUUGUGAUCAUCGACGACAUCGGCAACAUGCAACUCCAAUUCCAUCUUCUCCCCCUCAAUUCUUUUCAAUUUUUCUUUCAAGUACUCGUUUUCUCUUUCAACUAAAUUUAACCUCUCGACAAUAGGGUCGGUUGGAAUUUCCGGUUCACAUACCUCCUAGAUAAAAAUAUCUAUGUCAACUUGAUGGGCAUAAUUUGUCAUAAACAUGAAAUGCAACAAAUAGUUUUAAAAGAGAAUAUACCACAUCCGAAUCAUAACAAGGACGAGGGCCGAUGGGGACGGAUAUCAAAACCAUGGCACUAUGUAUAACAAAUAACAUACGGGUAAGAUAAUUAUUAUACGAGUAACUAUAUAUCCAAAUCACACAAACAUCAAUUUUUUAUAUAAAAUUUCAUGAACAAGAGGCUCACCACAAGGUGGUGCCGGCGACGGGAUGGUGCGGGCGAUCGACGGUGGUUACGACAGAGAUUUAGAAGGCACUAAGUAAACCACACCUACAUAUGCAAACUAAGUGUUAUUUUAACCUCAAAUUGCAUAUAAAUCAAAUACUAGCACAUAUAUAUAUAUAUUUACUCCCAAAUUACUAAACUCACAAAUUAAUAACUAUAUAAAGCAUUGCAAGAGCUAAUCUAGCAAUGAGAGAUGAAAGGACAAAGUUGCUAACCUUUGUGAUCAUUUGAAUGGAUGGGGGCCUUCAAAUCUUGACAAAUUUUGGGCAAAAAGUGUGAUGAGCUCGAGAGGAAGAGGGGAAGAACAGAGAGGAGAGGGGAAAGGGGAAGAACAGAGCGAGCUCGGGUGGACGAAGGGUUUAUGUAGGACGACCUUUAGUACCGGUUCGUGCCAAGAACCGGUACUAAAGGUGCUGGAGGGGCCCAGACUGACAACAUCCUGCCACCACUCUCAUUAGUACCGGUUCAUGGCACGAACCGGUGCUAAUGGUUAGCCACGAAUCGGUACUAAUGAGAGCGGCCUGGCUAGCCGUUGGAACCGGCACUAAUGUAUACAUUUGUGCCGGCUCAAAUACAAACCGGCACUAAUGUGCUUCACGUUUGACCCUUUUUCUACUAGUGUAUCCGGUAGAAACUUUGGGGCACUCUUUGAAGUACUUUUAUGUUGGUUGGAUGAAUCUGAGGUUGUGUGAUGCAUAUCGUAUAAUCAUGCCCAUGGAUACUUGAGGUGACAAUGGAGUAUCUAGGUGAAAUUAGGGUUUUGGUUGAUUUGUGUCUUAAGGUGUUAUUCUAGUAAGAACUCUUUUACAGAUCGAUCCGAACGAAUAACUUUGAGGUGGUUUCGUACCCAACCAUAAUCUCUACGUUUGUUCUCCGCUAUUAGUGGCUUUGGAGUGACUCUUUGUUGCAUGUUGAGGGCUUGUCAUACGAUAUAUCUAUGUUAUUAUUGUUGAGAGAACUUGCACUAGUGAAACUAUGAACCCUAGGACUUGUUUCCUAUCAUUGCAAUACCGUUUACGCUCACUUUUUUAUCACUCGUUACCUUGCUGUUUUUAUAUUUCAGAUUACAAAAACCUUUAUCUACUAUCUAUUUUGCACUUGUAUCACCAUCUCUUCGCCGAACUAGUGCACCUAUACAAUUUGCCAUUGUAUUGGGUGUGUUGGGGACACAAGAGACUCUUUGUUAUUUGGUUGCAGGGUUGUUUGAGAGAGACCAUCUUCAUCCUACGCCUCCUACGGAUUGAUAAACCUUAGGUCAUCCACUUGAGGCAAAUUUGCUACUGUCCUACAAACCGGUGCACUUGCAGGCCCAACAACGUCUACAAGGAGAAGGUUGCAUAGUAGACAUCAAGCUCUUUUCUAGCGCCGUUGCCGGGCAGGCUAGGUAAAGGGUACUCACACUCCGUCAACUAAACUCUUUUUUGGCGCGGUGAGUGCUUGAAGGUAUAUCUUUAGAUCUUGCAAUUGCAUAUUUUUGUUUCUUGUUUUAGCACUAGUUUAGUUUAUAAAAGAAAAUUACAAAAAAAUGGAGUUGAGUUUGUCUCAUACGCUUCAUCUUUUUAAUACUUUCGUGAGAAUGAUGGAAAGGAAAAUUGUGCUCAAGUGCUAGAAGAAGAAUUACAUAGAAUGCUUGGCAUAGAAUAUGUGAAUGAUGAGCAUGAUUGCAAUGUUGUUAGUAUGAAUUCCUUGAAUAUCCAUGAUGCUAAUGAUAUGCAAAGCCACAAGCUUGGGGAAGCUAUGUUUGAUGGAGAUGAUAUUUUUUCUCCCCCAAGCUUUGAUGAGCAAAUUUACUAUGAUGAAAGCAUGCCUCCUAUCUAUGAUGAUUAUUGUGAUGACACGUAUGCUUUAAAGAAUAAUGAUAACCAUGAAACUUUUCAUCUUGAUCUUAAUUUUCAAUCACAUGAUAGUUGUUUUGUUGAGUUUGCUCCCACUACUAUUGAUGAGAAGAAUUUUGCUUAUGUGGAGAGUAGUAAAUUUUCUAUGCUUGUAGAUCAUGAAAAGAAUGCUUUAGGUGCUGGUUAUAUUGUUGAAUUCAUUCAUGAUGCUACUGAAAAUUAUUAUGAGGGAGGAACAUAUGCUUGUAGGAAUUGCAAUAAUGUCAAGUUUUCUCUCUAUAUGCUUAAAGUUUUGAAGUUAUGCUUGUUUUGCCUUCCUAUGCUAGUUGAUUAUUGUUCCCAUAAGUUGUUUGCUCAUAAAAUCCCUAUGCAUAGGAAGUGGGUUAGACUUAAAUGUGCUAGUCAUAUGCUUCAUGAUGCUCCCGUUAUGUUUCAAUUCUUAUCUUUUAUGUGAGCAUCAUUGUCAUCAUCAUGCCUAGCUAGAAAGGCAUUAAAGAAAAGCGCUUGUUGGGAGACAACCCAAUAUUUAUACUUACUGUUUUUGUGUGUCCACAUGAUUAUUCUACUGUAUUAAUCAUGUUUUAUAGCUUUUGUUUCAAUAAAGUGCCAAGUAGAACCUUUGGGAAGACUUGAGUGAAGUUUAUGUGAUCUUGCUGUAAAAAACAGAAACUUUAGCGCUCACGAGAUUAGCUGCAAUUUUUUAAUGGAGAGUGAUUUUAGGUUGAUUCUUUUUGAAGAUGAUUAAUAGACAAAUUUAUAAGGUCCAGCAAUUUAUUUCAUAAUUUUUGGGGUACCAGAAGUAUACGUUUGAUACAUAUUACUACAGACUGUUCUGCUUUUGACAGAUUCUGUUUUCUAUGUGUUGUUUGCUUGUUUUGAUGAAUCUAUGAGUAGUAUCGGAGGGUAUGAACCAUAGAGAAGUUAGAAUACAGUAGAUAUGACACCAAUAUGAAUUUAGAAUGAGUUCAUUACAGUACCUAAGUGGUGGGUUUAUUUUCUUAUACUAACGGAGCUUACGAGUUUUGUUUUGAGUUUUGUGUGGUUGAAGUUUUCAGGUUUUGGGUAAAGAUUCGACGGACUAUGGAAUAAGGAGUGGAAAGAGCCUAUGCUUGGGGAUGCCAAAGGAACCCCAAGGUAAUAUUCAAGGACAACCAAGUAACUAAGCUUGGGGAUGCCCCGGAAGGCAUCCCCUCUUUCGUCUUCGUUCAUCGGUAACUUUACUUGGAGCUAUAUUUUUAUUCACCACAUGAUAUGUGUUUUGCUUGGAGCGUCAUUUUCUUUUGUUAGUUUUUGCUUGAUGUUAGUUAUAAUAAUGUUUUGCCUCUUUAUUUUCAAUAAAAAAAGUCAAGGAUAGCCUUUGCCAUGCUUAUUUUGCUAGUUUACAUGUUGCUGUUUGAAAAUAGAAAGUUUACCGCUGUUGAAAAAAUUCCCUAGAAAAGUCAGAGCAUGGUCUAACGUUGAAUCUUUUGGCAUAUUAAGAUCUGAUAAAUUUAUUACAGUGGGAAUUUUAGUUCAUAAUUUUUGGAGUCAGGGAAGUAUUGAUACUCUUGCAUUCUUUACAGACUGUACUGUUUUGGCAGAUUGCUGUUAUGGUUGCAUUGUUUGCAUAUGUUUGCUUGUUUAAUGAGUCUAAUUGAGGAUAGUAGUAUUAAAUAUACAGAGGCAUUUAGUAUGCAAUGUUGAAUAAUAAUUUUAGUGAUUUGUUACAGUAGAAAAUGAUAAGGUUUUGCAUUGGUUUAUACUAACCUAUCUCACGAGUUCUUGUUGAGUUCGUUGUGAAUGAAGCUUUUAAUAAAAAGAAGAGAAACCAUGAUAUGAGAGGAAUUAAGGAGACACAAAAGCUCAAGAUUGGGGAUGCCCAAGGCACCCCAAGAUAAUAUUUCAAGAAGUCUCAAGCAUCUAAUCUUGGGGAUGCCCCGGUAGGCAUCCCACCUUUCUUCUUCAACAACUAUCGGUUAGUAUCGGUUGAGCCUAAGUUUUUGCUUCUUCACAUGAGUUGUGCUAUCCUUGCAUUAUCAUUUUAUUUUGCUUGAUGCUUGAAUACAACACCAAGAUCUGAAAUCCUUUAAUGAGAGAGAGUCUUUGCAUAGUUGCAUAAUUAUUCAACUAAUUGAUCUUCAGUUAUAUCUUUUGGAGUAGUUUGUUGUUGCUCUAGUGCUUUACUUAUAUCUUUUAGAGCAUGGUGGUAGUUUUAUUUUGAGGAAAUAGAUGAACUCUCAUGCUUCACUUAUAUUAUUUUGAGAGUCAUUAAUAGCAUGGUAAUUUGCUUAACAUUAAUAUACUUGGUAUUGAAGAUAUGUGAAACUUUCUUUUGAGUGCGUUGAAUACUAAGAUAGUUUGAUGCUUGAUAAUUGUUUUGAGAUAUGGAGGUAGUGAUAUUAAAAUCAUGCUAGUUGGUUGAUUAUGAAUUUAAAGAAUGCUUGUGUUGAAGUUAGCAAGUCCCAUGGCAUGCACGUAUGGUUAAAGUUGUGUAACAAAUUUGAAACAUGAAGUGUACCUGGCUUGUGCAUCCUUAUGAGUGGCGUCGGGGACGAGCGAUGGUCUUUUCCUACCAAUCUAUCCCCCUAGGAGCAUGCACGUAGUACUUGAUUUUUGAUGACUUCUAAAUUUUUGCAAUAAGUAUAUGAGUUUUUUUGACUAAUGUUGAGUCCAUGGAUUAUACGCACUUUUACCUUUCCGCCUUUGCUAGCCUCUUCGGUACCGUGCAUUGCCCUUUCUCACCUUGAGAGUUGGUGCAAACUUCGCCGGUGCAUCCAAACCCCGUGAUACGAUACUCUCUAUCACACAUAAACCUCCUUAUAUUUUCCUCAAAACAGCCACCAUACCUACCUAUCAUGGCAUUUCCAUAGCCAUUCCGAGAUAUAUUGCCAUGCAAGUUCCACCAUCAUAUUCAUGACAUACAUUACUUUUGUCAUAUUGCUCUUUGCAUGAACAUGUAGUUGACAUUGUAUUUGUGGCAAGGCCACCUUCAUGAUUUUCAUACAUGUCUCUCUUGAUUCAUUGCAUAUCCCGGUAUACCGCCGAAGGCAUUCAUAUAGAGUCAUAUCUUGUUCUAAGUUUCGAGUUGUAAUCCUUAUGUUGUAAUCAAUAGAAGUGUGAUGAUCAUCAUAUUAGAGCAUUGCCCAAAAAAAAGAAAGGCCAAAAAAAAGGGAAAGUCCCAAAAAAAGAAAAUAUAAAGGGCAAUGCUACUAUCUCUUUUUCCACACUUGUGCUUCAAAGUAGCACCUUGUUCUUCAUGUAGUGAGUCCCAUAAGUUGUCUUUUUAUACUAGUGGGAAUUUUUCAUUAUAGAACUUGGCUUGUAUAUUCCUACGAUGGGCUUCCUCAAAUGCCCUAGGUCUUCAUGAGCAAGCGAGUUGGAUGCACGCCCACUAGUUUUCUUUUGUUGAGCAUUCAUAGCUCUAAUGCAUCCAUUGCAUGGAAAUCCCUACUCCUCAUGUUGAUAUCAAUUGAUGGGCAUCUCCAUAGUCCAUUGAUUAUCCUCGUCAAUGUGAGACUUUCUCCUUUUUUGUCUUCUCCACACAAUCCCCAUCAUCAUAUUCUAUUCCACCCAUAGUGCUAUAUCCAUGGCUCAUGCUCAUGUAUUGCGUGAAGGUUGAAAAAGUUUGAGAUUAUUUAAGUACGAAACAAUUGCUUGGCUUGUCAUCGGGGGUAUAGAAGUUGGGAACAUCUUUGUGUGAUGAAAAUGAAGCAUAGCCUAACUAUAUGAUUUUGUAGGGAUGAACUUUCUUUUGCCAUGUUAUUUUGAGAAGACAUAAUUGCUUUGAUUAGUAUGCUUGAAGUAUUAUUAUUUUUAUGUCAAUAUGAACUUUAGUCUUGAAUCUUUCGGAUCUAAAUAUUCAUAUCACAAUUAAGAAGAUUUACAUUGAAAUUAUGCCAAAGUAUCACUCCACAUCAAAAUUCUUUUUUUUCAUUUACCUACUCGAGGACGAGCAGGAAUUAAGCUUGGGGAUGCCUGAUACGUCUCCAACGUAUCUAUAAUUUUUUAUUGCUCCAUGCUACUUUAUCUACUGUUUUAGGCAAUAUUGGGCUUUAUUAUCCACUUUUAUAUUAUUUUUGGGACUAACCUAUUAACCGGAGGCCCAGCCCAGAUUUGUUGUUUUAUGCCUAUUUCAGUGUUUCAAGGAAAAGGAAUAUCAGACGGAGUCAAAACGGAACGAAAUCAACUGGAGAAGUUAUUUUUGGAAGAAAAGCAACCUGAUGGACUUGGAGUGCACGUUAGUGGAGCCCCGGGAUGCCCACGAGGGUGGGGGUGCCCCCCCACCCCUAGGGCACGCCCCCUGCCUCGUGAGCACCCCAGAGGUCCACCGACCUACCCCCUGCACCCAUAUAUACCUACGUACCCUAAAACUUCCAGAACAGAAGAAAGAUCGGGAGUUCCACCGCCGCAAGCCUCUGUAGCCACCAAAAACCAAUCGGGGCCCUGUUCCGGCACCCUGCCGGAGGGGGAUCCCAUCACCGGUGACCAUGUUCAUCAUCCCGGCGCUAUCCAUGACGAGGAGGGAGUAGUUCACCCUCGGGGCUGAGGGUAUGUACCAGUAGCUAUGUGUUUGAUCUCUCUCUCUCUCGUGUUCUCUCUCGUGUUCCCUCUAUGGCACGAUCUUGAUGUAUCGCGAGCUUUGCUAUUGUAGUUGGAUCUUAUGAUGUUUCUCCCCCUCUACUCUCUUGUGAUGAAUUGAGUUUCCCCUUUGAAGUUAUCUUAUCGGAUUGAGUCUUUUAUGAGAACACUUGAUGUAUGUCUUUCCGUGCUUAUCUGUGGUGACAAUGGGAUAUCAUGUGCCUCUUGAUGUAUGUUUUGGUGACCAACUUGCGGGUUCCGCCCAUGAACCUAUGCAUAGGGGUUGGCAUAGUUCUUGACUCUCCGGUAGAAACUUUGGGGCACUCUUUGAAGUACUUUUAUGUUGGUUGGAUGAAUCUGAGAUUGUGUGAUGCAUAUCGUAUAAUCAUGCCCACGGAUACUUGAGGUGACAAUGGAGUAUCUAGGUGACAUUAGGGUUUUGGUUGAUUUGUGUCUUAAGGUGUUAUUCUAGUACGAACUCUUUUAUAGAUCGAUCCGAACGAAUAACUCUGAGGUGGUUUCGUACCCUACCAUAAUCUCUACGUUUGUUCUCCGCUAUUAGUGGCUUUGGAGUGACUCUUUGUUGUAUGUUGAGGGCUUGUCAUAUGAUAUAUCUAUGUUAUUAGUUUUUAGAGAACUUGCACUAGUGAAAGUAGGAACCCUAGGCCUUGUUUCCUAUCAUUGCAAUACCGUUUACGCUCACUUUUAUCACUCGUUACCUUGCUGUUUUUAUUAUUUCAGAUUAAAAAAACCUUUAUCUACUAUCUAUUUUGCACUUGUAUCACCAUCUCUUCGCCCAACUAGUGCACCUAUACAAUUUGCCAUUGUAUUGGGUGUGUUGGGGACACAAGAAACUCUUUGUUAUUUGGUUGCAGGGUUGUUUGAGAGAGACCAGCUUCAUCCUACGCCUCCUACGGAUUGAUAAACCUUAGGUCUUCCACUUGAGGGAAAUUUGCUACUGUCCUACAAACCUGUGCACUUGCAGGCCCAACAACGUCUACAAGGAGAAGGUUGCGUAGUAGACAUCAUUGUGCACUGGUAUACAGUUGCUCAAUCAAUGUGUACGCUGCUUUCAACUUCAUCCGCAUAUCUACGCCUAGAUGUGCAAUGCGAUUACCUGCAAAGGUUCAAGAAUUUAAUGUUAAACCGUCAGAGUUCAAAAUAUUUCCAAACAGGCUAUGACAAAGUACUUGCCGAAAAUUGCAGAAGUCAUGGCAUUCACUUAAUGUUUCAGCCCUGUCAGCUCUUGUGCUAUCGGUUUAAGAGCUGCUUCGGCGUCUUCAGCCUGCUUUAAUAAAGCAGCCUUCUCAGUUUCCCAGUUGGUGCGUUCAUUUUUGAAGCCAUCUUUCAAUUUCUCCAUGGCUGUCAAAGCACCCUUUAGCUCCUCUUUGGCUUUAGAGGUCUCUUCUUGCUGGGACUUGAUGUUUUCUUCAAGAUUGGCGAUUUGAGAUUCUUUGAUAUUUCUAUCGGUCUGCAAAAGUUAGAUGAUGAAGCUAUUAAAGUCCCAAGCACAUAACAAGUUAUACACUUGGCACUUGGGGGCUAAUGCGGAUUGCUUUUUAAAGUGAGUAUUUUAAAAGUCCCAAGGCUCAAUCCAGGUAUUAAGCUUGGCACUUGGGGGCUAAUGCACAAUUGAUCAGUUAUAAGUGAAGGCAAUUAAUAAGGACAGACAAUCCCGGUUUGUCUUCAAGAGACAAACCGACCCUUGGGGGCUACUCAGUUGAAGUGUUCUUUAUCUCGAAGUCCCGGUUUAUCUUCAAGAGAUAACCCGGCCCUUGGGGGCUACAAUGGAAGAGAUAUACAGAACAAAGCAAAUUUCAAAGCGUUUUUGAAGAUUACCUCAUAACGUUUCUUCAUCAAAUUCACCAAACCAGCCUCAAAGUCACGGCUUGUGUAAAGGCGGUUUAAAAAUCCGGAAUGAAGCUCCUCGGCGCUAAGGUUAACGAAGUUGGAUAAAUCAGUCUUCCCUUUCCCCUUGCCCAUAGCAGCGAAUUCCUCCUUGUCACUAUGUUUUGACAAGACAAUCAGAUUACCAGGAUUAGUGGUGACUCGUACCCGUAAUAAGAACAUCGUCAUCGUCACCUUUUGAUGGAUUUGGCGGAUUGACAGUGACCCUGGCUGGGCUUGGCAGAUUAGCAGUAUCCCUGACUGGGCUUGAAGGAGGAAUAGUAUCUCUAGCCGGUCUUGGAAGUUCCUCAUUCCUGGCCGGGUUUGGAGGAUCAGCAUGUGCACUGGCCGGGUUAGCUUCUGACGGAUCAGCAUCAGUAUUUUGACCCUGUGGGGUAGGGUCAUCAAUGGCGAUGUCCGCACCUCUAUUAGCACCUUCAUAAGUUCUAUCCGGUUCAACCUCUUCAGUAGGAACAUUGAUUCUCGCCUUCUUGCUCGGCCGGGCUUUGGCCCUGAAAUAUUAAAACAAAAGGUCAGUUGGUAAACCGGCGUAAGAAGACAAAGUUAAAACGGUAUACUUACCCAGGGAUGGUCUUGAGGGGAGGCAUUUGAGUGGUUGAUGAACCGCUAGAUGAAGAAUUGGAAGACACCUGGUAAUUUGGAUCAGACGGAUUGAGUGGGUAUCGGAAGAAACCCUUCAAAGGAUCAAGUUUUUCAGGAGAACAAGAAACCUCUGGACGACGCUUCCGGGUUGGUGUAUCCGGUAAACCGAAAGAGGUGACUUGCUGGCCACUGUGCCGGGUUGUGCGAUGACCUUUAGCUUGCUGUGUCUUCAAAGAAAAUUGCGGAUCCAAAUAAGCAAGAGGGUGAGAGUAUUUUACUUUCCAAACUGCACGGUGAAAUUUUUGAACCGGCACAAGAUCUGAAUCGGAGGAAAGAGAGAUUAGCUCUACAUGGUCCGCACGGCUGGCCUCCGCAUCAUCCUGGGAAUAUUCAUUGUAAAUAAGGUGUAUGAAAAAGGAACCAAGGGACUCAAGUUCUACCUCUUGAUCCGAUUCAUCAAUGUCCUCUGGCGGAUCAGAAGACUCGGCGGUUUUCUUCUUGGCUGCUCUCUUUGUGACUUUGCUCUUCGCACGAGGAGCCCUAGCCGGUUUAUCUUGAGUUUUCCUCUUCCAGAAGGAGCUAUUGGCCUGUGAAAUUAAACAAAGGAGUAUUAGCAUAUUGUUAAAGCGGAGGCAGAUCAAAAAAGCACAAGGUUAUAGUUUUUACCGCUGGCGAUUUAUUGGAGGCAUAAAAAGGGAGCAGCCCAGUUUUGCUGCAUGCGGCGAUCGGUUCGUCAAACAUCUUCUUCACACAUUCAGUGACUUCAUCGUCAGUCAUUUCUAUUUCAUUAAACCAUUGAGGAUCCUUGGUGUCGCCGUUAUACUCAUGCAUCAAUCCGGAGCAGCGACUUAAAGGUGGGAUGUGCCACGAAACCCAACAGCGAACGAGGUCAACACCAGUCAAACCAUUGGCUAGGGGAGCCCGGAGCUUGGCGAGUUGAGGUGCAUAAGCUUGUCAUUCCUUGGCCGUUAGUCAUUGAGGUAAAGGGUGGCCGUUGCUAAGCCGGUAAUCGCGGUAGCCUGGCAAAGGAUUUUCUCCAGCAGGGGUAGUGUUCUGACAAUAAAACCAUGUUUGGUUCAAGUCUUUGGGAUGGUUGUGGUGUUUUGCAUGAGGGAAAUCAACUUCUUUCCUCUUCUGGAUUGAUACCCCACCAAGUUCCGUGUUAGGACCAUGAGAGAACUCAGUUCGGUGGUUUAGAUGGAAAAAGUCCUGGAAGAGCUCAACAGAUGGUUCUUCUUGAAGGUAAACUUCACAGAAUACUUGAAAGUUGCAUAUGCUGGACACAGAAUUCGGUCCAAUAUCCUGUGGAUGGAGUUGAAAGCUAGCAAGGACAUCCCAGAAAAACUUUGAUCCGGGCGGGCUGAAUCCCCGGUCUAGGUGCUCCAUGAAUACAAUCACUUCUCCAUCUUGAGGCUCAGGAGGGCACUCAGGGUCAGGGACUCGCCAAUGAAGGACAUUUUUUGAGGCUAAAGCACCAGUUACAACAUAUCCAUUGAUUUGCGUUUCCGUGAUCCGGGACGGAACCCAGUUGCAAGCGGAAAAUUGCUUGGUCAUCUUGGACAGCAAACUGUAAAGGAAAAAUGAAGGCUGGUUUACGAUUAACGGUUGAUGUGCACUAAUCGGUGUUAAACCGGGGAAUUUGAUCAAAGCAUAUGUGUGAGAUAAACCGGAAAUUGCUAUUCAAGUCAAAAUGGCGGUUUAAGUGAGGGCUAAUGGCAUAUGGCGGAUUAUCAACUACUAAAGGUUAAACCGCCCUUAAAUUGAAGAGGCAGAGCUGAAAAUCUACCAAGUGUUUACAGAAACAGGUUUCACAAUAUGGCAAUAUAAUUUUGGAUCUACCGUGGUACAAUAAAGAAAACUUUCCUGAGCCCUACAAUGGCGCUAAGAGGAACAGACAAGGUCCAGAUGGAGUCUGUCCAGAAACAACAAAACACUAUGGUACGAAGGAUUAAAACUAUGGAUCUAGCCGCAGAUCAAAGCUAUCAGGCAUAAAUAGAUUCAGUAAAGAGGCUAAGAGAAGGGCGGAGAAGCACUGAUGAACGGCAACGAACACGAAAGAACUGGAAGCCCUAAUGGAGAUCUAGGGUUACAAGAAGAAAAAUUACCAGAUCCACGCAGCGGCAGAGGAGUGUCGCAAGGUCUCUGGUACGAACAGGGUGAUGCAGCGGCCUUGGUCGGUGCAGGUUCAAAGGUCGACGGCGGCGGCGAUGCUUGGGCUCUUCGGGUCGCGAGGAGGAAGACGAGAAGCAAGGGGAGAAAAUGGAAGGACCCUUCGGUCUUAUUUAUAAAGGGGCAAGAAGAUAAGCGACAGGCGCGAGAAUCGAGGAGUCUAAAGCGGCAAGGGGCGCAGCUGUCACCUUGAUCUUCAGGAUACAAUUAAUAAAGGGAAUAUUUUUUCUUUUUAUACAGAGAUGACGUCAUGACAAUCCGCUGUUGUAUCCAGAGGAUGACGUCACGGCGGUUUAACAAAAGUUUAUAGGAGAAGACAUCGUGGCGGUUUACGGGAAAUGUAAGAAGAUGUUCACGGGAUUUUUCUAAGUAUUGGAGAUUGACAUGAACUGGUUCAAAUCAACUUGGGGCCUAAUGUUGGGGAUAUAACUAGUAAGGAUAAACCGCCCAGGAGGGGCCGGUUCACCCUCAACUACAUUGAAGCCCAUAAAGACCCAGAAGAUGGAGGUUUACGGAUGAAGCUUAGAGGGCCAGAGCCCAAAGAUAGAUUAGGGCCCAUAAGUUGUAAACUGCCAUGAUCGUGUAACUUGUGUUGUAAGAUAGGAAAGGGGAGACCGAGCCGGACACUUGUAUGAGCCGGCCUCGGGACUCUGUAGACCGUCCGGGCGUCAGCCUAUGUAUAUAAAGGGACGACCCGGCGGUGGUUAAAGGACAAGAAAACAACAACUCGUGACCCAGGCAAAGCGUAUUUGCUCCCUGGUCAUCGAAAUCCAAUCAAUUCCAUCACAACUAGACGUAGGCUUUUACCUUCAUCAAAGGGGCCGAACUAGUAUAAAACUCUCGAGUUCCUUGUCCGGUUUAACCCCUUCAAGCCAACCCGUCGCGAUGGCUCCACGACUAAGUCCUUUCAUGAGGACACCUGACGUGUUAAUUCCACGAUAGGCACGAUGAAUUCUUCGUCACCGAGGCUUACUUCAUUUUCAGAGAGAGGCAUGUAAUUAUCGUCCUCUGAUUCUCCAUCAGUUGCCUAUUCUUUAGGGCUAGCUUACCCAUCCUCUUGCUUGGCCUGCUCGAAGCCUGGCUGGGCAGGAUUGUCUUCGCCUUCGGCACCAUCCGGAUUGUUAUCUCUUGUGCCGGUAUCGCUAUUUUUGCUAUGGCGGGGCUUGGAGCGACGCCGAUGACGUCGGUGUCUAGAUUGCUUCUCCAAGGGGUUGUUUUCCGUUGCCUCAUCGCCAUUGUUUUCUUUAGGGGUGUCCACCAUAUAAAUGUCAUAUGAUGAGGUGGCUGUCCAGCGCCCUAUAGGCGGUGGUUCCUGUUCUUCUCCUGCAUCGUCAUCCAUAUCAUCGAUGACUUCGGAGUCGAAGUCAAGCACGUCGGUUAAGUCAUCGACAGUGGCUAUAAAGUGGGUGGUGGGUGGGAGACGAAUUUCUUCCUCGUCCGCUCCCCACUCGAACCGGACAUAGUUCGGCCAAGAAUCUCCUGACAAGGAAAGAGACCUUAAUGAGUUUAGCACGUCACCCAAGGGCGAGUACUGAAAAAUAUCCGCAGCGGUGAACUCCAUGACCGGUGCCCAAUCAGAUUCGAUAGGCAUGGACGCACACGGUUCGGAUCCUGUGGCCGGAGACGAGUCCGAGGGUCCGAUGACACCACUUUCAUAGGAGGUGGAAUCAGUGUUCGGCUCCAACGUCGAUGAGUGUGCGGCUUCCGUGGAGGGGUCCAUCCACCCGCCCUCGGAAGGCACGAUCUGCUCCGGAUUGAUUCCCGGUGCCACCACAGGCACGAUCUCCCGAAUACUGUCCGACGGCAGAUCAAAGUCAUGCCUGUUGUGACCGUUCGGCGUGCCUGGGAUGGGCUCGAAUUCGUCGAAGAUCAAGUCUCUGCGGAUGUCGGCAGUAUAGUUUAAGCUUCCAAACCUGACCUGAUGGCCAGGGGCGUAGCUAUCGAUCUGCUCCAAAUGGAUAAGCGAGGUAGCCCGUAGUACAAAGCCACCGAAUAUGAAGAUCUGUACGGGGAGGAAAACCUCCUCCUAGACCACAUUGUUGAAGAUGAUCGAAGGGGCCAUCAAGCCUUACAGCGACGGCACAGUGGAACUCUCAAUGAAAGCACCAAUGUCGGUGUCCAAACUGGCGGAUCUCGGCUAGGGGGUCCAGAACUGUGCGUGUAAGGCUAAUGGUAACAGGAGGCAGGGGACACAAUGUUUUACCCAAGUUCGGGCCCUCUCGAUGGAGGUAAUACUCUACUUCCUGCUUCAUUGAUCUUGAUGGUAUGAGUAUUACAAGAGUUGAUCUACCACGAGAUCGUAGAGGCUAAACCCUAGAAGCUAGCCUAUGAUUAUGAUUGUUCUUCUACGGACUAAACCCUCCGGUUUAUAUAGACACUGGAGGAGGCUAGGGUUACACAGAGUCAGUUACAGAGAAGGAAAUCUACAUAUCCGAAUAGCCAAGCUUGCCUUCCAUGCAAAGGAGAGUCCCAUCCGGACACGGGACGAAGUCUUAAAUCUUGUAUAUUCCCAGUCCAAUAGUCCGGCCAAAGUAUAUAGUCCGGCUAUCCGAGGACCCCUUAAUCCAGGACUCCCUCAGUCGCCUGCUACUUUUUCUGCUAUUCUAUGAUGCAAUGAUAAAUUCCACAUGAGCGAUGAUAAAUCCCGCAUGAAGUCAUUCCACAUACGUCCAUUUUUCAUUAUGCAUGUCAUUAUUCCUGUAUAUCUGCUCAUGCAUGAUGUAUUGUCUUCAUAUGGUGAAGAGGAUCUCCACAAGUACAACCUGCCAUGUGCAUUUGCAUUCCAACACAAAAUAUUUAUAUGCACAUCUUCAGGGGGGAGCCUUUUUGCCACCUAUGAAGACAAUAUCUUAAUCCUUUACAAUUUCACAUACUUUUAUCCCCGUUGAAAACUUCAACCAGUUUGUCAUCAAUCACCAAAAAGGGGGAGAUUGUAAGUGCAUCUAGUGCCACCCCUAGUUGGUUUUGGAGUAUUGACGACAAACCUGGUUGAGGGACUAAUGUGUUUGUGAGAAUUGCAGGAUAACACAGGUAGUAGUCCCUCAUUGAUUCGGUUUACCUACCGGAGAUGACCUCUAAAAAUGUGUGAAGACAUUGAGGACAAUGGUGGUAUGUGAAGAUAUUCACGUUGAAGACUAUGACAUGAGAAGACAUCGCGUGAAGGCUAUGGAGCACGAAGACUUAGUUCUUUCGUUGUUUCCUUUUCUUAUUUGUUGAGUCAUAGGAACCACCGUACUGUCAAGUGGGGUCCAAGUGAACAAAGUCAGAGUGACUGAAGUGAUGCUCAACCAAAUCCUAUGUCUUCAAGCGAAGACAAUGAGAGCAAAUCUUAUCCAUAGUCAGAUGAGUCAGCUUUAAUUUACUUGUAGACCAAGUCAAGCUGCCGCGUGUAUUUGAAAUCUGACCGUUUAGACACAUGUCAGUUCCUUAGUGACCCAGGGUCAUUUCGGACAAAUCAGGUCGGGUUGCCCAGUGGCUAUAAAUAACCCACCCCCUACACCAUAAAUUGGUGGCUACUCAGAGUUAGUACACGGCUUUUGUCGUUUGAGAGCAACCCACCUCCGAAGCAUUUGAGAGAGAAUCCUUGCAAGGACAAAGCCCAAACCACCCAGAGCCCAAAGAGUGUUUGGCAUCACUAAAGUCUUUUUGUCCGCGUGAUCUGAAGACUUGUUACACUCAAGGAUUGUGAAUCCUCCAGCCGGUUAGGCGUCGCGUUCUGAGCAUCCAAGAGUCAUUAUGGAUUGCCGGUGAACGAAGUCUGUGAAGGUUUGGAAGUCUACCUUGAAGACUUACCAGAGUGAUUGGGCGGGGACUAGGUGUCCUUAGCUCAAGGGGAAUAAGGUGAAGCUGCAGUCUUCUGAGUUGAAUCUCAGCCUCCCUAACCAUAAGUACAGUUGUAAUAGCAACUAGAACUGGUCGAACAAAUCUCUGUCCUCCCGAAGCUACUGGUUCUAUCUCUCACUUCUCUUUACUUACAGUUUGUCUUCGUGAAGUCAUUGCCUGCCUGUGUUAUCUGUUUGACUUCACUGUGUGACUGCUUGUCCUGAUUGGCUUCAUACUAUCUUCCAUCUUGAUCCUUACUACCUAGCUGCUGAUAGUCUUCGUGCUUUCACUUCAUUGAAUACUUGACUAUGGCUUGUCUAGUGUAGUCUACCUUCCGCUGUAUUCGAAUAGUGUCAUCUCUAUUGGUUGUCUUCGAAACUCCCAUGUUUUGAAUACUUUCAUAAAAAUCGCCUAUUCACCCCCCCCCCCCCGUCUAGUCGAUAACUAGCUCUUUUAGGUAUCCUUAUGCAGUGUCGAGGGAGGUUGCACUCAAGAUCGCCAGCAUGGCAUAAUUCCAUCUGAAAGGUGCUACCUAAUUCGUCCACAAUCUGUAGUGCCUUUGUAUGCACUCUACAGAUUUCUAAUCCAUUAGCAAAAUCAUAAAUGAUAUCCCAAUGGGCAAAAUAUUCAGCUACUGCCAUCAGUUGCACUAUAGAGCAUGUAUAGGAUAGCCGACCCUGACAACCUAUGUUGCUGAAAUCCAAAUAAAUCCAACGACCAGCGUGUGGUGCAGUAUCAAUGGGCCUACGGUUUGUUCCAAGGAAUCUCAAGUUUAACCAUGCAUUAACACUUAUGCUUGCAGACAUAUCCACAUUGAGAAAUGCCAAUUCAUUCCAUGAUUUAGUAUUAGGUGGUGCCUGAUCCGGUGGACUCCUAGACUGCAAGUGUGCAACUGACAAACAACUGAUAUACUCCUCCACGACAAUCACCACACAACAAGAAACUUGAUGGAAAACCACAUCUCUGAAUAUCCUCAAAACGAGUUCAGAACUGAACCAUACAACUUCAUGUGAUUGACGACAUAUACCUGAACAGGGCUCCUCCUGAUAACUUGCAUCUAAGCAAAACUUGAAAGACGUCCGCGGGCUAGGCCUGAAUAGGUGUCCUCUAUGUCCGGUCCUCACUCGCACAGGUGACGACCAUGGUUGCUGCCCGAUUCUAUGGUGUAACAAUGGUAGGCACGAGGUUUUUCUCUUGUCCACAAGAUGAACAUGCUUCACCCAUUUGCCGUCCUGGACUAGACCGUCUGUCGAACACAUGGUGAGCACCGGCAAAACAGGGUUGCCGGAGAUGAUGAGGGCGACGUCGUGGUCUGCCUUGCUUAUCAAUUGGGUGGAGGUGUCAACAGAGAGGGCAUCGAGCUCCUGCAUGUUGUCCUUAGGGUGAACGGCGGUGGUGGUCGUCACAAGAGAAACGACCUCGGCACUAGAGGCCGUUACCUGCUCCGGGGCGAGCUGCUCGACUGCUUGGUGGAUGGGGUUGACCGUGGGCUUGAGGUCGACAGCGGUGGCGGCAUCAUGGACCUCGUCGACAUUGUCGAUGGUAUUGACCUGGGUCGAGCAUUGCGUCGAACACGUGAUAGGCACCAUCGUGAUGCAGACUGGGGCUACAUCAUGGGCGACCUUGGGGAUCUCCUGGGCCUUGGUGGUGGAGCCGAAGGCGUAGGGGACAGGCAUCGACGCGUUGGCUAAGUUCUCCGGCGAAGUGGUCGCUGAUGGUGGGUUGUGGACGAAGGCGGGUGAACUAGUGUCCCAACUGACGUCAAGGGUGUUCAGUUUCUUGGUGAGGGACUUGGUGGCGUUGGUGUAGGCAUCGAGCCUGGCGCCGAGCCGCUCGAGAUACUCCUGGAGGAACAGAUCCAUGGUUGAUUCCGUCGGAUGGUGGUGGUGAAAAAAAAUUUAGGGGAAGAAUUUGGGGAAGGAUGGUGCCUGGCUCUGUAUACGAGAUGUAAGAGUAUUGUUGGGGAUCUCUCUUCCUUAGAUAACAAUCACUCACAGAGGAACAAUUUGAUGUAGUGAUUACAACUGAAUACAAGUAUCAGGAGGAAUAAGGAUGAACAGAAAGGAGCAGAGGUAGGAGAAGAGAGGAAGGUAGCCACCGCCGGGUUCGUCCGUGAUCCACUGGAUGCCUUGGACGUCGUCUCCUCCAACACUCUUAUCACCUUGGUCAUUCCAGAAGGGGCCAGGCCCGUUUAGCUGGCCCAAGGGGCCAGCCCAAGCAUGUGAUGGUAGGAGGGCUCCUAACACUAUAAGAAACUUGUAUCCUACCCUAGCCGCCACGGCGACUAGGGUUUAUCUACUCCGGCGUCGUCCGUCGCCGUUGAGGUUUCUGAUAACCUGCCUGCGCAUCCCACCCAUCCCACGCUAGCGCUUGGGCUGAUAAAGGGGUCGACUUUGUCCUUCCACCCGGCCUCGGCAUGGUGCGGUGAUCUAGGGUUUGACUGCAGCCAUGGCAGGGGCGACUCCUUCCAAUGGAGGGGGAAGUACUAGUUCAGGCAGAAGGAAGGGAAAGACUCCGAUCGACCUGGAAGCGGCAAUGAGGAACAUGAAGCUGAAGGAGACUGAGCUAGAUGACGUGAUCAUUGGCGAUGAGGAAAUCGCAGAAUUGUCAAAGGAUGCCCAGUGGCUGGCUGUUGCGAGGGUAAACACGACAAAGUAAUUCGGUGUUGAGUCCUUCAAGAACAGAACGAUUUUUGCAUGGAGACUUGCCAACAAGCCAGAGAUCCGCGAGGCAGAUGACAAUCUUUUCGUCAUCCAACUUUUCUGUCUAGGGGAUUGGAACAGAGUUAUGCACCAGGGUCCUUGGAUCUACAGGGGAUUUAUGGUUGCAAUUGAAGAGUACGAUGGCAAAGGGAAACCAGAUUUGGUUCAGCUCGACCGAGUUCAUGUGUGGGCGCAAAUUCAUGAUACCCCGGAGCUCUAUAGGAAGGAGAUGAUAGUAGACCAACUGGCUCGUCGCAUAGGCCAAGUGAAGAGCGUGGAGAUGAACCCUAACCGAGUUUUUGAGGGCAACUAUGUCAGGGUCCUGGCGAAGAUUAAACUAGCUGAUCCCUUGGUGUGUUUUGCCCCAUUGAACAUCAAAGGGGAAGGGCGAAUCCUCUUGGCAGUCAAAUAUGAGAAGAUAGGCUUCUUUUGCGAAGUCUGUGGCGUCCUAGGCCACUCCAUGGAGGAGUGCGGUGAUGGGGUUCACAGCCCGAGGAGGUUGAAUACGGCGAGUGGAUGAAAGCUACUCGGAGACCCAUGCUGGAGAGCCAGAACCGCGACCCGAGCUGGAACAGGGGGAACUUCGCACGAGGACGUGGACGUGCCCAUGGAGGCGGCCGCGGAAGGAACAAUGGAGCCAAGAAACGGUCAUCGGAGGAGGCCGGUCCUGGGGAGGAAGUUGACAGAAACAUUGAUGAUGAUCUCAAGGAUACGGCGGAGAGCCCUCUUGAGGGCAAUGGUUAUGAUGCGGGGACUGACCGUCCCCAAACCUCGGUUAUCCGCAAGCUGAACAUGGAUGAGCAGGUAGCAGCUGAGAGCAUCAAGGGUGGCGCGCUGGAUGCAUCCAUGCAAGGGGAAAUUAUUGUCCCUCCAACUCCACCACCUUACAUCACCCCAAGGGACAGAAAGAAGCAAAAGAACGGAAAUUCCCCAAACAAAAGCAACUUGGACAGCAUGGCAGGCUCCUCUGAGGAGCGCCGCCGGGUCCAAUGAGUCUUUCAUGUUGAAACUGUCGCGGGGCGGGCAAACCCGCGACAGUUUGAGAGCUUCGCGAUUUUGCGAGGCAGUUUGCCUCGAUGGUGCUUUGUAUAGUUGAAACUCAACUCCCUAGAGAUAGAGUGGAAAACUUGGCAAGCACCCUAGGUUAUGAUAAUGCAUAUGUUGUUAGUAGCUCUGGUAGAAGUGGUGGUAUCGGUAUUUUUUGGAAUAAUGAAAUAAAGAUCGAAAAUUUUGGUUACUCUGCUUAUCACAUAGAUGAUCAUGUUACUUUGCCCGGUGCUACACCAUGGCGGCUCACAGUGAUGUACGGCGAAUCACAAGUCAGUGAAAGAGGCAAGACUUGGGACGUGUUAAGAUCUCUGGCUGAAGAUAAUGAUCAGCCAUGGUUAUGCUUUGGUGAUUUCAAUGAAGUACUGAGUUUGAGUGAACAUGAUGGGGUUGGUCAUCGCUGCAUGACACAGGUGAAUGGUUUUAGGGACGCUGUUGAUACAUGUGACCUUAUUGAUCUAGGCUUCUCGGGAAACAUCUGGACUUUUGAGAAGAGAGUAGCCGGAGGUACAUACACGCGAGUGCACCUCGAUAGGGCACUUGCCACUGCAUCGUGGUCCAGCAUGUAUCUAGGGGCCGAGUUGUCUCAUAAAUCUGCCACCACAUCGGAUCACAUACCGAUUUUGCUACAACUCUCACCGGAAGGUAAUCAGCCAUGGCAAGCUAGACCUUUCAGAUACGAGAUGAUGUGGGAAUCUCAUGAGGGUUUUCAGGCGACCAUUGAACAACACUGGCAAGGCCCAGGGGCAACCACGGUUGCGGAAUUGUGUGCAAAGAUUAAAAUGCUGUCAACAAAUCUAAAACGUUGGGACCGAACUACGUUUGGCAGUGUGAAGGAACAGAUCCGAUCUCUAAAGCUUCAGCUAGAGAGCAUGUGUGCGGACCCAUCAAGGACGGCACCUACUCGUCAGGAGGAGAAAGUGAAAGAUCGCUUGAUCGAGCUCUAUCAUAGAGAGGAAGUCAUGUGGCAUCAAAGAUCGCGAAUAACAUGGCUGGCGGCGGGCGACAAGAACACCAAGUUCUUUCACCUACGGGCCAGUAGGCGGCGCCUUAAGAACAAGAUAAAAAGUUUGCUAAGACAUGAUGGUACUACAGUAGAAGAUGCAGCAGAGAUGGAGAGUAUGGUCACGGCCUUCUACAAAAAUCUGUCCACAUCGGAGGGGACAACGAACAUGCAUCAAGUGAUUGACGUGGUUCCCCACAAAGUCACUAACGAGAUGAACCAGAGGCUGAUGAGCGAGUACAGCAGAGAGGAAAUCAAAACGGCGUUGUUUCAGAUGGCUCCUACUAAAGCUCCAGGAUCUGAUGGGUUCCCGGCGCAUUUUUUCAGAGACAUUGGGAGCUCUGUGGGGAUGAAGUAUCUACUAUCAUUCUAAAAAUCUUAAGGGGUGAGGAAGAAGUUGAGGAGUUGAAUGAUACUAUCCUAGUUCUCAUCCCUAAGGUAACCAAUCCCACACUUUUGUCACAGUUCCAUCCUAUAAGUCUAUGUACUGUACUCUACAAGAUUGCGUCGAAAGUUAUGGCAAACAGGCUGAAGUCCAUUCUUCCUAUGAUCAUAUCGGAGGAGCAAUCGGCCUUUGUGGCGGGGAGGUUCAUCACGGAUAACAUCAUCUCUGCGUAUGAGUGUUUAAAUUUUAUGAAGAGGAACAGAUCAAAGAGGAAUGGGUUUUGUGCUCUUAAACUCGACAUGAUGAAGGCCUAUGACCGUUUGGAAUGGGACUACCUCCGUGCUAUCAUGUCUAAACUGGGUUUUGCGCCGGCUUGGGUCAACUCAGUUAUGAGGAUGGUAUGUUCAGUCAAGUUUUCGGUUAUGUUCAAUGGAAAGAAACUUGAGAAAUUCACACCUUCACGAGGACUCCGACACGGGGAUCCAAUAUCACCUUACCUUUUCUUGCUGGCAGCAGAGGGCCUUUCGUGCCUUUUAAAAAACCAGACAGAGUCAUCUCCGGUGCAUGGGAUCAAAGUGGCAGAUACGGCGCCGCCGGUAAGCCACCUUCUUUUCACAGAUGGCAGCCUGUUGUUCGUCAAGGCUAGUGUUGAGGGGGCUAUUCAGGUAUCUUCUUUGUUGGAAUCAUACUGCAAUGCUUCAGGACAGAAAAUAAACUUGGAUAAAUCUUCAGUGUUUUUUAGCAAGGGCUGCUCGCAGGGUAUUAAAGAGAGCAUGAAAAAUACCCUGAAUUUUCACAACAAGAGUCUCUCAGAAAAGUACUUGGGCAUGCCUCUGGAUGUCGGGAGCAGCAAAAACGGGGCCUUCAAAUAUUUGAAGGAUAGAGUUUGGAACAAAGUUAAGGGAUGGAUGGAAAAGGUUUUGUCAUCCGGAGGGAAAGAAGUACUUAUAAAGUCUGUAGCUCAAUCUAUCCUGGUUUACUCUAUGGCUUGCUUCAAGCUACCUCGGGGCCUCUAUCUUCACAUUAACUCCAUCAUACGUAAGUUUUGGUGGGGGAGUAAAUGGGGUGAAAGGAAGGCAAAUUGGGUCUCCUGGGAGAAGAUGACAAGGCCGAAAUAUGAAGGUGGUCUGGGUUUUAGGGACAUUGAGUUGUUUAACCUUGCGUUGCUGGCAAGACAGGCAUGGAGAAUCCUACAAACACCUGAAUCACUAAGUGCAAAAAUUCUGAAAGUGUGCUACUUCCCAACUACAGACUUUCUUGAUGCUUCACUAGGUAGCCAACCAUCUCAAAUAUGGCGAGCAAUCGUCGAGGGAAAGGAGAUCCUCUCGCAGGGCCUUAUCAAACGUAUAGGUGAUGGUAAAGAUACUUUGAUAUGGCAGCAUAACUAGGUACAAAAAGAUGCGUCACUCAGACCAAUAGUUUGCUUGAGCCAACAUCGGCCACAGUUGCUGUUCGAACUUAUUGACAGCGCCAAUGCCAGGUGGAAGCAGGACGUAGUUCGUGCAACUUUCCUCCCAAUAGAUGCGGAAGUGAUCCUCAAUAUUCCGCUAGCCACAAGACAAUGCAGAGAUUCUUGGGCUUGGGCUCAUGAACACAAGGGCUCCUUCUUUGUUCGCUUGGCAUAUCGGAUGCUCAUCAAUACGAAGCUAAGGCGGGAGGCUUGGCUCGAAGGACGAUCAGGCCUGGCUGACAGGUCGAGAGAGGAAGCUAGCUGGACCAAUAUCUGGAAGGUUGCGGUGCCAUCAAAACUAAAGGUUUUCUUGUGGAGACUUGCACAAUGUUCUAUACCCACGGCGGAUGUCCUUUGUCAUCGUAAUAUGUCCACAUUGUCGCGUUGUGCCAUCUGUGGAGAGGAGGAUUCAUGGAAGCAUUCACUAAUUACGUGUACAAUGGCGCGUUGAGUAUGGGUGCUAGGUGACCCGGAGCUGGUUGAGCAUGUUAUAGCAACAGCAGAACCGAAUGCAAAGGCUUGGCUCUUCCGUAUGCAAGAAUCGAUGCCUCAUGCCGAGUUCACGAAGCUAACCGUGACACUAUGGGCUAUAUGGGGGGCGCGGUGAAAGCUACCACGAAGGGGAGCACCAGAGCCCGAUGGGGACUCAUUCAUUUAUCACACGGUUUCUGGCAGAUUUGAGUAUUGCUUCCAUGUCACAUGAAAUAACGAAGCCCAGAGCAGCCCCAGAGCGGGCGCCAGUUUGGAUACCACCACCGGCGGGUCAUCACAAGGUAAAUGUCGAUGCUGCUAUUUGUAAACACCCUCUUGUGUGGGCUGUUAGUGCGGUUUGUCGGGAUCAAUCAGGAGCAUAUGCUGGUUUAGCAGCGAUGGUAUUACUGGAAGCUCUGGCAUGCCGCGAGGCUAUUGCAUUAGCCAGGGAUCUUGCACUUACUCAUUUGAGGGUGGCUUCUGAUUGCCUUUCGCUGGUCAAGGACAUACAUACUGGUACUAUGGGUGUUGGUGUCAAAACCGGCGGAUCUCGGGUAGGGGGUCCCGAACUGUCCGUCUAGGCGGAUGGUAACAGGAGACAAGGGACACGAUGUUUUUACCCAGGUUCAGGCCCUCUCGAUGGAGGUAAAACUCUACUCCUGCUUGAUUAAUAUUGAUGAUAUGGGUAGUACAAGAGUAGAUCUACCACGAGAUCAGAGAGGCUAAACCCUAGAAGCUAGCCUAUGGUAUGAUUGUUGUUCGUCCUACGGACUAAAACCCUCCGGUUUAUAUAGGCACCGAAGAGGGUUAGGGUUACACAGAGUCAGUUACAAUGGUAGGAGAUCUACAUAUCCGUAUUGCCAAGCUUGCCUUCCACGCCAAGGAAAGUCCCAUCCGGACACGGGACGAAGUCUUCAAUCUUGUAUCUUCAUAGUCCAGGAGUCCGACCAAAGGUGAUAGUUCGGCUAUCCGGACACCCCCCUAAUCCAGGACUCCCUCAGUAGCCCCUGAACCAGGCUUCAAUGACGACGAGUCCGGCACGCAUAUUGUCUUCGGCAUUGCAAGGCGGGUUCCUCCUCUGAAUACUUCAUAGAAGAUUUUGAACACAAGGAUAGUGUCCGACUCUGCAAAAUAAGUUCCACAUACCACUGUAGAGAGAAUAAUAUUUACACAAAUCCAAUCUGCUGAUGUAUUCUGUGGCAUGACAUCACACCACGGCCAAGCCUUUAUUCGAAUCAUUUUUACUAUCCCACCUCAGCGCGUUUAGCGAGGCGGUUUCCUUGGCACGUCUUGUCAAAGCAGAGAUCGUGUCCCCAUAUUCCGGGAUUCUCAUCAAUACGGGCAUGGGUAACCCAACCGCGCCAUUGAUUACGGCGCUUGGGAGAUAAGCGAGUUUUACCAGGCUGGUGGGGACGCAUAGCUUCGUCCGCCCAUAUAAGGGGAUAAUGAUCCACCUUUUUACCUACGCCUUCUUCCUCCUUUGCUCAUCCAUUUCCGCGCACUCGAGCUCCAGCGCCCAAGUCCGCACAUCCCACCUCAACCUUCUCCAGCCAUGUCCGGAGCGGGAGGCAAGUGGAUGGCCUCCUCCGUCACGGAGGGGCACAUCAAAAAGCUGCGGAAGGUCGGAUACUUGUCCAACGACAUCGCGCAUUGGCUCCCUGACAAGGGGCAGCUCAUCCCCACCCCUAGGCCCCAUGAGAGGGUGGUGUUCCUCACCCACUUCCUCCACGGACUAGGUUUUCCACUUCACCCAUUUGUCCGGGGGCUCAUGUUCUACUACUGCCUGGAUUUCCACGAUCUGGCCCCGAAUUUCAUCCUCAACAUCUCGGUGUUCAUCGUUGUGUGCGAGGCCUUCCUUUGCAUCUAGCCCCACUUCGGCUUAUGGCUGAAGACCUUCAAUGUCAAGCCAAAGGUAGUGGGCGGCCGCCAAGCGGAGUGCGGAGGUGCCAUGGUCGGCAAGAUGGCCAACAUCCUAUGGCUCGAGGGCUCCUUCGUGGAUACCAUAAAGGGGUGGCAAUCGGGGUGGUUCUACAUCACCGAGCCGCGCGACCCUAAAUGGGCAGCGGCCCCCGAAUUCCGAUCUGGCUUCCCUACACGGCUCACCUCCUGGAAAGAGACGGGCUUGACAUGGGGUAAUUCGGAAGAGCUGACCAAACUUCAAACCUGCGUCCAAAACCUGGUGAACAAGAAGCUCAAGCUUGUCAACGUAGUCCAGGUCAUGCUCAUCCGCUGGAUCCUCCCGUGCCAACAACGGGCCUUCAGCUUGUGGGAGUUUGAUCUGGCACAGCACCAAACCUUGAGCAGGCUCUUCGACACUACGUACAAAGAUGCCUGGAAGGUGCUGUUCAAGGGCGCCGAGCCUCCCGCAUCCGCUACUGAAGAUCGCGGAUUUAGCUCGCAGCGCCAAGCCAGCGAGGUAAGCUACUUUACCCUUUACGGGACUCUUGUUUUCCAUAGUUUGACUCUAUGCGGGAUCUAAACUCCAUUGCCUUUUACAGGACUGGCAGAAGACGUCCGGGCAGAUUGACUGCCUGGCUCCCUUCCCAAAAGAUCUAGCGGACGCCCGAUUGACGGGGUUGCUGGUUCCGGCACCUCACGUGGUGCCGGAGAAGAAGGCCAAGAAGAAGGCCACGGCAACUCGAAGGAGUUCCCGGCGCCAGGUGUUGUCGGACUCAUCGUCCGAUGACUCCAAGGCAGACUCCUCCCGCGAAGACAAGGAGGAGGAAAAAGAGGCCUCUCCCCCAGCGGGGGGAGAGAAGAAAAGGAAGGCUGCCCCAACUGGGGAGGCCGAAGGGUCCAAGAAGGGAAGGACCCUUCCUCCGGACUACUCCACCAACACCGACGACGGCGAGGAGGAGUGGCCACCAAGGGCUAAGCCCCUGGCAAAAUCGUAAGUGUCCGGAUACCAGAAUAACUCAUGGCGUUUCAUUUGUCGCACAGAAUCUCCUAACGCCGAAUAUAACCCUGCAGCCCGCCCAAGGACGGGCUCGACGCUUCGACGAGCGGCUCCCUGGAUUCGUCGGACGUGAAUAGCACUUCGCUUCCAGCUGCCUCCUCUCCUCGCGCUGCGGAUGAUGCCGAGGUGGGGCCCAGCCAAGAGGAGGUGGUCUAGGAGGCGCCGCAAGGCAACCUCCCGGACUCCAGGCGCAAGGGGGUAAAACCCCAAAGGGCUCUAAGUCCGGCCCUGGGCCGGACUCCGCACCGGAACCUUCAGUGGUUCCGGAGUCCGACAGGCGGCCCCUUCGUAAGAAGGGCAAGACUGCGACACCGGUGACCUCCGUCCAACCGGAGGCACCGAAUAAUUUGCUGGAGGCGCUUAACGGCGCCUCCAUCGACGAGGAUCGCCGCAUUGUUAUAAGUGUGGUGAUCUAGAAAGUUCAGUCCGCCAAAAGUGGGCUGACUGAAGCCUGUGCCAGCCUUCUAACAGGCUUUGAGGUAAGUAUUGAAGAUAUGUAAAAAUGUUACCACAUAGACAGUAGCCCCUGAUGCUCAGUUUGGUGUUCGGAAAGAAAAGCCGAACUGAGGAUCUAAAAGAUGUAUGCAGGAGUCUAACAUAGGUAUGUCAAUAUGGGAAUGCAGGCUGCGCCGCUGACCUGUGCCGCACUGACUGUGGAGGUCAAUGCAUUAAAGAAAAGCCUCGAGCGGUCCGAGAACAAGCUCGGCCUUGCCAAAAAGCAGCUCGAGGACAGGGAAGGUAAGUAAUACCUUAUGGAAGUAUAUAAAAGACGUGGUUGCCAAAAAUGAUAGGAAUAACGUGAGUAUUGCCGGGCCACGAACGAGGUGGCGACCCUAAAGGAAGCGGUGUCCAAGGCCGAAAGCAAUGCGGCCGCGGAGCGCACCGAGCGAGAGAAGCAGGAGGCGCGGGUGGCGGAGGUGCGGCAAGUGCUCCAGGCUCUCGUGGAAAAACACGAGAGUUUGGAGCGUGACUCAAAGACUCGAGAGUCUGAGCUCGCCUCGGCCCUUGAGAGCGCCAAGGCCGCUAAGGCCGAAGCCCAAAAAGCCCUCCAGGAAAUUGAGGCAUUGAAGAAGAUAGCGGCGGGUAAGGCAUUCUUUAUGCAAAGCAAGCACAUGAAAGUGAAUUAUCUGUUACUUACCCGAAUCCGGAGCUCUCCAGGAGCAUUCGCAGAUCUGCCCCGCAGUGUGUCCGAUGCUGCCACAUUCUACCGAGCCGAGGAGGGGAGUUCGACGGAGAAGGUGUUCUGGUCUCAGUAUGCUGAGGCCGGUCACCCGGUGCCCUUGAGCGACCAGCUGAAGCAGCUGGUCGAGCUCCAUAAGGUGGCCGAACAGGCCAUGAAGGGCCUCAUAGUUUGGCUGUGGCCUAAGGAAGCCAUGCUUGGGAGCUACUUCGGGCUGGUGAGGCGGCUGGUGGACGCCUGUCCAUGGAUUGAAGUCAUCAAGCGCUCCGUCUGCAUCAAAGGUGCCCGUAGGGCCCUUGCCCGUGCUCAAGUGCACUGGGGCAAGAUGGACACUGAGAAGCUUGUGACGGACAGACCACCGCCGGGCAAGGAGUAUCGCAAGCCCAAGAUGUAUUAUGAGGGCGUCCUGAAGGGUGCCCGCCUUAUAGCGGGUGAAUGCUCCAAAGAUGUAAUUUUUGAAUAAACUCGCAUUUGUUAUCCUGUACGCUGAAAACUUGUUCAUAUGCGCUAAGCAACGCUUGUGAAUUUAAAAUAGUAUCUUCUCUGCGGCCGUUUAUUAAAUUUGAGAGAUGGCGAGUCGUCGGCUUCUGCCCCCAUGCCACGAGUGUUGGGGUGUUCGGGAUAAACUUGAGCGCUCUUUUUCCCAUUCUUGCUUGGGACCUUCAAGGGAGGCGCUCAACGCAACGAACGAGGCAACCGGACUAUAAUGCUUGAACACUCUCACUUAGCCAUAGAAUUCUAUAAUUUUAAAUUUCGGCGAAGCCCCUGGUAUUUGGAAGACCGAGUUCGGGGCGCUAUCCACGCCUGGGCCGGACAAAGCCGACUCUUCGCUCUAAGCGGCAUAAGUCUUUAGGGAGUCGAAAACCUCUCGAACAGCGACCGGCUCUCGCCCUAUCAUGACGGUCAGUUUUAGCUUUCUCCACUGAGGUGCUUAACCCAGCUCAACCGGGGCACAAUCGCAGUGGUUCUCCCAGCGCUACCUUAGCCGAUAUAACGGAACAUAAGGUAUCAAAACAUGGGAGCCGGGCAAACCCAACUAUUGACCCAAGACAUGAUUCGGAGCCGAUGCAUAUAAUGCUAUAAGUUCGGCAUGCCGAACUUGUGAAAGUGUUCGGACUUAUGACACCAUAUUUUGGGGUACUUAAGCCCCUUGUGCAUUUGGCCGUACCAAAGUGUACAGGUGCAGCAUGUCAUAAGUGAACAUAUAUAGAUAAAAAAAGGAAUGCAAUAAUAGGCAGAAGCUAUGUAUUGUUUAUUUAAAAAGGCUGUAGUAAAAGCAGAACGAUACAAAUAGUGCGAUAAGCGGGACUAUUUGACAUGUCCCCCUCCAGGGGCGAGCUGCGGGAUGAUAUGUGAAACAAGUAUACUGCUCGUUAUAGAGACCACCUGGACACUCGGCGUAGCUUUCUGCUUCCCUGGCUGUUGCAUCGUGUGUUCGGCGAUUCUACUGCCGGACAGGGCUUCUUAAGAAAGGAGUCCUGUAAGUAAGAGAAAAAAGAAUGACACAAUCUGCAGCCCCUGGUGCAGUUGAGCCGCAUUCUGGGCCUGCCAUGGUCGUGCCCCUCCCCCUAUGCCCAUGGUAUUUCCAGAGCGUAAUUAUGUACGCGUAGUACUGGUUUCGCAAUUUCGGGAGGGCUGGGGUUGGGGCCGCAUUGCUACGCGUGCUCGGGACGUGCCAGGCGGUCUUGUUGUAGGUUACUCCGGGCACGCUUGACGGUGUCCGGACAUUUAAUAGCCGGACUCGAGGAUUGCCUUGAGAGGCUGCUUUGUACUUCCUCCGCGAGGGCCGCCGUAUGCUCCUCCGUUCGGAGAGAGCGUUCGGUGUUUCCGUUGACCGUAAUGACUCCUCAAGGGCCUGGCAUCUUGAGCUUGAGGUAUGCAUAGUGCGGCACCGCAUUGAACUUUGCAAAUACGGUUCGUCCGAGUAGUGCGUGAUAGCCGCUGCGGAACGGGACUAUGUCGAAGAUUAACUCCUCGCUUCGGAAGUUAUCCGGGGAUCCGAAGACCACUUCAAGUGUAACUGAGCCUGUACAGUUGGCCUCUACACCUGGUAUGACGCCUUUAAAGGUCGUCUUUGUGGGUUUAAUCCUUGAGGGGUCUAUGCCCAUUUUGCGUACUGUAUCCUGAUAAAGCAGGUUCAGGCUGCUGCCGCCGUCCAUCAGGACUCUAGUGAGGUGAAAUCCGUCAACGAUUGGGUCUAGAACCAAUGCGGCGAAUCCGCCAUGGCGGAUGCUAGUGGGGUGGUCCCUUCGAUCAAAAGUGAUCGGGCAGGAGUACCAUGGAUUGAACUUUGGGGCGACUGGCUCCAUCGCAUAUACGUCCCUUAGUGCAUGCUUCCGCUCCCUUUUGGGUAUGUGGGUUGCGUAUAUCAUGUUCACCGUCCGCACUUGUAGGGGGGAGCCCUUUUGUCCUCUAUUGUUCGGUGGCCGGGGCUCCUCCUCAUUGUCGCUAUGCAGCCCCUUGUCAUUGUUUUCGGCAUUUAACUCGCCUGCCUGCUUGAACACCCAACAAUCCCUGUUGGUGUGGUUGGCUAGUUUUUCGGGGGUGCCGUGUAUCUGGCACGAGCGGUCGAGUAUUCGGUCCAAGUUGGAUAGGCCCGGAGUAUUUCUUUUGAAUGGCUUUUUCCGCUGACCGAGUUUAGAGCCUCUGAAUCCGGCAUUGACUAUCGUAUCUUCAGCAUUAUCGUUGUUAAUGCGGCGCUUGUGCUUGUUGCGACGCGACCUGCCGUUGCUGUCCUUGGUAUCCGAAUUACCAGGGCUCUUGGUCAUGUUGUUACUAAGAGCUAGCCAGUUGUCCUCUCCCGCACAAAAGCGGAUCAUGAGUGUUGUGAGGGCUGCCAUGGAUUUCGGCUUUUCCUGUCCUAGGUGCCGGGCAAGCCACUCGUCGCGGAUGUUAUGUUUGAAGGCUGCAAGGGCCUCUGCAUCCGGACAGUCGACGAUUUGAUUUUUCUUGGUUAGGAACCGUGUCCAGAAUUGUCUGGCCGAUUCCUCUGGCUGCUGAAUUUUGUGGCUUAGGUUAUCGGCUUCUGGUGGUCGCACAUAGGUGCCCUGGAAGUUGUUGAGGAAUGCGGCUUCCAGGUCUUCCCAACAACCAAUUGACUCCGCUGGCAAGCUGUUAAGCCAAUGUCGAGCUGGUCCUUUAAGCUUGAGUGGGAGGUCUUUGAUGGCGUUUAGAUCAUCAUCGCAUGCCAUGUGGAUAUGAAGGAGGUAGUCCUCGAUCCAUACCGUAGGAUCUAUUGCGCCAUCGUAUGAUUUGAUGUUUACGGGUUUGAAACCCUCGGGGAUUUGAUGAUCCAUUACUUCAUCUGUGAAGCAUAGUGGGUGUGCGAUGCCCCUGUACUGGGCGAUAUCACGACGUAGCUCAAAUGAGCUUUGUCUGCUGUGUUCGGCUCGGCCGGAUUUGCUGUAUCCGGCAUGACGAUUAUUGUCACGUGUAGUGAGGCGCCCACGUGAUCCGUAGAUCGAUCUUGUUUGCCUUGCCUUGUCCUCCAAUAUAUCUCGCAGAUCUGGCGCAUUUCCCCGUGCCUUGGUACUUUUUGAGCGACACCGGGGUGCAGCUUGAGUGGAGGGCCGAGAGGCCUCUCUGUCGCGGCCACAUCAUGCGCUGGUGAUGUAGGUUUGGGUGCUUCCUCCUCUAAUCGGGGUAGUAGCCUACGUUUUGGGUAGCUCUUGGAGGGGCGUUCGAGUUCAUACUCUUCGACCGCAAGGACUUCAGUCCAUCUGUCAGCUAGUAAGUCUUGGUCAGCUCUAAGCUGUUGCUGCUUUUUCUUGAGGCUGCUUGCCAUGGCCAUAAGCCUGCGUUUGAAACGCUCCUGUUCGACGGGAUCCUCAGGCACGACAAAUUCGUCGUCGUCAAGGCUUGCCUCGUCUUCGGAAGGAGGCAUGUAAUUAUCGUCCUCUACCUCUCUAUCUGCCGCUCUCUCAUGAGGGCUGGCUUCUCCAUCCUCCUGCGCUGAAUCCUGCUGGAGAGGGUUGUCUUCGGCACUUUCUGGGGUGUUAUUGUCUCCCAUGCCGGAAUCACCGUUUUUUCUGUGGCGAGAUUUAGAGCGGCGCCGCUGACGCCGGCGCUUAGGCUGUUUCUUGGAGGGGUCAUCCUCCGUUGUUCCAUCGCCAUUCCCAUCUUUUGAGAUGUCCACCAUGUAUAUGUCGUAUGAUGAGGUGGCCUUCCAGUGCCCUGUAGGCGCUGGUUCUUGGUAGUCUCCUGCAUCAUCGUCCAUACCGUCGAUGUCUUUGGAGUCAAAGUUGAGCAUGUUGGUUAAAUCAUCGACAGUGGCUAUGAAGUGGGUGGUGGGUGGGCUUUGAAUUUCUUUGUCGUCCUCAUCCCAACCUUCCUGACCAUAAUCCGGCCAGGGCUCUCCUGAUAAAAAGAGAGACUUUAGCGAAUUCAGGAUGUCGCCAAAGGGCGAGUGCUGAAAGAUGACCGCGGCAGCGAACUCCAUGAUUGGCGCCCAAUCGGAUUCGAUAGGCAGGGGCGCGGAACGUUCGGAGUCCGGAGAGGAGUCCGGCACCUUGGAGUCACGAGCUUCGCAAAGGACAGGGUUGGUGUUCGGCACAAUCAUCGUAGAGAUAGCAGCCCCCGAGGCGGUGUCCAGCCACCCGUCCUCGAUCGGCGCAGUCGCCUCCGAGCUAAGGGUCAGAGUGGACACUUGUGCGGCCUCCAGGGCACUGUCCGGCAGCAGAGCUAGAUCAUGUCCAUCGUCACAGUGCGGCGCGCUUGGCUGUGGCUCGAACCCGUCGAAGAUCAAGUCUCCGCGGACGUCAGCCGUAUAGUUCAAACUUCCAAAUCUGACCUGAUGGCCAGAGGCGUAGCUUUCAAUCUGCUCCAGAUGGCCAAGCGAAUUGGCCCACAGUGCAAAGCCGCCGAAUACGAAGAUCUGUCCGGGGAGAAAAGUCUCACUCUGAACCGCAUCGUUGUUAAUGAUCGGAGGAGCCAUCGGGCCUAAAGAUGACGACGCAGAGGAACUCUCAAUGAAAGCACCAAUGUCGGUGUCAAAACCGGCGGAUCUCGGAUAGGGGGUCCCGAACUGUGCGUCUAGGCGGAUGGUAACAGGAGACAAGGGACACGAUGUUUUUACCCAGGUUCGGGCCCUCUCGAUGGAGGUAAAAAUCUACUCCUGCUUGAUUAAUAUUGAUGAUAUGGGUAGUACAAGAGUAGAUCUACCACGAGAUCAGAGAGGCUAAACCCUAAAAGCUAGCCUAUGGUAUGAUUGUUGUUCGUCCUACGGACUAAAACCCUCCGGUUUAUAUAGGCACCGAAGAGGGUUAGGGUUACACAGAGUCGGUUACAAUGGUAGGAGAUCUACAUAUCCGUAUCGCCAAGCUUGCCUUCCACGCCAAGGAAAGUCUCAUCCGGACACGGGACGAAGUCUUCAAUCUUGUAUCUUCAUAGUCCAAGAGUCCGGCUAUCCGGACACCCCCUAAUCCAGGACUCCCUCAAUGGGUACAAUUGCUCCAAUCGUGCAGGAGAUCAUCGACUCGAGCAGGGAGUUUCAGUCUUGUUCUUUCACCCAUGAGAGACGUCUUCCUAACAAGGAGGCUCAUGGCUUAGCUCGACAUGCUUUACAUUUAGGGGAGGGUCGCCAUGUAUGGCUGUUACACCCUCAUGAUACUUCUAUUAUUCCUAUAAUUCGCUCUAUUGAUCAAUAAAGUAAAGCAUGUUUCUCAAAAAAAAUGACAUAAGCCUGGGACGGCUGGGAGAGCAAAAAUGCUACGACGAUGAACUAACUACAUAAAUUACUUACGAAAUGAAGUCUCCUUAAUCUCACUAAUCUCUCCCCUGAAUUUCAGGUGCGCCUUGUGCAGUCCAAUCAAACAAGCCCACAUCACCUCCUACGUAAAUUUCCUAGUAGCAAAUUUUAGGUAGGUCUAGCAAAGCUCCGGAGAGAGAGCCACGGGUGGCUUAGUACCGAGUUAUGAUUAUGGGGCUAACGUGUCAAGUUCUUGUUGGAUAUUAGGGGAAGUGUGGUUCACUCCUGAAAAUCAGUGGGAGAAGAGAUUAACGAGAGAUGGAUCCAGCCUGUAAUUUUCCGUAAGGCUGGUUACAAUGGGCAAGAACAUAAGCUAGUAACUUAUAUACUUCCCUAGACUAUGUUAAUACCUCUAUAGUGGGUAGAAACAUUUAUGUAGUGUCAUGCAAUGAUGUAUUUAUUAGGUUAUAGAUUCAUUGUUUCUUAGCUAAUUACCACAAGCACCUCUCUCUUCAUUAAAUAUGUGUCACAUAAGCAAAGUUGUAUUGGAGUGUGUGUGAUGUUAUUCCUAAGUUUCUCCCCAUUGUUACCCGCCUAAGUGUAGAAUUAUUGGACAAUUGGCAAUUUGGCAUAUAGUGCCAGGUGGUGAAUGAGACACUCGAUUACUUUAUUUUUGGGUAGGCAUCAACUUGACACUAAAUAAAUACACAACUGAGCCCCUGCUCAGCUCCGACCAGUAUGUUAUAAAAAUCAUAGCUGCAGCCAAAAAAUAUGAACCGAACUCAUACAAGUAAACCAAGUUCCUCCUUGUAGCAGCGCUGGGCAGAUCGAUAGCAAUGAGCGUUGUGGUGAGCAAGUCCUCGCCGGUGGUCUUGUACCCCGCCGAACCUCAGGCGCCGGCCGGCGACGUCCAACUCUCCUCUUUCGACCAACGCAUCCCGCCUUUCGCGUGCACAUUGCUCCUCAUGUUCGACCAUCCGAUCGACAAUCCCAUCGAGACCAUCAAGCGGGCGCUGUCGCGAGCGCUCGUCCCCUACCGCCCUGUGUGCGGCCGCCUCGCCGGAGCCGAUCACAGCAUCGUGUGCACCGACGAGGGCGUGCCGUUCGUGGGGGCGUCCGCCAGCUGCGCCCUGGAUCUGGAAAAGGUCACUCCUGCGCUGCUCGCGGAUCUCGCCGUCGCCUACGCUGGUCCUUUUUGCCGGCGCGCCGACCCGCUGCUGCAGAUGCAGGCCACGGAGUUCUCCUGCGGCGGCUUCGUCGUCGGGGUCACGUCGAACCAUGUCCUGGCCGACGGCAUCGGGAUUGGGCAGUUCCUGCAGGCCGUCGGCGAGCUCGCCCGCGGGAUGCCGCAGCCGUCCGUCAUCCCGGUCAGGUCGGCCGCCGCGAUCCGGGAUCUCCCUCCGCCCACGGCCACGGCGGAGGAGAGGCGCUCCUUGAUGAAGCCCAAGGAGAAGGAGGGCCAGGGCGCCUUUCUCGACAUUAUCGUCCCGUCGAGCCUCAUCGGCCGCGUCAAGGCCAAGUGCGCCUGCACGCUGUUCGAAGCCGUCACGGCGGUGCUGUGGCGGUGCCGGACACGCGCGGCCAUCCAAGACCCGGAGGCCCCCGCGCCGCUCGUCUUCCCAAACAACGCGCGCGAGCUCUUCGGAGCGCACGACGGCUACUACGGCAACUGCACCAUCAUGAAGUCGGUGCGAGCGACGCGCGCCCAGGUGGCCGACGGCGACAUCAGGGACGUGGUGCGGCACAUCAGGCGCGGCAAGGAGACUCUGCUCCAGGCCGAGGCCGAGGGCGGCGGCGCGGAGACCGGGGGAGACUUGUACAACAGGCUGGCCGUGUCGAGCUGGCGGCGCAUCGGGUUCGACGCGGCCGACUUCGGCGGCGGGACGCCGGCGCGGGUGAUGUGGCACGAGGAUCGGAUGGUGGUGCCGGAGUGCAUCGUGUGCCCGCCGUGGAAGGGCAAGGACGGGGUCAACGUGCAGUCGCUCUGCGUCAGGCCGGAGCACGCCGCCGCCUUCCUGGCCGAGCUCGCCGCAAUGUGAUGUGAUCCCCUGCUCGUUCUUCACCCCGCCCCGCUCCCGACCACAGCUGCCCAAACGUAGAAUCCAGCCAAAGUAUGUGAAGGUCUCUUUGAGAUGGAAACAAGUACUAGUAGUAGUAUGAAUUUCAGAUGAAAACAGACCUCUCUUUGCAAUGUAUCCGAAUAAAAUAGCAAAUUCGUUUAGUUCCUGUACAUUAUGGAAGAAGCAUCACUUUUUUAUCAACAAAAAGUGAGUACUAUGCCAAAAAAAGUACUAUGUCAUUGGAUGCACAUUUCAAUGAACUUUCUGAUGUUGUACUUUUUACCACAUAUAAACCAUGUUUUGUAGAUCAAAAUUAUAUAAGUUAAAUAUUAACAUGAAAAAUAAAAUGGCUUUGUAUAUAAAAAUAGAGGGAGUAGAACAAACGAUGAUUAGUUUGAUAGAUACGGAAAGCAACACUACACUCAUGGAGAUUCUUGAAGAGGAGUGGUUGCCCCUCUGUCCUAUGGGUGUGCGGUUUCGCAAAUAAAUUAACUGUUACUCUCUUCAUUUCAUAAUGUAGUUUGUUUUUACUUUUUGAGAUUUAAGUUUAUCAUCAAAAAUUAUAUCAUUAAAAAUUUGAGUUUGACCAUAAAUUUAACCAACGUGGGACACUGCUGGUAUAAUUUUUGCUCCCGCUGUGGUCGCCCACGUUGGUUAAAUUUAUGAUCAAACUUAAAUCUCAAAAAGCGCGGGCGCACUACAUUAUGGAGUGGAGGGAGUACAUGUUUUAAGGGUACAGAAGCCUAUGCAUGGAUGGAUGCACCGAGUCAACUCGAUAUUACCCCCUUCAUUUCAACGGGCCGACCCAAACGGACGGCGCUUUUGUCCGCUUUUUGUCCAUUUGGGUCGGCCGCCCGCCCGUCGUCCGUCCUUUUUUAGAUUUGGGUCGGCAGCGCGCCCAACGCGUCGACCCAUUUCAUAACCGCGCGCGCUUUAGAUCAUGCCAGCGGGGAGGGGGGCAUUCGGCCUAGCGCGCGUUGGCUUUGGCGCUCCAGAGCGCGGGAAAUGUUCGCGCACGCAUUUCGGCACGCCCCGGCCGGCGCCUCGUUAUAAAGAUGGCGCUCCCUCCACACUCAGUCCGCCACCGCCGCCCACUCGUCUCGCCCCCUCUCACUAGCCUUGCCGCCUGUGCGCCACCAUGUCGAUGCGCAUCCUCGACGCUUCGGAUUUUCACGGAGUCCGCGAGCGCCCCUCCGUCGCCUUCUCCGCCGAGAUCUUGUUUGGCGAGAAACGGCUUGUCCUCGGCACCUUCGACACCGCUGAGCAGGCGGCCAGCGCGUACAACGCGGCGGCGUGGCGCCUCCGGCGGCCGAGACGGGAAAUGAAUUUUCCCGACGUGUCGAGCCAGCGGGCGCAGGAUCCGGCGCCUCUCCCGCGGCUUUUCACCGACGAGGAUCGUUGCGUCCACCGUAGGCGGAUGCGUCGCCUCGCCCUCGCCGAGAUGGACUUGCAAGCCUUCGUGCUGUGGCGCGAACGCUUCCCGCAGGACAUCGUCGACGAACGUCAGUUCUAUGAGCAGAGGAGGACGGGGAGGAAGGCCAGGAGGAUGGGGCGAGCCGGCUAUCGGGAGGGCAAGCAUACGCGAAAGCUGACCGCUCAAAUGAGAUUGAGGCUACGAGAAACAUCGGGGUGAGACUUCGCGGACGAGCAUGCUGCUGACGCCUAUAUUCAGACGUCGGAGGAGGACAUUACCGAGUCAGAGUCGGAUAGCGAUGAGUAAUUGAUCUUUUCUUUUAUCUAUGUACGCAAGAACAAUCUAUGUAUCCUUUUUCAUCGGAAAAAAUGGCCGGCGGCGUCGGCCACGAAGCCGGCGGUGGAGGUUGUGCACGCGCGGGGAGGAGAGAGGGCGCGCGCGCGCGUUCAUCUUGUGUCCGCGUCGACGUAAAUACGGCUCAAAAAUGGGUCGGGAAUGGGUCGGCAGACGGACGAAAGCGGACGCGCGUGCGUUUGAGUCGAUGCGUUGGGCCGUCUUUUCUCCGCGCCGACCCAAACGGACGCGGGCGAACGAAAUGGGUCGCCCCAUUGGAGUUGGUCUAAGUGUUUGGGGUUAGAAACAUUUUCAUGAAAAAAAGAUGGUGGCAUAAUUUUCAGAGCCCCCCCCCCCACCCCCCACCCCGACAAUUAGAAGGGCAUCUCCAACGCCGUGCAUCUUAUCGGACACAGCAAUGCGGGCGUGUUUGCAGAUAGCAGAUAGGGUGGUGGCCAUCCAACCCCAUGCACCAAAUGUCCAUCCCUGCUUUUUUCCUCUAUAUAUAGAGCACACACAAUAAUUAAUGAUAAAUGUCACCCCUUGUCCAAAAUUUAAAUAUAAAUAUUACAAUUCGAACAUGAAGUUUCCAAUAAAAUAGUUUAAUUUGAAUUCAACUUAUUCACACACAUUUUGUACUUCGACCCUUGAAGCACCCACAAAUGCUUAGCUAGAUCAUGAAGCUGAUCAUUAAUUGCCCGAUGAGUAAUAAAUAGAUGUAUUUGAAUAAAAUCCUCAAAUGUCACUGGAUACUGCUCUGGAAAUUGAAUACGAUCAAGCAUGCGCUCAAAGUCCAGUUUGUGGCUUGGGGGUCCAACACUUGGGCAUAUCUAGCCACCCUCUUGCUUUUGACAGUGUAAUGAGCCAUGCUAUGUCUUCGACUGUUGGUUAUCUCCGAUGCUCCGGUCCAAACACCUUGACCACCGCUGUAGCAAAUUUCACCGUGGCUUUGAGACAUGUGCUUUAUGGCAUCCGGAGGUACUCGUCCCAUGAAUCUGCAGUUGUGCCAUAGGAAAGUAUUCUCAAUGUAGCCAUGCACUUCUGGUAACCAGAGAAUCCAAUGUUUCCAGUGACAUCCUAUUUCAAAAUAAACUAGUCAUCAUAGGCCCUGACACCAUUGUAGAGGCAACCGAAUACAUUCUGUCUCAUUUGGAAUCGAUCAUGAAAAGAGGCCUCAAAUAGCGCAUCAAGGAAAAAUUAGUCGUCCAUCAGCAUCAUGUGCCUUGUGCCCUAUUCCGAUUCAUCACCCGAUGUCCCUGAUUGAUCCCUUGAAAUUGAGAACAUGCUCCUUCGCAGGUUAGGCAUCUGCAAUAACCGCAUGCAUCAUCGCCGUUUCAUUCUCAUAUUCGUCCUCAUCUGAUGUUACAAAUGAACUCGACAUAGAAGUGUUCCUCGUCUUAACCCAUCGUGUUUACUUCAAAGUAAAUAGCAAUACCGACAAAAUUGGCUAAGGCAUUUUGGCAAAAACUUGUCAGGUGUGGCGUCCACCAUGGACACAAAUGUGCAGGGGUAGAGGGUAUCAGUGCGACGCUCAGACCAUGGAUGGAAGGGGGGCAUAGGCGCCCGGGUAUAGUGGCCCGCAAGCCCCUGGGCGGCAGAGUGGGAGGUACAACGGUGACUUCGGUCUCGGAUUACACGAAUACAAAAGCAAGGGGGGGGGGGGGACGUAGUCAGAAAAUCUUGGCUCCUGGCAAGGUUUUUGCGUUGGCCGGGGUGUCGAACGCCUACUGGGCGGCUGUUCGGACGCCCACAAACCCCCUAGAUCUGCUUCCGUUUUGUAAGAAUUCGAACGUGCAGACCGGUCCACUGACGUUUGAUACACGUGUUGGAUGACAAAAAGUGUCCGGACUGAGCUGUCCGGACGUUUUGAUGGACAGUUGAGCUUUAUAAUUUGCGGGCAUAGACUCUACAAAUGUCAAACCAUAUGAAAAUAUUUUAGCAUAGGCAUAACAUACAUUCACCAUGUCUCAAAAAUUCGGAUUUAAGUUAGACCUGCAACUCUAGGAAUAAAAAAAUUUCUCAUUUCAUGCUAUGAAUGGUGCUGGUUAUAAUUUGGGCCACUAACACGAUUUAUGGUUAUUGUUUCUGUUUCUCAAAUUACAGUUUGAAUUAACUUCUGAAUCUUGGUGACAUGGUAGAUAUUUUAUAUUAUGUCCGGGUGCUAAAGUAAAUUUUGUUUCGUUGGAAACUUGUAGAGUGAUUUUCGGAGAGCCGGGGCGUGGCACAAGUGGCUUCACCUCCUAUCAGCUCCGAGUUAAAUAUAGCACCCUCGUCUCACGGGAGAAAGCAAAUUUUGUACCGUGCACGAGUGCAAAGGUAGCGCUGCGCAUGGCAUCACCGACCACGGUUGCCUCCGAGGAAUGAACUUCGUACACAGCAGUAUUUGACCAUUGAGACUUGACUAGAUUAAGAAACUUGAGGUCGCGAUUUUGACAGGACUACGCUGAGGAAUUACAUGUUAUUUUCUUUUUCAGAGGCCGCGAACCAAUCUUUUGAUGCCAGUUCAAUGAAGGCAUACGUUGAGAAAUUGGCAAUGACAUACUCCAUUUUCUCUGUGCACGGGACAACGAGUCUCCUAACGACGCGGCCUCAUGUCCUCCGUGCCGCUCCCCUACCACUCCUCCAGCGCUCCAGCGCGUGCUCUGCGAGCCGCCGCGCGCGCCCCUCACGCACUGUCCCACUCCGCCCUCGCCGCGGCGAGCUCGGCCUUCGUCUCCUCCAGCUGCUUCUCUAGCGCCGCG
rnacentral:lncRNA from 1 species